rnacentral:lncRNA from 1 species
GAAAAAAAACAGCAACCAUACCACCUGAGGCAUUAAGUUUUCAGCAGUAGGUGCAUGGCAUGGUAAUAUUGGAAGGCUUUGCUUCUUUGCAGGCAACCAUUUUUCCAUGUCAUGUCUUGACUUGCGGAAAUUAUUGAGAACAAACUUAUUGAAGCUUUCGAUAGGUCUCUUGCCACAUCAAUCACCACAACACUGGCACAUUACUGUUGCAUUAGUGAGACAUUCCUGUUCACUUAAAAUUCGCCUAUGAAACUUGAUUGUAACAAUCAAGAAAGUUUGAGUUAGAAAUUGCAGCUAUUAUAGUUUGAGGACUAAAAGUGUAAUUUAGCCUUAUUUUAUAAAACAAACGACUGGGCAGGCAAUAAUUUUCCUAUCUCGGCUACCUAUAACUGCACUCAAUUGGAAGGUCUGCUGUUUUGCAGGCAACCUUGUUUUGUCAGUUGUCUUUAAGUUGCAUAAGACUAUAUGAUGCUUUUUGAUAUGAUCGAAUGGCCGGUCGGAGCCUCUCUGUCCUUCUCCGUUCAUUUCAGUUAGUAAUAAUUCUCAUGCUGACUGUCGAUGUCGUCAUGCUGACUGUAUGCUUCAAUCAGACAGGCCCUUAAUGCUUCAUGCAAUGUUAAGGAAGCGUCUCUCCUUUAUUUUACGUUUCGAAGGAGGUUAUGAUAAUUGGCGGUUGGGAAGGCACCUCAACUUAUUUUUUUUUCUUGGCUUUUGAUUCUCAAUGGAGUGCAGAAGCUAUGGAUAUAAGAGGUAGUAUGGUCAACCCCAAAAACUGCACUUUUGCAAAAAAAAAAUUUCCCUUUCAUGAAUAACUGUUGAAACGGAUGGUCUGCACUUUUGCAGGCAACCUAGCAGUUGCAUGCUGUUUUUUGUGGUUUGCAUUUAUAAGCCGUUUCUUCAUGGCAUCAUUUGCCUAGCGAUCAAGCGGUGUCAAAUGCAUCAUAUAUUAGCCAUUAAAAUUGUUGAUUUCUGGACCACUCGAGUACUAGGCAAAUGAUAUCAAAGAAUUAUGAAGUUUGAAACCUAGAAAGUUGAAAUAUCCUACAUGUUUGAUUGUCUAUCCGGAUGCCCCGUUAUUAGAAAUGAUGCGGAAGUAAGCAGCGCAGUUUACUUGUAUAAGCAUUUUACACCCCCCCCCNNNNNNNNNNNNNCUCUCAACUUUCUAGGUUGAAAUAUAGAGAAAAAAGUUGGUGGUGGCACUGGCCUAUUGUGGAUCAGUAGGGUCUAGGAUUAAUUUCUUGAAGUAUUACCCCCACGGCCCCACCCACCCUCUCCAACCUUAAAAAAAAAAAAAAAAAACUCAAAAUGCAGUUUCUCGUGGAAACUUGCUCCUGCUCGGCGUGCUUAUCUUGAAAGGCUGGCUUAGAUGCAGGCAACCAAUAUUUGCAUCCAUGCAGGGGAUUUUAAUCCUCAGUUUGCCAUUUUGAAGCAACAAGUGUCGGAUGUACCUUAUCUGAAUGUACACGAUCUUUGAGGAAUGGCUAUGAUGACUGCCUGGAUGCACCAGAACUGAAGAAUUUGACUGAAACGUAGCUUGGCAAACUUUGGAAGGCUUGCAAUUCUGUGAGCAACCAUUAUGCAGCUGCUUGUGUAGUUCUGUGAAGAUUCUGGUGAAAAGGCCAGAUCUGAGCCACCUCCCUUCUCAACAUCAUCAUCCCUAAACUAUGAAAAGAUUGCUUGCACUUUAUCUUCUGUCACAAUUAUCUAACUGCUCGAGAAAGAUGGACUGUAGACAACCAUCCGCUUGUAGACAUCUUUGACUCUAUGGUAAACAAAUGCGACAUGUUUGUUGGGUAAAUGAAAGAAAUAUGUUGAACAAGAUUGCCAUGUGUCGAAGGAGACUCUUAUUUGCACUUUUGCUGUGCGUCAGAAAUGAUCUGUGGUGCUGUUUGAAGGUGCAUUCUUAUGUCUUUCCAUGUGGUGGGUGUGAUGAUUACCAAGUAUGGAAGAACCACAACCCUUCAACAUUAGACUACUUUGAUCUGCACAGCUUGGCAACUCUCGUACGGCUUGUUCAGCAAGCAUCCAUUUGCGUUUGUAUGUGUAGUUCGCAAAUGCUCAUAAAAAUGGGGUAAAAACGUACAGAACUUAUCUGAACUAUGGACUAUUUUGAGAAACACAGAUUGUAGACAACUAUCUACUCGUAGACACCUUAGACUCUAUGGUUAACAAUUGCGACAUCUUUGUUGGGUAAAUAAAAGAAAUGUGUUGAAUAAGAUGGUCGUGUGUCGCAAGAGGCUCUAAAUUUGUACUUUUGUUCCGCACCAGAAAUGGGUUGGGCUGCUGUUGAAAGAUGCAUUGUUAAUCUACGUGGUGGCUGUGAUGAUUGUCAUGUAUGGAUGCACCAAAUCACUACAAUAUUUGACUGAACUUUGAUCUGCACAGCUCGGCAACCUUUUAAAGGCUUGUUCUGCGAGCACCCAUUUUGCUUUAUAUGUGUAGGUUUGCAAAUGAUCAUAAAAAUUGCAGAUCUGAGCCAGUGUCUAAAUAUCUCCUUUUCGUUGUUUAGACCUAACAAUUUUUUUUUACCCCUAGCCUGUUCUUGUUUAAAGAAUUUAUGUUUGCUAAAUCACCUCUUGCAGCAAGCGGGUUAGGUGAUAUGAGGAAAAUUGUUCCUUUAUGUCAAUAUAUGUUUUUGAAGUUUAGUGGUGAUAAUUACACCACAGUUCGAGGGGUUUGGCAUUUUUUUGUCUUUAAAUAUGGCCUGCAGGAAGUGUAGUUUUUAACAGAGCAGUAGACCUGCCCGGCAGCAACAUUGGAUGGCCUGCUUAUAUGCUGGCAACCAAUUUUUGCUGCUGUGAGCUGGAGUUUAUACCCAGGUUCGUAUUAUUAGUGUUGAGCAUUGCGUUGUAACUUUUGUAGUCGUACCGAGCCGAAGAAUUGCUCUUUUGCAUUCCUCCUCGGUGAGUAAUUGAAAUCUCCACUAAAUGUGAACUUCAAAUCUCACUUCUUUUAAGUUUAUCCUCAAAGCGGUUUUCUGUAAAAAUAAACUGAACAUGGGACUUUGGCAAUGUUGGGGGAUCUCAUGGGAGUGACAUGGUCAAAUACGGUGGGAUUUUUGACGAAACCAUACCCGUAUCCAUGUUUUUUUCAUUUUUUGGUAUGCUAAUUCGGAUACGAUGGUGUCGGAUUCGAUUGGAUUUUAUCCUAACCACUUUCACCUCUACUUGUGGUACAUUUAUUCGGAGCCAAAAUACUCUGAACCCUCCAAUGAGGGAUGGAUGGACAGGUGGAUGGACGGGUACAUCGCUAAAGCGAUACGAAAGAGAGAAACCAGCAUUGGGAACAAGCGGAAAUGCAGGGGUGCUCCUUUCUUCCUGUAAGCCCCUCCGUCUCCUACUCUCUUCCACCCCAAAAAUGAAAAAAAAGAAAGAAAGAAAGUCAUUUGUCUCGUUUCCUGUCUCUUCCUCUCGUCAGGGAAAGUGUUUUUAGGUUAGACAGGGAAUCUGGUAAUGGCGGGGCAGUUCUGGACGGUCUGCUCUUCUGCAGGCUACUGAACUGCAGCCAUUACUCCGAAAAUGCAUUGGCGGCUAUCAUUUCCUCCUACUUCCUUGAUGCCUUGUUGUUGUUGUUGUUGUUGUUGUUGUUGUUGUUGUUGUCAUUAUUAUUAUUAUUAUUAUUAUUGUCAUUUUUAUAACUGUGGUGGUGGUGGGGGUGGGUGGAGUCUACCAUCUCCCUGCCCCUUCGUAAAAGGGGAAGCUUUCGUGUCUCGGGGUUGACCGAGCCCUGUGUGUGUGUGUGUGUGUGUGUGUGUGACUACUAUACUUCUAGAAGCAUAUACUUCCAACUUUUGGACCCUUGGAUCCCUCAGGUUUACUUCUUGUUGAUGGUAUUGGUAUGGAUCCAAGGGCCCAGAAGUUGGAAUUUGUAACUUCUAAAUGCAGCAUAGCUCAACUACACACACACACACUGUUCGUGUUUGAGGGUUGGAAAAAAAAAAAAACAAAAAAACAGCAAGAACAAUUCUAGAUGGGGCCUUAAGUUUCAGCAGAAGGUGCAUGGCAUUGUAAUCUUGGAACAUGGUUGUUUCAAACAUUCAUUAUCAACCCCCAAGGCCUGAUUUUAUCUUUAAUUUUUCAUCCUCUGGCUUUCUUACUGCAUGUACAAUCUAGGAUGGGUUGUUUCAAACAUUCAUUAUCAACCCCCUGAAACCCUUCCUCGUGCUGGUAGAUGAUGACUGGAUAGAAGUUUGGGGGGUCUAUUUCGAAAAUGGUCUAUAGUUGAGGGGAUCUUCAUCCUAUUUAACCUCUCAAUAUAUCUGAUGGUGAAAAGGUAUUGAUAGUCCCUGUCGUAUCCCGAUGCUAUUCCAAUAUUGUGACUUAGUCCUUGAACCUUUUCCAUAGCACUCCUCUCUCUCAUCUUUCUUAUAUUCUUGGAAUUUCAUCCCUCCCAUCUCUUUGGUUCAUACGUUGCAGGGAAAAUCUCUCAUUAGAACUCUGCAUUGUAAUUUAAUUACUAGCGAGGAUUGGCAGGCGCGUGAUCAGUAAUUGGAGGCAGCUCUGGAUGGUCUGCCCUUCUGCAGGCAACCUAGCUUGCAGCCAUUUAUCCGGUCAUGGCUGGGGUGGAGGAGGUGGUGGUAGUGAUAAGGAUUGGAUGUAUGUGGGUUCAUAUGAUCCUCUUCUCUGAUUAGGGUAUCAUCAUCGUUAUCUUCUUGGCACUCGCUUAUUCUCUUGAUCCAAGUUCCUGUAAAGGAUGUCCUUCAUCAUUUACUUCUAUUUCGCAAUUCCUGUUCCUUGAUGUGUUUCGGCAUUUGUGGAAGUUUCUGUUGAUCAUCUUCAAGAUAUGCGGAAUAACCACUUUUGUGUGGAGUAAAGCUUCUCUCUGCGGCCUUCUGAGAUGGAUACCCAUGAAAUUUUGUGCCUCAGGGUUGAUGAAUGGCUAAAAAUCAAGCUUUUUGAUUUUGAUUGUGCAUUCUUCAUAUGGGUUUACAUCAAGUUGGUCGGUUAGCUCGGUCCAUUGACACCUCUAAUCUGAGCCAUGCUUCAUUAAUUCCUCUAAUCUGAGCCAUGCUUCAUUAAUUCGUGGGAUGGAUGACAUUGCAGCUGGUGGUGCAUGUCUGAUCUUGUGCACCGGGUGCAGGUGUAAUGCCCCGGACUCGUCGCAACCCGCCAAUGACGAGAGCUUGCUGAGGCGUCGACGGCGACAGGGAUGAUGGUGGUUUCCGGCAGCAAUUCCGAGAUAAUUAAUGCAGGGAAAAAGGGGUAAGAGAAGAGAGAUAGAGAUAGAGUUAGAGAUACACAGAGAGAUGAGGAUGGGAAUUAGAAGUAGAUAAGAGAAGAGGAGAAUUGGGGGUAGUAGAGAAGAAGAGGAAGUUUGGGGAGAAGAAAAUAUCAAUUCAUUUCAUUCAUAAUCUGUUUACCGCGCUAAUUUGGUAUAUAUACUAUCUACUAACUCAUAUUGGAAUGUAAAAACAACUAUGUUAAGAGGGCUAUAGUGCAAAAGUGGUAAAUAGAGGUAUGGUCGGUGGGCUGCAAUUCAGCGGGCAAUUGGGCCUCAAUUGGGGUUGUUUGGUCCAAACUGCCUGGUAGUCGGGCAAACAGGUCGCAAUUCGCCCCUUCUCCGCACUAUCCAUCGCCCGGCGGAUCUUGGGUCCGCCUUUUCCCCCGAUCCGGGAUUUGGGGCCGCCCAAUCCACUCGUAAACGGACAACCGGGUCUCAGUUUGCCUUCUCCGCACUACCCACCGCCCCCUCAGCUCCGACGAUGCCCUAGCCCCGUCGCCCUGCCGGAGUUCCACCCGCACAGCCUCUCGCUGGAUCGCACCGCCGAGCUCGCUCCUCUCUACCCUGCUGUUGCCCUUAUUCCUCGCAUAACUAGUAAAGCUACCACUUUUACUACUCCUUUUAACUACUCUACUCCUUUAUUCUUCAGGUUGUUACGGCAGGCCGUAAUUUCUCCUAUCUUCUGCGUUUUGGGGUUUGAAUGCUCAAUUGGAAGGUCUGCAUUCUUGCAGGCAACCUGACAAACUCAUUUGUCUUUAAGGUGCGUAAGACUACAUGAUGCCUCAUGAUAUGAUUGAAUGGCAGAUCUGAGCCUCCCUUUUCUUCUUUGUUUCUUUUCAGCUAUUAAGAUCUAUUCUAGUAUUUCUUCUUCUCUGUAUUUGCUUCUGCAGGGAGAAGCUAGAUCAUCAAUUCCUAUUCCCUCUACUUUUCGGUGGCUUUGGCCUAUUUCAAGAUGGUCUGUAGUUGAGGGGUCUUCAUACAUGUAUCUCACACGCACUGUGGAAAUGUUUAAUUCAGGUAGCAGCAUGCAGUGCGAGGGUACAACCCAAAGCUUAACAAGAACAGAAAACAGAUGCAACGGCAAUUAAGCACUCAAUUUUACUGAUGGUUGCUAAGCGGCUAAAACAUCAAUGUCAUCUGUUACACUACAUAUAAUGAAAACAUGGAGUUUGUGGGGCAUUCAGGGUGAGGGUUGAUUUAAGCCUGAUUUUUCUCUUCCUCCCUUUCUCUCUCAUUUUUAUUUUUUUCAACUCAAUUCUCAUCUCCCUCUCUCUCUUUCUUUCAUCAAUUUCUUUCUCAUCUUUUACUGCACAAUCUAUUUUUAAGUAAUAAAUAUUAUAAAAUAAAAUAAAAGUUUUAUUAAAUAUAUAUGAUUUAAAUUAUAUAGAAAAGCUAUACGUGAAAAAUUACAAAAUUUGAACUUUUAUCUGAAAAUUUAGAAAAUGCAAUAGAUAAAUUUAGUUUUUUUAUCCAAUUUAUAAAAUAUUUCUCUUUCACUGUUCUAUCUUCUUCUUUUCAAUUACCAGCAACCGAUCUAUCUAUCGGUGCAUUGCAUAUACUAAACUUAUUUUUUAAAAAAUAAAAAUCACAAGAUUAAAAUGUAAUUCGACAAAUGCACUCUACACUAUAUAAAAAGUCUAUUUAAAAAAUUUAUACUGUUUUAAUUUUUAUAAUAGAGUUUUAAAAAUUUGGUGUGUAAGAUAUAUUUAUGCAUUUAAUGUGCCAAACAAUUUCUGGCUCGUCGCCGUCACAUCCUGUCGAGGGAACAAGAAAUCGGCAGAUCGUGGAGUUUGCCUACUUUCUCUCUCUCUUUUUUCGUGGAGUUUGCCUACUUUCUCUCUCCUCUUUCUCUCUUCUUUUCGUAAAAUGAUGAGGCAGCAAAUGUAUCUUUUGCUCUAUUAAUAUAAUCAAUUUUCUUCUUUUGCUCUAUUAAUAUAAUCAUUUUUCUUCUUUUGCUGUUGUUAUUUUUUUGUUUCGUCUUUUUCCUUCUAAUAACUUCGUUAUUAUUGUUGUUCUAGCUGGUUCUUCUUUAGCUUCUUUUUUUUUUAUUUUGUUAUAUUUUUACUGCCACUAUAAAUAUAUUUAUUAUUCUUAUGUUUCUGUUUUUAUUCUCCUGUUGCUGCUGCUGCUGCUUCUUCAACUUUUACUUUUUUCUAAUUCUUUAGUUUCUUUAAAUUCUUUUUAUGUUCUUACUGUCCUUUUUGCCUUCAGCUUUUUUCUUAUUUAUUUGUCUCUACAGAGCCGACUUUGCCGCAACGUGCCAGUAACUUCACUAGUUUUACAAGACCAGCUACUCUACUACAGACCGUAACCCAAGAACAACUUUUAUAACUUGAACUCUCUAUAUUACUCUUCAGAUUUGCCUAGAAUUCAACUCUUUAAGAGCAGACAACUUAGCAUGCCAUCAAAAUAUCUAGUUUAAUGAUCUGCCAAUUGUCGAUGUCAUAGAUUUCUUUGCAUAAACACAUGCUUAAUCUGAAAGCCAUAACUGAAUCAAACGAUUUAGUAAUCCAUCAUUCCCAAUUUAAAGAACCCAAAGCUGAUAAAUCUGGUGGAUUAGAAUGGAUUGUCAAACAUCGCCUUCAAAUAAUUAGCUGCAGUAGUUAGGAAAUGGGCGAUAAGAUUGGCAAAGCACAAAACAAACAGCGAGCGAUUUUGUAUCAACUAAACUCCUCUAAAGCUGAUCUAAAUACUAUGUCCAGAUGAUACAAUUUGGAACUCAGAAUAUGGCGUGUAAAAACAGUUUUCCUAAGGUAAUAAGGUUAAUAUGUCUGAAUUCCUCACUUAACAACUCGGAACUAACUAAUUUCUUAGAAUUUAGACCAUGCGCAUUUCAAUUUCCACAACUUGGACCAUUUUAUUGUGAAGGCGAACAUGUUUGCUCCACAUUAAUUUUCAGUUGUGUGGUAGAGAUCUCAGUUGGAAAGUGCAUCUAUAAAAAGAUGGCACAGAGAGACAUUACUUUGGUAGGCCAACUAAAUCUGCUUAACUGAAAAUUUGGAGGGCAAGUAAAUCUACCAACUUAUUCUUUCUAAUUCAAAGUACAAUUCAGACAUGAGAUCUCUUGUUUCUUGCAACAGCUAGAGCCUAUUUUUGUCAAAUACAAAACUGCAGUACCGUUUGGCCCCAAUACCUCUUUCAAUUGCCAAAAAUCAACAAAGAUUAACACUGUAAGUCACAAAAUUGUGAGAUUACCUCAAACUUUGCAUUCGGUUCCGAACGCCAUUCUAUUAGCGGCAAAGCAUCAAUGGUAAAGCAGCAACCAGGAGAAGAACAAAAAUAUAAAUGACACCUUGAGAUUCUAGAAUUCGCAAACCAUGUACCUUGAAAUUAAACUGAACCAAAAGCAACUCCAUCUACGAGAAAUAAACCUUCACGUACGGAUCGGAAUAGCAAUUCCAACUGUUUGUUUAGCAUGACCAUUUUCUCUAUCGCAAGAAGCAAACAACAGCAUUCGAAACAGGAAAAGCCCUCGGCUCUUUCUAUGGCAGCAAAUUGAAAUAAAAUUUCAUUGACUUGUCUGUCUCCAAAGAACUAAGUAGGAUUUAUUUCUCACAAAUAUAAAGGCCAACAAGCAAACACAACAUAUUGUUAUAUUUCAACUGCCUUCCAGACAAAUACCAAUAAGAAAUUAGCAUAAGCCAAUACCACUUAGAAUAUAAGGGCAACAUAUUUGCCUAAGCUAUGUGUUUUACACUGCAAAGUUUUGUAUCUCACACCGAACCCUACAAGUAGAUAAAUUUGACUCUUCACGAGAGCACCGACAAACUCCCAUAUUUAGGAAAAGUAGCAUCUUUUAUUUGUUAAAGCAAAGAUAAUAAGAUAAAAUGACACAAUAUAACUUGUUAAAGCCUCCAAAGUACUAACACCAAUAACUAAGAACUUAAAAUAAAGAAAAACCAGCAAUCGAAAAAAAAAAAAAAUUUACCACCAUUAUUCACGACCAAACAGCACCUGAAUGGGGAAGGCCUGGUGUAGAGCAUGACAUUCCGCCUGCAAAGCAAAUAAGGAAACAUCUAGUUAUGUUAUUGCAAAAAGACAGAAAAUUUAAACAAACAAGUAUUGCUAAUUAUAUUUCAUUGAUUAGCAUAAUCAUAUAAAGAUAACAUAGAGCAUGUUAUCCAACACUUUAUUACGAAUACUAUCAGGAAGCAUCAGAAACUAUUAUGCAACAAUUGAUUUGCAGGAAAUAAUUAGCAUCUCUUUCUGAAUCUUGUGAGAAUCAGUAAAAGAUAUAGUCCUCCUAACAAUUCAAAAGCCUCAUCCAAAUUCCUAAUUUUACAAGUCCAAGAAAUUACCAAUUUGGACAAAUAUAUAGCUAGCUAAUUGUGGUAGCUGAAAUUUUUUUCAUAAAAAAAAAUUAACACAAUGAGGAAAAAAUAGAAACUUAACAUAAAACAAAGUUGAACAUUGAUGUAACUAAGCAUUGGAAGUAGAAAUACAAGACGAACAGAAUAAAUAAUUUUAGCAUAGGAAACCUCAUUCUCCCUUUCUACAACAUAUCGCAUGUCACAUCGUUACAAAUAUCGAAUUAAAUAACAAAUGCUCUGAUUAAUUUAAAUACUAUAUACACAAACUAUAACCUAACUAUACAAACAAAUAAAUAAAAAUGUACCUCUACUAACUCGCAGUGGGCUUGAGUCUACAAAGAGCAACUCUAAUGUUACGUUGCACCCCAUAAAACACCUUCGCCUGGAAGAUUUUCGGCUCAGCUUCACCGUCAACUGCUUGGAAGGUAACAUAGUACCAAAGUCCUGCUGCGACACUACACGUUGCCUUCUCUAUUUUUACAAACACAUAACUCAUAUCCUACAUUAUGAAAAACAUCAUGAAAUCAAUUUUAUCAAAAAAAAAAAGAAACAAAGAAAAAAAAAAGAAGGAAAAGACAUACACAAGGCAACAUGAACAUACAUUUUCCUUAUUAAAAUGUUCGAUUGCCAAUUUAGUACAUCUGAUAAGAAUUUCAUCAUCAAAAUCCGUGAUCGCCGUAAGGCCAAACUCACAGGUGCCUGGAAAUGGAUCAACAUCGAAUCCCUGUAAAAGACAUGUAUUAACAAUUAGUGAAAAAAAAAAGUUGUGAAGCUUUAACUCUCAAAAAGAAGAUAAUAAUUAUUAAACACCUCGCUUUCCUUGAUUUGUUUGUAAUAUCUAGCCCAUUCUUCGUGAGUCCUACUGCGAUUACCAUUCGGCCAAACGUAAACCUCAUCUUCCUCUGAAGUAUGCUCAUAAACCCUUUGAUCCUUCUCGUUCCCUUUCUCUUCCUCUAUUUCACUUUGGGUAUCUUCCUCCUUGCCCUCUUCCCUCAUCUCUUCGCUUUCUUCCUGCAGUUUCAACUUCUUCUGCAGCGGCCCUUCAGGUAUCAGGUUCUUGGAAUUCUGCCUGUAUCACAAAAUGAAAUAUAUCUAUCAUAAAAAAUUUAAACAAAUUUCAAUCAAAACUAACGACAAUUUAAAAAAAAAAAAUCUUAAAUUGGCUCAAAUAAAAGAAGAAUUUAGCCGAUGCAUACGAAAUAGAGACCAAACAGGGCAUAAUUCAGGUGAUACAUUCCUAGAUUAGGAUUUUCUAAUUACAAAAUAAUAUAUUAUUAUUUUAAAAUAUUUCAGUUGUUUCCAAUAAAGUGUAAUUAGGGUUAGGUUAUAUAAAUGUGUAUUUUUUAUGAUUUGGAGAAUAAGAAGAAAUUGGCCGUGUUGUUCUAUCUUCCCUCUUGUUCUCUUCCCCCUUAUCUAUCUUUAUCUCUCUAAUAUCUCUCUCUUCAGGAGGUUCGAUUCCCUCAAAGUGAUUGUUUAUCUCCGUCGAUACGGUAGAAUCUUGUUCUAUCUCCCCUCCCGUUCUCUUCCCCCUUAUCAAUCUUUAUCUCUCUAAUAUCUUUCUCUAGGAGGUUCGAUUCUCUCAAAGUAAUCGUUUAUCCUUACCGAUACGGUAGAACCGUAUCAUCAGGCCAAAUUUCGUAAAUAAUUUUUUUGAAGGAAUAUUUUUACAAUUAUAAUAUGAUAUAAGUCUACUAAUAAUCCAUCAUAAUCAGAAUAAUCAAAUGCAUAUCAAACGUCACAAACAAACGGCAUUCUAAUCAUUUAUUACAAUCCUAAAUUAAUCAGAGAGCCAAACACAUAUCAAAAUCGCACAUGAAAAAAAAAAAAAAAAAAAAGAAAGCACAUUCUAACACGUGUGUACGGAAUAUGGUAACGAACGAGAUGUAUACCUUUGUCAGGUGAAGACAAUUGUAAUGCCUUGAAGAAUAAAUAGUUUAAUAGUUAGCAGGGGAAGGAAAUAAAAAUGUUAACUUUACAAUCGUAAGACCAGAAAUAAGGGCAACAGCAGCAGGGUGGAGAGGCGAAGAGAUCGGGCGGAAGUAGUAGGCGGAUCGGGCGGUCGGAUUACCGGAUCGGGCGUAAAACGCGGACCCAAGCCCCGCCGGGUUGCGGGUGAUGCGGAGAAUGUAGGAACCGACGCCCACUUACCGUUAUGCAUGGGUCGGGCGAACCGGAGCUCGGAUCGGGGCGAAAUGGCGAACCCAAGACCUGCAGGGUUGCGGGUAGUGCGGAGAAGUUCGGACCCGAGUCCGUUUGCCCGACAACCAGCAGAAGAGAUCAGAAAGCCCGGGAAAGGGCCCAACUAUUAUGAGAUGGCAGCCCACACGAGUUUUUCCUCAAUUUGUCACUUUUGCUGUUUAGCCCUCAUAGACUAGGUGCGUUUUCAGUUUAGUCCAAAUUACCAAGUACUAUAAAUACCAAAGUAUAACGUAAAUAGGGUAUCAAUAAAAUGAAAUAUUGAAUCUGCUUCUUCCCCAAACUCUCUUCUCCUCUAAACUCUUUUUUCCCAACUCUUAUCUCUUUUCUACCUCUCAUCCACAUCAUAUCUAAACUCUAUGUAUUACGAAAAAAAUAUAAAUAUUAAAAAAAGAAAAUACAAAAAAUAUAAGGACGGAACAUAGUGAAUGGACCAUUCACCGUAAUUGAACACGAUGAAUGGUUUACCGUGUCUAAGAAAAAUAUAUCAUUUACCGUGUUUGAAUGCGAUGAAUGAUUCAUGGUAUUCAACUUAUCAACCCUCUAGCUUUUACAAAAAUAAUUUAUAAAAUUUAAAUUUUAUAAAAAUAUAUUUGUUUUUUAUAAUCGGAACGACGAAAAAUAGAUCCAGAAAAUAAUUUAAUACAGAAAAAGAAAAGAUAAGAAAAGAGUACGCCGAUAUUUACGUGGUUCGGCCAACGGCCUACGUCCACGAAAGAAGACGGAGCAAAUACUUUAUUAAUGUCGAAAAAAGCGGAAUACAAAGAAGAUCUCUCAAAAAAUAAUCAAAGCUUAAUUAGAUCGAAACGCCGCAACAAGCAACUCCAAAAUUGGCUUCUCUCUCACCCGUACGACGUAUGGCUAAAUUAAAGUAGCCACGGAUCCUUGACCGUACGAAACGUGGAUAGAUUGGCUUAAUUAGAGUAUGGCUUAUAAUUAGCGGCAGCUCCUGACUGUACGGACCACACGAUCGACAUGGAUUUCUUAAUUAGAGCCCGGCAGCUCGGAAUAAUUAGCACAUGGCAUCUAAUUUUGGUCGCGGCAUCAUUAUAUAUAUAUAUAUAUAUAUAUAUAUUAUAAUUAGAGUCUAAUUCUAAUUAGAUUAGAAUUACAUUCCUAAUUAUAAUUUAUAAAAUAUAUAUGUCAAAUUAAAUUUAAAUUAUAUCUAAUUUUAAAUAAAUUAGAAUUUAACUCUAAAUUAGAUAACUACAAAUCUAAACCAAAUAUAAAAAUAAUUUACUAUAUUUUGGUAACCUGUAUGUAAUUAACCUAAAAAUUUUCGUCUUAUAAUAAGUGGAGGAGGCCAUCAGUAAUUGAAAUUUUCGUCUUAUAAGUGAAGGAGGAGUUGGCGUUUUCUAGACUCUUUCGUGUCUUCGGGAUGUACAAGGCGUGCUCCUUUUCUUGCUAUGACGAACUCCCACAUCACCAAAGAGAGGGGAAAAAAAAAAAAUGGAGGGAGAAAACACAUUUCUCUCUCCUUUGAUCCUUUCCCGGAAACCAAACAUCGCAUUACAGAAUCUGGCAAUGGCGGGGCAUCGCGCUGGAUGGUCUGCUCUUCUUCCGCGGGCUACCAAGCUGCAGCCAUUAAUCCAGACGCGAUGCUGCUGCAGCGACGGCGACGAGGACGACGACGGUCAUUCCUAAUGAUGAUGAUGAUGAUGACGGUGACGAUGAUGAUCUUUAAUGGGGUUUGGGCUUCAUCCGAAGAUGCAUCCUCCGAUGUCAAUGGCAUCGGAUCGUCGUCUUCUUGAUACCUCUCAUGUUUCUUGAUCCUCUCUGAAGUAACUAUCAUCAUUUUUUCUUUUUCUUUUUAUUCUACUUCUCCAUUUCUCUUCUUGAUGCCUCCUCUUCCUCCUCCUUGUUGUUGUUACUGUUACUGUGUUCGUGUUGGUGUUGGUGUUGGUGGUGGUGGUGGUGGGGGUGGGUGGAGCCUACCGUCUCCCCGCCCUAUCCUGAAAGGUUUCAGGAAAACCCACAAAACUUCGCCUUUCGGGGUAAAGAUGUAUAAAACUUUCCGCAACUAUCAUCCUUUUCGAUCUGACUACCUAACAGUUAAAAGUUUGGAUUUUACUACCCGUUCUUUCAAUUUAUUUGAUUUAAGCCGAUUAGUAAGCAACUAUGAAUUAAUUAAAGUAAGCAAUUAGUUUAAAUUUUGAAGUCCGAUUAUCGUUGACUGACUCAAAUCGAACAAAUUGGAAGGUUCGGUGGUAAAAUCAAAAUUUUGGAAGGUUGGGUGGUCGACUCAAAAUGAGGCAUUUAGGAUUUCGCAGUUGGUGCUUGGCAUGGUCAUGGUAAUCUUGGAAGGCUCUGCUCUUCUGCAGGCAACCACUUUUCCAUGCGAUGUCUUGUGGUGUAUUGCAAUACUGUGUUUCGUACCAAUUUUUCUGUGCGGGUGUUUUGGAGCGGAAAUUGGAAAUCAUGGUAGAUCCGACUGGAAACCGUUGGGUUUGCUUAGACUUGCUGAAAUCACUUCAAACCGGUGGAAAUCAAUUCAAACCACACCUGCUAAUGUUUCCAAGGAUUUACAUGUUCUUGGUUGCAAUUUCAUCCAAAUCAGUGAUUUGGAGGAUCCGAAACUGGGUGCAAAGGAGGCUGUGAUGGUUGCCAACCUGGGUGCUAAUGCUUUGUCCAAGCCAUUUCUUCUUUACCCAGUGUAUACAGCGAAAACAGCUCUUUUAAUAUCAUUUCUUCUUCGGCAAAUUGGAUGGUCUGCUAAUUUAGCAGGCAACCUUAUGCUAGCAUCCAUUGUUAUGGUGCAUGGAUUUUAUGAUGCUUUCUGAGUAAGGCCGGGGAAAUGGUUGUGAACAAACAAAUUGAGGCUUUCGGUGGGUCUCUUGCUGUGUCAUCAACCAUAAUAUUGAUUAGCGACAUAUUGCCGUUCACUCAACUUAAUUGGCUUGUGAGACUUGAUAGCAACAAUCAAGAAAGUUCGAGUCGAAAUUGCAACAAUUAUAUUUUGAGGACUAAAGUGUUACCUGCCUCAUUGUUUGAGGACCAAAAGUGUAAUUUAGCCUUAUUUUAUCUAACAAACCACUGAGCAGGUAAGAAUUUUCUUGCUAAAUUGCAUGUUUGGUCCUCAAACAAUGUGUAACACUUUGGUUCUCAAACUUUAAUCUGUUACAAUCUAGCCUGAACUUUUUGAAUUGUCGCAAUCAUGUCCUGCAAUCCAAUUUAGAUGACUAAAUAUUGAUGCAUCAUUGAUGUAAUAGUGAUGUGACAUUUUAUUUUUUGUCGCAUCAUCAAUUACCAUACUGCUACCGUCACUUUCACAUUACCGACAUAUCAAUAUUUAGUCAACUAAAUUAGAUUAUAGGACUUGAUUGCAACAAUUCGAUUCAGAAAUUACAAUAAAUUAAUGUUUGGUCCUUGUCAUGCGUCUCAAAGUUUGAGGGCAAAAUGUGCAAUUUACCCUAAUUUUCCUCAUCUCAGUGGCAGCUCUCAAUUGGAAGGUCUGCUGUUUUGCAGGCAACCUUGUUCUGUCAUUUGUCUUCAAGGUGCAUAAGAAUAAGACUAUCAUGAUGCUUGUUGAUAUGAUCAAAUGGCAUGUUGGACCCUCUCUUUCCUUUUGCUUGAAACAUUACUUCUACUUUCUUUUCAGCUUUUAAUAUUUCUCAUGUCGACUGUCCGUGUGUCCUCAUGCUGACUGUAUGCUUCAAUCAGACAGGCCCUUAAUGUUUUAUGCAAUGUUAAGUUUUUUUUUUCCCUUCAUUUUACUUGUCAAAGGAGGCUGUGAUGAUUGUCGGUUGGGAAUGCACCUCAACUUAUUUUAUCCCGGCUUUUGCUUCUCGGCGGAGUACAGAAGCUGAUAAGGAUAAUGGAUAUAAGAGGCAAUAUAGUCAACUCAAACCUAAGAUCUUGGUUGGGUUUUGACAAGUCGUGUGGGAUUUGAAUCUGGUUUGUUGGCUUGCUUUGUCCUUUUACAACCCUUGGAAGCCUUUCACUUCGUUCAUUUGUGGGAUAGACAGCAUCUCAGUGGGUGGUUUUUGGCUGACAUAAUGCACCAGGUACAGGCAAUAAUUUUUCCUUUCUGGGCAGCUCGUGAGGCCAACAAUACACCCCUCUAGCAGUACUUAAUUGGAAUGCCUUGCAGGCAAGCCUAUGCUGUCACGUCUUUAAGGUGCAUGAGAUUACAAGAUCCCUCAUGUGGUGAUUAAGCCUCCAUUUUAUUUUCCUACUUCCUUUUUAGCUAUUGAGAUUUGGUUGUUCACGUUUUUUUUUUCCCUCUCGCUUUCUUACUGCAUAUAGAAGCUAGGAUGGGUUGUUUUAAAUAUUCCUUACAACCCGUUGAAACACGACUUCAUGCUGGUUGAUGGUAAAUUUUCUAUCCUAUAUGUAUUCAGACCUGUGGCAACUUGUUAAUUUUUCGGAUUUUGAUAAGAACUAAAUAUAAGAAAGAUUUGGAUGCUAGGUAUAUAAAUAUUUGGGUUAAUUUCUUCAAUACCCUCCUUAAAGGUUGUAAUUUCAUAAAGACUCCUUCAAAUUGUAAAGGGUUUAGGGUUUAUGCAUUAUUGCAUGCAUACAUCUCUCUCCCCCCCCCUUUGUAAUCUGGUUCUUGUAAAUUUGCAUCUGAUCGACAUCAAGUUUCUAUAUUUAUUGGGUUUCUUUGCAUUUUAAAGUUAUACAAAAUUGUUGCAGGGCAUGCGAUCAAAACGGUUGCUCAAUCAAUAGCUUCACUUGAGCCCUAUUAUAUUAUUUGAUAAAGUUUUGGGAUUUAUUUGUUAAAAAGUAGAAGUUUUAGCACCUGUUUGCAAAAGUGUUAGAGUUUGGGGGGGGCUUAGAACAUUGUUUCAAUUAUUAAUGUCUACUAAAAAAAUGCAUGUUGGGCGAAAACGUUGCAUCCUUUUGGGCUAUUUAGGGAGGCAAAAUACUGUGAGCCCUCCAAGGACGGAUGUGUGGGUAUGCCUUUGAGGCGUUACGAGCUAGAGAGCCUAUGUUUGGGGAAAAACAGUAAGUACUGGGCGUGCUACCUUCUUGCUGUAAGCUCCUCUGUCUCUUCACUCCCACACUGAGAAACCAAUCACCCCCUUAGAGAAUCUGGUAUUGGCAGGGCAGCAUUGGAUGGUCUGCUGUUUGUAGGCUACUGAGCUGCAGCCAUUAUUCCAGAAUUGGUUCGUCAACGACGGCGGUGGCGAUCAUUAUGUGGCCAUCAUUUAUAAUGAUGAUGAUUAUCAUCAUCAUCUUUAAAGGGGCUUCGACUUCAUGUGAGGAUGCCUCCAUUUUCGUCGGCAUUGGAUCAUCAUCUUCUUGACAGCUCUCAUAUAUUUUGAUCCUGGCUGAAGUAACUAUCAUCGUUUUUCUUGUACUUAUCCAUUUCUUUUCUUGAUGCCAUUUUGUUGUUAUUGUUAUUAUUAUUAUUGUUGUUGUUAUUGUCAUAGUGGUGGUAUGGAGUUGACCAAGCCUUCAUAUAUAUAGGCUAGGGCUACUAUCCUAUUAAUAGGAUAGUAGCACUUGUCCUAUCAAAUUGUUCUUGAUGAUAGAGAUUCCGAAUCGAUGAUCGGAACCGUUGAAGUUGAUCUAGAGUACUUGAAAUAUCUAGAAACUAAAUUUAAUAAAUUUUAAAAAUUAUUUACAUGGUGAUCAAACUAUCAAAGUGUCGAAAAAUCGACAAUUUUUGACGGCCUAUAUGAGCCGUUUGCUUGUUUAACGGUGUAGAGCAAUCCAAAUUACUUGAAUUUUUGAUAAAAAAAUUUUUAUACUAUUUAGAUAAUGUUUGAUAACUCUGAUUAUGAAUUGAGAAAAUCUAACCUCUAUUUUAAGAAGGUUAUUCAUUUAUGACCGUUCAUUUUUUAACUCUUAAGAUGAACAUGAUAAUGAUUUUUAAAUAUUACAAAAUUUGGUUUCUAAACAUUUCUGAUUGUGUAGAUCAAUUUCAACGGUGCCGAUUAUCAAUUUGAAGUUCCGAUCAUUCAAAACGACUUGAUAGGACAAUAGCUCCAAUCCUAUUAAUAGGAUAGUAGCUGGACUCUCUCUCUCUCUCUCUCUAUAAGUUAUUAUAUAUAUAUAUAUAUAUAUAUAGAGCUAGGCUGGUAUACUAUUGGUAGCACGGAGGCCACCGUGCUACCAAGUUGUUUUCAAUGAUGUGGCUUCCAAAUCGACGAUCGGCUCCGUUAGACUUCUACACUAUUGAAAGUAUUUGGAAGCUAAAUUUCAUAAUUUUUCGGUAUCAUUUGCCUAGCAAACGAGUACUCUAAAAAUGAACGGCUGAAAAUAAAAAUCUCAUAAUAUUGGAAGGCUAUGGUGCUUUUAAAAGCACCAAGCACUUGGUCCUUGUAAGUUUCCUAUUGUUAGAUUUAUCUCUUUGACCAAUUCCAUCCCUAAGAUUAUGCUAUUCCACCAACCACCUGCUCAACUCUCGGGGACCACUAUUAUCCUAACCUACAAAUCUUCAUCCAAGACCGAAAACCUACAAGCACCAAUGACUUGGCACUUUUAAAAGCAUAGGAGCUCAAUUCUGUCUAUCUAUCUAUGUAUACAUAUAUGUAUAUAUACAGUUUGUGUGUGGGGAAUAUAAGGGGGAAAAAAACAGCAAUCAUACCACAUGAGGCAUAAAGUUUUCAGCGGUAGGUGCAUGGCAUGGUAAUAUUGGAAGGCCUUGCUUCUCUGCAGACAACUAUUUUUCCUUGAUGUCUUGCUUAGACUUGCUGAAAUUAUUGAGAACUAACUUAUUAAAGCUUUCAAUGAGUCUCUUGCCGCGUCAACAACCACUACACUGUCACAUUACUGUUGCAUUAGUGAGACAUUACCGAAAGUAAGUUGGCCUAUGAGACUUGAUUGCAACAAUCAAGAAAGUUUGAGCUAGAAAUUGCAGCUAUUAUGGUUUGAGGACCAAAAGUGUAAUUUAGCCUUAUUUUAUAUAACAAACGACUGGGCAGGCAAUAAUUUUCCAAUCUCGGCUACCUAUAACUACACUCAAUUGGAAGGUCUGCUGUUUUGCAGGCAACCUUGUUCUGUCGGUUGUCUUCAAGGUGCAUAAGACUAUAUGAUGCCUCUUGAUAUGAUCGAAUGGCCGGUCGGAGCUUCUCUGUCCUUCUACUUUAUUUUCAUCUGGUAAUAUUUCUCAUGCUGACUGUCGAUGUCCUCAUGCUGACUGUAUCCUUCAAUCAGACAGGCCCUUAAUGCUUCAUGCAAUGUUAAGGAAGCAUCUCUCCUUUAUUUUACGUUUCGAAGGAGGUUGUGAUGAUUGGCAGUUGGGAAGGCACCUCCACUUAUUUUUUCUUGGCUUUUGAUUCUUAAUGGAGUGCGGAAGCUGAUCGAAAUACUGGAUAUAAGAGGUAGUAUGGCCAACCCUAAAAACUGUACUUUUGCAAACACACAAAAAAAAAAAAAAAAAAUCCCCUUUCAUGAAUAACUGUAGAAACGGAUGGUCUGCACUUUUGCAGGCAACCUAGCAGUUACAUGCCGUAUUUUGUGGUUUGUAGUUUAAGCCAUUUCUUUACGACAUCAUUUGCCUAGCGAUCAAGCGGUUUCAAAUACAUCGUAUAUUAGACAUUAAAAUUGUUGAUUUCUGGACCACUUGACUACUUAGCAAAUGAUAUCCAAGAAUGAUGAAGUUUGAAACCUAGAAAGUUGAAAUAUCCUAGAUCAUGUUUGACGGUGUUAAUCGUCUAUCCGGAUGCCCCAUUAUCGGAAAUGACACGGAAGUAAGCUGUACUUGUAGAAGUAUUCUAGCCUCUCUUUUUCUCUCUCUCUCUCAACUUUCUAGGUUGAAAUAUAGAGCAAAAAGUCGGUGGUGGCACUAUUAUGGAUCAAUAGGUUCUAGGGUUCACUUCUUGAAGUAUCCCCCUGCUCUCGCACCCCAAAAACACACACACACACACAAAAAGAAAAAAAAAAAAAAAAAAAACUCAAAAUGUAGUUUCUCGUGGAAACUUGCUCCUGCUUGGCAUGCUAUCUUGAACGGCUAGCUCCGAUGCAGGCAACCAAUAUUUGCAUCUAUACAGGGGAUUUUAAUCCUCAGUUUGCUAUUUUGAAGCAACAAGUGUUGGAUACAGUGCACCAGAACUGAAGCAUUUGACUGAAACGUAGCUUGGCAAUCUUUGGAAGGCUUGCAAUUCUGUGAGCAACCAUUAUGCAGCUGUUUGUGUAGUUCUGUGAAGAUUCUGGUGAAAAGGGCAGAUCUGAGCCACCUCCCUUCUAAGCAUCGUCAUCGUUAAAUUAUGAAAAGCUUUCUUGUACUUUAUCCUCUGUCACAAUUAUCUAACUGCUCGAGAAAGAUGGACUGUAGACAACCGUCCGCUUGUAGACAUCUUUGACUCUAUGGUAAACAGUUGCGACAUGUUUGUUGGGUGAAUGAAAGAAAUGUUGAACAAGAGGGUUGUGUGUCGAAAGAGAGACUAAAUUUGCACUUUGGUUGUGUGCCAGAAAUGGUCUGUGCUGCUGUUUAAAGCUGCGUUCUUAUGUCUUUCCAUGUGGCAGCUGUGAUGAUUGCCUAUGGAAGCAUCAAAACCCUUGAACAUUAGACUACACUUUGAUCUGCACAGUGUGGCAACUUUUGGACGGCUUGUUUAGCAAGCAUCCAUUUUGCGUUUGUAUGUGUAGUUCGCAAAUGCUCAUAAAAAUGGGGUGAAAACAUGCAUAACUUAUCUGAACUAUGAACAUUUCAAGAAAGGCAGAUUGUAGACAACCGUCCGCAUGUUUGUUGUGUAGACAUCUUAGACUCUGUGGUUAACAAUUGCGGCAUAUUUGUUGGGUAAAUAAACGAAAUAUGUUGAUGGUCAUGUGUUGAUAGAGGCUCUAAAUUCGCACUUUUGUUCUGCACCAGAAAUGAGCUGUGCUGCUGUUGAAAGAUGCAUUGUUUCCUCUUUCUAUGCGGUGGCUGUGAUGAUUGCCAUGUAUGGAUGCACCAAAUCCCUACAACAUUUGACUAAACUUUGAUCCGCACAGCUCGGCAACCUUCGGAAGGCUUGUUCUGCAAGCAUCCAUUUUGCUUUGUAUGUGUAGGUUUGCAAAUGCUCGUAAAAAUGGCAGAUCUGAGCCCCAGCAUCUAAAUCUCUCCUUUUCGUUGUUUAGAACUAACAAUUUUUUACCCCUAGCUUGCUCUUGUUUAAAGAAUUUCUGUUUGCUAAAUUGCCUCUUGCAACAAGGUGGUUAGUUGAUAAGAAGAAAAAUGUUCCUUUAUGUCAAUGUAUGUUUGAAGUUUAGUGUUGAUAAUUACACCACAGUUGGAGGGGGUUUGGCAUAUCUUUGUAUUUAAAUAUGGCCAGCAGGAAGUGUAGUUUUUAACAGAGUAUUAGACCUACCUGGCAGGAACCUUGGAUGGCCUGCUUAUAUGCUGGCAACCAAUUUUUGCUGCUGUAAGCUGGAGUUUGUACCCAGGUUCGUAUUAUUAGUGUUGAGCAUCACGAUGUAACUUUUUGUAGUUCUACAGAGCCGAAGAAUUGCUCUUUUGUAUCCUUCUUCCUUAGUGGGUAAUCAAAAUUUCCACAAAAUUUGAACUUCAAAUCUCACUUCUUUCAAGUUUAUCCCCAAACUGGUUUUCUAUAAAAAUAAACUGAACAUGGGACUUCGGCAAUGCUGGGGGAUCUCAUAGGGGUGACACGGUCGAAUACAGUUGGAUUUUUGACGAAACCAUAUCUGUAUCCAUUUCGUAGGCUAAUUCGGAUAUGAUGAUGUCGGAUUCGAUCGGAUUUUAUCCUAACCAUUUUCACCCCUAUUUGUUGUACAUUUAUUCAGAGGCAAAAUACUCUGAGCCCUUCAAUGAGGGAUGGGCGGACGGAUGGAUGGACGGGUACAUCGCUAAGGUGAUGUGAAAGAGAGAACCCUGCGUUGGGGACAAGCAGAAAUGCAGGGAUGCUCCGCUCCCUUCUUCCUGUAAGCCCCUCUGUCUCCUACUCUCUUCCGCCCCAAAAGAAGGGAAAGAAAAAAAGAAAGAAAAAAGAAAGUCAUUUGUCUCGUUUUCUUUCUCUUCCUUUCCUUAAGAAAAGUGUUUUUAGGUUAGACAGGGAAUGUGGUAAUGGCAGGGCAGUUCUGGACGGUUUGCUCUUCUGCAGGCUACUGAGCUGCAGCCAUUACUCCGGAAAUGCAUUGGUGGGAGUGACGACGGUCAUUCAUAAUGAUGAUGAUGAUGAUGAGGAUGAUGAGGAUGAUAACCUUUGUAGGGGCUUCAUCUUCCUCUUGAUACCUCACCUAUCUUCUUGAUACCUCACCUAUUUCUUGAUCCUCGUUAAAGCAGCUAUCAUUUCCUCCUACUUCCCUUCUUAAUGCCCUAUUGUUGUUGUUGUUGUUGUUGUUGUUGUUGUUGUCAUUAUUAUUAUUAUUAUUAUUGUGGUGGUGGUGGUGGUGGGGGUUGGAUGGAGUCUACCAUCUCCCUGCCCCUUCGUAAAAGGGGAAGCUUUCGUUUCUUGGGGUUGACCGAGCCCACACAUAUAUAUGUGUGCGCGCGCGCGUGCGCUUUUAGAAGCAUAUACUUUGAACUUUGGACCCUUGGAUCCCUAGGGUUUACUAGUUAGUGAUGGUUAUAGUACGGAUCCAAGGGCUCAAAAGUUUAAGUUGUAACUUCUCAAAGCAGCAUAAGCUCUAUUCUAUAUAUAUAUAUAUGCACACACACUGUUGGUGUUUGAGGGUUUGAAAAAAAAAAAAAAAACCAGCAGGAACAAUUCUAGAUGAGGGCUAAAGUUUCAGCAGAAGGUGGAUGGCAUGGUUAUCUUGGAAGGCUCUGCUGUUCUGCAGGCAACCAUUAUUCUAUGUACGAGAAGAGAUAUCUAUUCCUUUUUCUCAUGCAAUACUCUGUUUGGUGCCAAAUCAUUAUAGAAUUGAAUAUAUUUGCAAUUCCAUGAGGGCAUUUGUGUUGCGGAAAAUGCAGACUAUGGCAAAUCUGACCACAAACCAGAGAAUUUGCUUUAUCGGAAAUAAAUUUGAAGUACACCUGCUAAUGUCUCCAAGGAUGAACCAGUUCUUCUUGGCAAUUUCAUCCAAACCAGUGAUUUGGAGGAUUCCAAACAGGGAAUGAAUGAGGCUUCGAUGAUUGCCAAUCUGGUUGCCCACAGUUUGCCCUUGCCGUUACUUCUUUACCAUUGUACAGUGUAAACGGCUCUUUUAAUAUCAGUUCUUCAGUAAAUUGGAUGGUCUGCUAAUUUAGCAGGCAACCUUUGAAGCUUUUGAUGGGUCUCUUGCCAUGUUAUCAAUCACAGUACUUCUACAAAUCGGAAGUCACAACAAAUUAAAGUUUCAGGACCAAAGUGUCACCCGCCUUAUUGUUUGAGGACCAAAUGUGUAAUUUAGCCUUAUUUUAACUUACAAAGCACCCAGAACAAAAAGAAAGCACCGGAUUUUUUUCUUUUUUUCUAGAGAAGCUUUCAAUGGCUUGCGAUGCACCUGGUGUAGGCAAUAAUUUUCCUAUCUCAGCUGCUCAUUAGGGCAACUUUGCGGGAUACCUGUAGCAGAACUCAAUUGGAAGGUCUGCUGUUGCAGGCAACCUUGUUCUAUCAUAUGUCUGUAAGGUGCGCAUGGCAACAUAAUGCUGAUCGAAUGGCAGGUCGGAGCCUCUUUCCUUCUUCUCUCUUUUCAACUCUCAGUAUUUCUCAUGCUGACUGUACGAAUGUCCUCAUGUUGACUGUAUGUUUCAAUCAGAUGCGCCCUUAAUGUUUCAUGCUAUGUCAAAGAAGUGUUUCUCCUUCAUUUUAGUUGUCAAUGGAGGCUGUGAUGAUUGCCAGCUGGGAAUGCUCCUCAACUUCUUUUAUCCUUGCUUUUGACUCUUGGCGGAGUAAAGAAGCUGAUCGAAAUACUGGAUAUCAGAGGGAAUACAGUCAGCUCAAACCAAACAUGUUUGUUGGGUUUUGACAAUUCUGGUGGGAUUUGAAUCUGUUUUGUUGGUUUUCUUGGUCCUUUUACGCUCCUUGACAGCCCUUUGCUUCGUUCAUUUGGGUGGUCUUGGCUGACAUGAUUCACCAGGUGCAGACAAUAAUCUUUCCUUUCUAAGCAGCUAUAAGGCCAACAUUAGCUACCUGUAGUAGUACUUAAAUUGGAAGGUCUGCGGUCUUGCAGGCAACAUUAUGCUGCUAUGUCUUCAAGGUGCAUAAGAUUGCGGGACCCCUCAUAAGAUAUGAUUAAAUGGCAUAUCUGAGCCUCCAUUUUCUUUUACUACUACAUUUUUUGCUAUUUAGUGGUACAUUGUUUUUCUUUUCUUUUCUUUUCUUUUUUUCUCUGGCUUUCUUGCUGCAUGUAGAAUCUAGGAUGGGUUGUUCCAUAUUUUCCUUAUCAACUUCCUGGAACUCUGCUUUAUGCUGGUUGAUGACAACUGGAUAGUUGUUCGGGGGUCUAUUUCAAAAUGGCCUAUAGUUGUGGGCAAGGAUUUAAGUGCCGUGGCAUGGGGUCGUGCCGGAAACUUGUCGGCAUGGUACAGCACGGUGCAUGCCGAGCCGUGCCGAUGCGUGCCGGUCAAAAAAAUUCUUGUGUGCCAACACAUAAUAGCAUGAAAUAUUUAUUUUCUUUAGCAACAAAAUAUUCUAAUUAUUUAUUAUGUUUUUUAUCACAUCUUUUGAACUCUAUUGAGGAAAUUACUUACUAAUUUAAAGAAUAGAGGUUUUUGAGCUGUGCCAUCGGCAUGGGGUCUGUAUCGUGCCGAUAUCUUGUUGGCACGGUGGAUACGGCCCGUGCUAACGGGCACUUAAAACCUUGGUUGUGGGGAUCUUCAUACUAUUUGCCCUUCUCAAUAUAUUUGAGGGUUAUCCCAAUAUUGUGAUUUAGUCCUUGAACCUUUUCCGUGAGCACUUGUCCCUUAUCUUUCAAAUAUUCUUGCAAUUCGUCCCCGGCCAUCACUUUGGUCCAUAUACUGCAGGCAAGAUCUCUGAUUAGCACUUUACAGUGUAACUUAAUCACUAGAGGAUUGGCGCGUGAUUCGUAAUUGGGGGCAAGAAGAAGUACAGGGCAUGCUCCCUCCUUUGUAUAAGCCCCUCUGUCUACUUUCUCUUGCACCACAAAAAGCAAAAGAAAAAAAGAAAACAUUUUAAUGUUGAUAAGGGAUGGUGAUAAUACUUUAGGCUUCGGCUUCAUUUGAGGAUGCCUCCUAUGUUGAUAGUGUUGGAUCGCCAUCUUCUUGAUUCCUCUCAUAUUUCUAGAUUCUAGCUGAAGCAACUAUUAUCUUUUUUUUUUAAUUACAUCUCCAUUUCUCUUCUUGAUGCCUUAAUUUUUUCUUCUUCUUCUUCUUGUUGUUAAUUGCUGCUGUUAUUGUUAAUUUUACUAUAGUGGUGGUGGUGGUGGUGGGUGGAGACUAUCGUCUCCCCACCUCCUCCUGAAAGGGAAAACCCAAAAACCUUAGCUUUUCAGGUUUGACCAAGCCUUCAUUUUUGGUUUUGGCUGUAUAUAUAGAGAGAGAGAGUUUGCGAUUAACUUUUUAACCCUUGGAUUUCAGCAGUAGGCGCAUGGCAUGGAAUUCUUGGAAGGCACUACUCUUCUACAGGCAACCAUUUUUCCAUGUGAGGUCUUGGAUGUACAAGAAGAUAUAUCUACUCCUUUUCUAAUGUAAUACUCUGUUUGGCACCAAAUUGUUAUAUAAGUGAGUAUAUUUGCAAUCCUGUGAGGGCAUUUUUGGAGCAAAAAUGCAAAUUAUGGUAGAUCCGACCACAAACCAGUGGAUCUGCCUAGAAUUGCUGCAAUCAUUUGAAACCAUCGGAAAUCAAUUCAAUCCACACCUGCAAAUGUUUCCAGGGAUUAAUGAGUUCCUGUUUGCAAUUUCGUUCAAAUCAGUGAUUCAAAGGAUUCUAAACAGGGUGUAAAGGUGGCGGUGAUGGUUGCCAACCUGGGUGCCAACGGUUUGUCCAAGCCGUUUCUUCUUUGCCGAGUGUACAACGUAAACAGCUCUUUUAGUAUCAGUUCUCCUUUGGUAAAUUGGAAGGUCUGCUAAUUUAGCAGGCAACCUUUACCACCAUAUAUUAUAAUGGUGCAAGAAUUAUAUGAUGCCUUUUUAAUAAAGUGGGGGAAAUGGUUGAGAACAAACUAAUUGAGGCUUUAGGUGGGUCUCUUGUGAUGUCAUCAACAGCAAUACUGCCACAUUACUGCUACAUAUGUGAGACAUCACCAUCCGCUCAACUAAAUUGGCCUGUGAGAUUUGAUUGCAGCGGUUAAGAAAGUUCGAGACAGAAAUUGUAGCAACUAUAGUUUGAGGGCCAAAGUGUUACCUGCCUCAUAGUUUGAGAACCAAAAGUGUAAUUUAUCCUUAUUUUAGAUAACAAACCACUGAGGGUGAAAAGACAGCGUUUUUCUAGGAACUGGCUCCUGUGAUGCACCAGGUGCAGGCAAUAGUUUUCCUCUCUAUGCUACGUGUGGCAGCACUCAAUUGGAAGAUACGCUGUUUUGCAGGCAACCUUGUUCCUUUGUCUUUAAGGUGCAUAAGACUACAUGAUGCCUCUUGAUAUGUUCGAAUAGCAGGUCAGAGCCUCCCUUUCUUGCUUUCUUUUCAGCUAAAAUAUAUCUCAUGCUGACUGUCCAUAUGUCCUCAUGCUGACUGUCCAAAUGUCCUCAUGCUGACUGUAUGCUUCAAUUGGACAGACCCUUAAUGUCUUGUGCAAUGGUAAGGAAAUGUUUCUCCUUCAUUUUACUUGCUAAAGUAUGCUAUGAUGAUUGCCAAUUGGGAAGGCACCUCAACUUAUUUUAUCCUGCCUUUUGACUCUCUGUAGAGUGCAAAAGCUUAUUGAAAUGCUAGAUUUAAGAGGCAAUAUAGUCAGGUCAAACCAACGAUCUUGAUUGGGUUUUGAUAAUUCGAGUGGCAUCUGAAUCUAGUGGUUGGUUAGCUUGGUGCUUCUACACCCCUUGAGAGCCAGUCGCACGCUUGUAUGCUGAUUCAUAUGUGGAUAUCCAAGCAUGCAUCUCUCUUUCUCUCUCUCUCUCUGUCACGCCCCGGUUCCUUGGAGGGUCACCCAUUCUAGAAUUACUCUAGCCCUAUGUUUGCUCAACCCUCUUAACUUCUUGGGCUUAGCCACUGCUCAAAAUGCUAUAGCUAGGUUUAGAUGUUUAUACCUUAUAUAUAGAACUUCCAAAAUGCUAUAGCUACUCUAGAACUACUCUAGCCCUAUGUUUGCUCAACCCUCUUAACUUCUUGGGCUUAGCCACUGCUCAAAAUGCUAUAGCUAGGUUUAGACGUUUAUACCUUAUAUAUAGAACUUCCAAAUCCUAGGGGUGUCACAUUCUCCUCUCGGUUACCCCCUUCCCUUUUUUAGGCUCUGACGUCCUCGUUAGGCUCAAACACACUCACAAGAACCGUCGAUGUGAGACUCGUCUUGCUAGCUUUAGCUAACCUUGUGGGGAGCCGCGUUCCACCCACAACGGCCAGGAGAGCUGUGCUUUUGCUCGUUUUAUGACUCUAGCUCAGCCAAGGCUCACCUGACACUUAUGGUUGGUGAUUUGCUUCGAUACCAACUGUGACGCCCCGCUUCCCAGAGGGGUCAUCCAUCUAAGAACUACUCUAGCCUUAGGCUCGCUCAAUCCUCUUAACUUCUGGGCCUAGUCACUGCUCAAAAUGCUAUAGCGGGGUUAAAAGGUUUAGCCCUACUAUAUCUUAUAUAUAGAACUAUUCCAAUCCUGAGAGUCUCUGUCUCUCUCCCCCUCUCCCCCCUCUCCUUAGGGAUGUCAAUAGGUAUGGAUACCCGAAAUUUUAUCCAAAUCCGAACUCGAAUAAAAUGGAUAUAUUCGAUGUUAAAUGGAUAUGGAUUUGGAUAUGGAUAUCAAAAAUAGAAACCCGAUGGAUAUAGAUUCGGAUAUGGAUUUUGAUUGUACCCGAAUUUAUUUUGUACUUUAUAUAUAUAUAUAUAUAUAUAUAUAUAUGUAUGUAUGUAUAAAUUUGAUGUUAUAUUUGAAUUUGUAUUUUAAAAAUUUAGAUUUAACAUAAUAUAUUUUGAAAUAUUGAAAAAAUAAAUAAUUGUUUUGGGUUCAAAUUUUCGGGUUCGGAUUCGGGUUCGGGCUUCGGAUUUUCGGUUGGGUUCGGGUUUGGACAUGGAUUUUUAAAAUCCGUCGGGUUCGGGUUCGCGUCUCGGGUUUGGAGUGGGGUUCGGGUUCGGGUUCGGGUUUUUGAAAAUCCGCCCCGAAUCCGACCCGUUGGCAUCUCUACCUCUCCCCCCGAUUGUCUCAUGCCCUAAUGACCAUUUAUAGUCAUAAUCUAUUUCAAAUAAUUUUGGAUUCGAUCAAAUAUCAUAUUUCUAUUUGUUAUAUAAAAUUAUGUGCAAGGCAUGUGAUCAAAACAGUUGCUCAAUUAGUAACUUCACCUGAACGGAGGGGUUCACUAAACUAUUUGAUAAAGUUUAUGCGGUUUUGUUUCCAAAAAGUAAAACUUUAGGCUCCUGUUUGCAAAAGUGUUAAAGUGCGGAGUACCAAUUUUUGAUGUUUGUAUAUCUAAAAUCAUUUUUUUAAAAUGUAGCUGGUAAUUGCCAAGCAGCUCUGGACUGUCUGCUCUUCUGCAGGCUACGGAGCUGCAGCCAUUGUUCCAGAAAUGUUGUGGCGGCGGCGGCUGCAGUUGGUGAUCAUUCAUAAUGAAGAUGAGGAUGAUGAUUAUAACCUUUAAAGAGGCUUCUACCGCAUCUAAGGAGGCCUCCUACAUCGAUGGCAUCUGAUUGUCAUAUUCUGAUACCUCUCAUAUUUCUCAAUCCUCGCUUAACUAUCAUCAUUUUUUUUUCUUCUACUUCUCCAUUUCUCUUUAUGGUGACUUGUUGUUGUUGCUGCAGCUGCUGGUGUUCUUGUUAUUGUUGUUGUUGUUGUUGUUGUUGUUGUUGUUGUUNCCAUAUCUCUUCAUGAUGACUUGUUGUUGUUGCUGCAGCUGCUGGUGUUCUUGUUAUUGUUGUUGUUGUUGUUAUUAUUAUUGUUAUUGGGGUCGCGGGGUUGGAGGUGGGUGGAGUCUGAAUGUCUCCCCGCCCCUUCCUGAAAGCCGAAACUUAGAAAACUUCGCUUUGCUGGGUUGACUAAGCCUUCAUUCUUGGUUCUGGUUAUAUAUAUCUAUAUAUAUAUAGAUAUAGAUAUAGAUAUAUAGAAACAGCUUGUAUUUGGGGGACAAAAAGGACAAAACAAACAGCAAUGAAACCAAAUGAGGCGUUAAGUUUACAGUAGUAGUUGCAUGGCAUGGUAAUUUGGAAGGCUCUGCUUUUCCGCAAGCAAUCAUUUUUCCAUGUCUUUUCUUUUUUAUACUUGGUGAAAUGGUUGAGAACAAACUGAUUGAAGCUUUUGGUUGUCUCUUGCGAUGUCAUCAACCACAAUGCUGCCACAUUACUGCUAUAUUAAUGAGACAUCACCAUUCACUUAACCAAAUUGGCCUGUGAGACUUGAUUGCAACAAUCAAGAAAGUAUGAGCUAGAAAUUGCGGCUAUUAUUGUUUGGGGACCAAAGUGUCACCUGCCUCAUAGUUUGAGGACCAAAAGUGUAAUUUAGCUUUAUUUUAUCUAUCAACCCUUGGAACAGGCAUUAAUUUUCCUAUCUCAGCACUCUGUUGGAAGGUCUGCUGUUUUGCAGGCAACCUUGUUCUGUCAUUUGUGAUGCCUCUUGAUGUGAACGAAUGGCAGGUCGGAGCCUCUCUGUCCUUCUACUUUCUUUUCACUGUUGAUAUUUCUCAUGCUGACCGUCCAUAUGUCCUCAAUCCUCUUGCUGACUGUAUGCUUCAACCGGAAGGCCCUUACUGUUUCAUGCAAUAUUAAGGAAGUGUUUUUCCUUCGUUGUACUUGUCAAAGGAGGCUGUGAUGAUUGCCACUUGGGAAUGCACCUCAACUUCUUUAAUCCUUGCUUUGGAUUCUCGGCGGAGUGCAGAAGCUGACCAAAAUACUAGGUAUAAGAGAGUCAACUCAAACCUGAGACCUUGGUUGGGUUUUGACAGUUCGGGUGGGAUUUGAAUCUUUUUUUUUUUUUUAAUUUUAUAUUUUAGUCCUUUUACACCCCUUGAGAGGCCUUUACGUGGUUCAUUUGUGGGAUAGACGGCAUCUCAGUGGAUGGCUUUUGGCUGACAUGAUCACCUGGUGUAGGCUAUAAUUUUUCCUUUCUCAGCAGCUCAUAUAACCAACAUUAAGUACCUGUAGCAGGACUUAAAUUGGAAGGUCUACUGUCUUGGAUGCAACAUUUUGCUGUCGUGUCUUUAAGGUGCAGAAGAUUGCAAGAUCCCUUGCGAGAUGAUUAAGUGGCAAAUCUGAGCCUCCAUUUUCUUCUCCUACUUUCUUUUUAGCUAUUAGGAUUCGGUGGUACAUUAUUUAUUUUUCCCAUUUUUUCUUUUCCUCCUCUGGCCUUCUUACUGCAUGUAGAACCUAGGUGGGUUGUUUUCACAUAUUCCUUAUCUACUUCCUGAAAUGUGACACUCUACUUCAUGCUGGUUGAUGCUAAAUCAUUUAUCCUGUAUGUCUUCAGAUUUAGGCAACUUGUUAGUCUUUUAGAUUUUGAAAAGAACUAAAAACAGAUAAAGAUACGGAUGUUUGGCAUGUAUAUCUGUAUAUUUGUAUGCUGAUUCAAAUGUGGGUAUCCAACAUACUUGUAUAUCUACUUUUCCAUUUCUCUUCUUGAUGCCUUGUUGUUGUUGCUGCUGCUGCUGUUGUUAUUCUUGUUAUUAUUAUUACUGUUGUUAUUGUUAUUGUGGUCGCAAUGGUGGUGGUAGAGGUGGGUGGAGUAUCGCCUCUCCGUGUCACGCCCCGAAACCGCUAUCAAUUUGGUCCGGCUCGGGCGCGUCGAACAGACGCCGAACGGACAGAACCUCCCCUCCAUUCUAGGCUCAACAACAAGAUCAUGUACGUUUUUGUCGCCCAGGAUGACAUACAACAUACAUGAACAGUACGAAGCACCGCAAGUGCUACACAAUUAAGAGCAAGACACAAGUAAUAAAAUGAGUGGUAUAAAGAGAGUAACAUCUAGCUAUUACAUCCACAAGGCAUUCAACAUUUAGAUCCUUGAUUAUAUUUACGUCUCCAAAAUGAAUAUUCAUGAUAAUCUCCAAAAUACCCUAGCAAUCUCCCAAAAUACAUCAUAUGUCACGGGGUGCACGAGGGUACACUAAUGCAAGUGGAAGCUGCUAACUAUACCUAGGGCGCGAUGCUCUUACCACGAUCCUCUGCCGGUGCUCUCUCGCUAGGCCCUGCAACAAAGUGGGGUGAGAACUAUAUAAAUAUAGUUCCCAGUGGGUUCGGCCGCCGACUCCGCCGAUCUUCCCACUAGGUCUAAGCAGGCAUAAGCAGAUAGAUAUCUGUAACUGUAAUUGAUGCAUAUAGAAGGAAUUGCAAGAUUCUACUAUGCCUGGAGAACAAGAGUAAAUCACAUAGCCAUGUAAUCUCUAACAUGCUAUAAUAACUCUAUCAAGUAUACAUGCAAUUCUACUAUGCCCAGCAUGCUCAACAUACUCAAUAUGCUUACUAUGCUCAAUAUGCAUAAUUCUCUUGAGUUCAUCACCCAAUCAUCUGGCUAGCCCAAAGGCGCGCCCUCGACUCACAACUCAAAUCCGUCUAUGAAGGGGGACUCGAACCACUCGAGGGAUUGUCUGCGGGACCCCACAUAGGCUAUCCCUUGGGACCCCACAUAGGCUAUCUCAAUCGUUUCACGUGCCAAGACUCCGAAACUCGCACUACUUGUGCGGAGCGACCGCCACAAGCGCUGAACAGACUGUGUGAGUAUAAUCAAAUUCGUUUCCAACGAAGGUACCCGGUCACUACGACCUACAUGCACAAGUGUUCUUUUAACACUACGUUCUAAUGCCACUCGUCAAGUUGUUUACUUGGUAUACAUAUGACACUCGUCAAGUAUGUACUUGGUUCACAUGUCACUUGCCAUAAUGCAAUUGUCCCGACUAUACUAGUCAUAUAUCCGCUAUGCAAGAUCAAGUUAUUGUCUAACUUAUCUCUAUAGGGUUCUAUGUCACAAACUCAUUCUCAUGCACCCUAAGUUCACAUGCCAAGCCUACUAUGUCGCAAUACAAGGGAGCAUGCAAGAAUAGUAAAAGUAACAUCUAAAUACCCUAACAUGCAUGAUACUAUAUAUGUAGUAUGUUCAACAUAGAAAUACUUAGACAUAGGGAGAAGCCCAGUUGCUUCGGGAUGACACCCCCCACCUCUUGGUGAUGUCCUGAAGUUACGAUUCCGUUUCCAAGAUUUUUGGAAGCUUUCGCCGCAAGUUGCGGCAAUCUGUACCCUAACGGCUUCGUUCUUUAAUAUCUUCGCGUACGCUCGUCGUAUCGCCGAACCGAUUUCGCCAACGCGUCAGAAAAUCUAGCAAUUAGGUUUAUACAUGAUCAAUUUAGAUCAAAACCUCACAUAUCGAAAAAUUCUAUUUUUGAGCCCUAACAUGCAAUUACCCCCAAAUAAUCCAAAUUAAAUGGAGCAACAUGCUAAGAAUGCUCAUUAGAGGCUACUAGAAUACUUAAAGUUAAGGAUUAAGCCAAAUCCCAAAAGUUUACCAAAAUGUGAACGCCGAGACGGAAGCACGCCGCUCCAACGGGCGCACGAAAGCUCGAUCCGUCGCUCCCGACGCGUUCGCAAGCUCGUUCUCCGCCAACGCCGCGAAUUUGGGCGAAAGAUCUAGAGAGAUGAGAGAGUUAUUUAGAGAGAGAAAGUGAGGAUUUCUCUCACUACCACCAUGAACAUGUGCUUGUGGGGGUGGUGCUUGGCUGUGAAGAAGAAGCCAAGUCACUAGAAGCUUCUACUUAUAUAGUCAACACCCCAAUAUAGUCAACACCCCAAUAGUAGCAUACACUAUUCACUUCAGGCAGUUCGAAAUCUGAUAUCUUUCGCCGGAGCCCUCUGAAUAUCCGUUUGAGCUCAAAUUUGACAGUCAUGUUCGGAUUUGCUUAACUUAACGAAAGAAAUUUUAAUCUUUCAGUUUCGACCUCGUUUGGUCACCGAAAGCCGUACCGAACUGUAAUCUUUAUCAGAUCACUAUCGGAUUUUAUUUUUCACCUUCCGGAUGUCAGAAUGAUAUGAAACUUUAAAUCUAGCCUCAUAAAAAUAAUUUUGGCUUAUCCUCCAGUUUUCAGAAUUUUCUGACACUGCAUUUUCUGCUAAUUUAUCUGCCCCGUUUCACACAGAAAAUUCUAAAUCUUCUGUUUUCGCUCUGAUUUCAACACGGGUCAUUCCAGACUUAUAUUUUAUGUCUAUAAGUCCAAUAAAAUAGUAUCUCACACUAUUUUUAUUUAUAUUUAUUUUUAUAUUAAAAUUUCAGCAUAUUACAUCCCACCGUAACUUCAUAAUUUAAGAAGUUCGGUACCUUACAAUCCGCCCCUUCCUGAUGGGGGAAACCCACAAAAAUUUGCUUUUCGGGUUGACCAAGCCUUCAUUCUUGGUUCUGGUUCUAUAUAUAUAUAUAUAUACAUACAAACUGUUUGUAUAUAGAGGAAAAAAGAAAAAGAAAAAAGCAACAAAACCAAAUGAAGCCUUAUUAAGGUUUCAGUGGUAGGUGCAUGGCAUGGCAAUUUUGGAAGGCUCCGCUUUUCUGCGAGCAACCAGUUGUCCAUGUGUUGCCUUGCUUAGAUUUGCCGAAAUGGCUGAGAACAAACAAAUUGAAGCUUUCGAUGGGUCUCUUGGUUGUCAUCAACCACAAUACUGCUGCAUUACUGCUACUUUAGUGAGACCACCAUUUACUCAACAAAAUUGGCCUAUGAGACGAUUGCUACAAUCAAGAAAUUUUCGAGCCAGAAACUGCAAGUAUUAUAGUUUUGAGGACCAAAGUGUCAUCUGGAUCAUAGUUUGAGCACCAAAGUGCAAUUUAACCUUAUUUUAUCAAACGAACCAAGGAACAGGCAAUAAUUGUCCAUCUCACCUGCCUGUGGCAGUACUCAAUUGGAACUCAAUUGGAAGGUCUGUUGUUUUGCAGGCAACCUUGUUCCAUCAUUUAUCUUAAAGGUGCAUAAGAAUACACGAUGCCUCUUGAUAUGAUUGAAUGACAGGUCAGAGCCAACUUCUUUCAUACUCUCUUUUGUUAUACUUGUCAAAGGAGGCCGUGAUGAUUGCCACUGGGGAAUGCACCUCAGCUUCUUUAGUCCUUGCUUUUGAUUUUUCGUUGGAGUGCAGAAGCUGACCAAAAUACUAGGUAUAAGAGAGUCAACUCAAACCUGAGACCUUGGUUGGGUUUUGACAGUUCAGGUGGGAUUUGAAUCUGGUUUUUUUUGGUUAUUUUGGUUCUUUUACACCCCUUGAGACGCCUUUGCAUGGUUCAUUUGUUGGAUAGACAGCAUCUCAGUGGAUGGCUUUUGGCUGACAUGAUCACCUGGUGCAGGCUAUAAUUUUUCCUUUCUCAGCAGCUCAUAUGUGACCAACAUUAGGUACCUGUAGCAGGACUUAAAUUGGAAGGUCCACUGUCUUGGAUGCAACCUUUUGCUGUCGUGUCUUUAAGGUGCAGAAAAUUACAAGAUCCCUUGCGAGAUGAUUAAGCGGCAUAUCUGAGCCUCCGUUUUCUUCUCCUACUUUCUUUUUAGCUAUUAGGAUUUGGUGCUACAUUCUUUAUUUUUCCUUUUUUUUCUUUUCCUCCUCUGACCUUCUUACUGCAUGUAGAACCUAGGUGGGUUGUUUUCAAAUAUUCCUUAUCUACUUCCUGAAACAUGACACCAUACUUCAUGCUGGUUGAUGCUAAAUCAUUUAUCCUGUAUGUCUUCAGAUUUGAGGCAACGUGUUAGUCUUUCAGAUUUUGAAAAGAACUAAAAACGGAAUAAAGAUUCGGAUGUUUGGCAUAUAUAUCUGUAUACUUGUAUGCUGAUUCAAAUGUGGGUAUCCAACAUACAUGUGUAUCUACUUUUCCAUCUCUCUUCUUGAUGCCUUGUUGUUGAUGCUGCUGCUGCUGUUGUUAUUAUUAUUAUUAUUUUUGUUAUUAUUAUGGUCGCAGUGGUGGUGGUGGAGGUGGGUGGAGUCUAUCGUCUCUCCACCCCUUCCUAGGGAACCCACGAAACUUUUCUUUUCGGGGUUGACCAAGCCUUCAUUCUUGGUUCUGGUUAUAUACAUACAUACAAACAUUUUGUAUAUAGAGGAAAAAAGAAAAAGAAAGGAAAAAAAAAGCAACAAUAACAACGAUACCAAAUGAAGCCUUAAGGUUUCAGUAGUAGGUGCAUGGCAUGGUUAUUUUGGAAGGUUCUGCUUUUCUGAGAGCAACCAAUUUUCCAUGUGUUGUCUUGCUUAGACUUGCCGAAAUGGCUGAGAACAAACAAAUUGAAGCUUUCGCUGGGUAUCUUGGGAUGUCAUCAACCAUAAUACUGCUAUGGUAGUGAGACAUCACCAUUUACUCGACCAAAUUGGCCUGCGAGACGAUUGCAACAAUCAAGAAAGUUCAAGCCAGAAAUUGCCAGUAUUAUAUUUUUGAGGACCAAAUUGUCAUCUGCCUCAUAGUUUGAGCACCAAAAGUGUAAUUUAGCCUUAUUUUGUCUAACAAACCACAGACACAAAACAGGCAAUAAUUUUCCUAUUUCACCUAUGUAAUACACUGGAUCUUAGCAAAUUGCAAGAUUCGAGUGUUUGAUCUGUGUGUGGAGCCUUUCCACAGUUUUUGGAGGGUCGUUGAUAGUGUUCCGACCCCUGGCACGCACCCCGAGGAUGUUGGUUUGAGACUUGGCACCAAAAUUUCAAAAUUGAAAUUUUUAGUCAGCUCUCGGAUAGCCUGCAGCAGAGCUUGUACCGGAACAAGAUUGGUCUUGUACCGGUACAAGGUUGAUGGUUGUACCGGUACAGCCAUCGGGCUUGUACCGGUACAGAGCCGCAGACUCCGCAACCCGAGCCUCGGGUUUGCAUUUUCGCAGGGCUUGUACCGGUACAAGGGCCCGUGUACCGGUACAAGGUGGCUGAUUGUGUGCAGUUUGAUACUGCAGGGGGUUUUUCGCGAUUGUAGCCUAUCUAUAUCAGCCCCCACGCCUUUAGGGACUCUCCCUGAGCUGAGACCAGCAGGAGUUGAGGUAGGAGGAACUCUCUUCUUUCCUUUGCAUUUUUACUCCUUUUGCUUGGUUUUUAUUGGAUUUUCUCUCCUCUAUUUGCAUCUUGGUGGCUUCUCCACCAUUGUUGAUGGCUUAAAGCUUGGAGAGGAGCUAGUGGCCGCGGAGAUCUUCAACGUCACUUGGAUUGGAGCUAAGUUUGGAACUUCUUGAGAGGUCAGAGACUUGAUUUCUCCCUUUGAUCCUUGAUUUGAGGUUUUUGUGAGAUCAAACCCUAGAAAUGAAAAUUUAGGGUUUAUUUGGGCAUUUUCGUUUUAGGGCUUUUGAGGCUCAAUCUCUUGGAUUAGAGCCUUCCUCUAGGGUAGAUUGGAGGGGUUCUAACUCUCAUUUGGAGCUUGAGAGGAGAUCUUUGCAUUUGAGGUGAGUUUUCCUCACCUAUGCUUGCAUAGCUUAUAGAUUGAGCUUAGCAUCAUUCGUUUCAUUUAGGUGACACUUGUUUUCAUACCUCUAGGAUACUAGGAGGUUAGAGGACACCUUCGUCGGAGCAAACGAAGGGCUUCGUUUACCGUUGGUGGUUUUGACUUCAUGAAAACGGGGCGAAAUGGCCCCUAUGCCUCCUAAACUCUUCGUAAAGUAUUUUUAAAUUCAUUUCUAUGCUAAAUAGAAUUUAUAUGAAUUUUUGAGCACUUAAAAUGCAUGCCUUGUGUAUUAUGAAGAAUUUCACUAUAUAGUAGAGCUAUAUGAGUAGAAUGCAUGCAUACGGGAAAAGUGUUUAUUUUGCAAGUGGAAAAUACAUCUCUUAUGAGGAGUAUGACUUGGGACAUGUACUUUGGAACAUAGUUGCCAUGCUUGGACAUAGAGAACAAGAGUGUCAUCAAGGGGCACUUGAAACUAGUAAACUAUUAAAUUGCAAUAUAGAGACAUAUUGAUAGGCCACUACAUAUCUGCUAUAUUCCAUGUUAGAGACAUGAUGACAUAGAGAUAGGCCACUGAGAUACUUGAUAUAUAUUCCAUGUUGNUUUAGCCUUAUUUUGUCUAACAAACCACAGAACAGGCAAUAAUUUUCCUAUUUCACCUACCUGUGGCAGCACUCAAUUGGAACUCAAUUGGAUGGUCUGCUGUUUUGCAGGCAACCUUGUUCCAUCAUUUAUCUUAAAGGUGCAUAAGAAUACAUGAUGCCUGGAUAUGAUCGGAUGGCAGGUCAGAGCCUCUCUUUCCUUGUGCUUUCCUUUCAGCUAUUAAUAUUUCUCAUGCUGACUGUUCAUAUGUCCUCAUUCUGACCGUAUACUUCAAUCAGACCGGCGCUUAAUGUUUCAUUCAAUCUUAAGGAAGUGUUUCUCCUUCAUUUUACUUGUCAAAGGAGGCUGUGAUGAUUGCCAGUUGGGAAUGCACCUCAACUUCUUUUAUCCUCUCUAUUGAUUCUCGGUGGUGUAAAAGCUGAUCGAAAUACGGGAUAUAGGAGGCAAUAUAGUUAGCUCAAUCCUUAGAUCUUGGUUGUGUUUUGAUAAUUCGGGUGGGAUUUGAAUCCAGUUUGUUGGUUAGUUUUGUCAUUUUGCUUCCCUUGAGAGCCUUUCGCUUCGUUAAUUCGUGGGAUAGACAGCAUCUCAGUGGGUGGCUUUUGGCUGACAUGAUUCACCGGGUGCAGGCAAUAAUUAUUCCUUUCUCAGCAGCUCAUCAGGCCAACAGUAGCUCCUGUAGCAGUAGUUAAAUUGGAAGGUCUGCUGUCUUGCAGGCAACCUUAUGCUGUUCAUAUCUUUAAGGUGCAUAAGAUUACGAGAUCCCGAUCCCUCAUGAGGUGAUUGAAUGGCAAAUCCGAGCCUCCAUUUUAUUCUCCUAGUUCCUUCUUAGUUAUUAAGAUUUAGUGGUACAGUAAUUUUUUUGUAGCUAUUAAUAUUUAAUGGUACACAAUUUUUCUGUUUUAUCUUUAAUUUCUCAUCCUCUGGCUUUCUUACUGCAUGUAGAAUCUAGGAUGGGUUGUUUCAAACAUUCAUUAUCAAUCCCCUGAAACCCUACUUCGUGCUGGUAGAUGAUGACUAGAUAGAAGUUUGGGGGGUCUAUUUCAAAAUGGUCUAUAGUUGAGGGGAUCUUUAUCCUAUUUAUCCUCUCAAUAUAUCUGAUGGUGAAAAGGUGUUGAUAGUCCCUGUCGUGUCCCAAUACUGUCCCAAUAUUGUGACUUAGUCCUUGAACCUUUUCAAUAACACUCCUCUCUUUCAUCUUUCUUAUAUUCUUGGAAUUUCAUCUCUCCCAUCUCUUUGGUUCAUAUGUUGCAGGCAAAAUCUCUCAUUAGAACUCUGCAUUGUAAUUUAAUUACUAGAGAGGAUUGGCAGGCGCGUGAUCAGUAAUUAGAGGCAGCUCUGGAUGGUCUGCUGUUCUGCAGGCAACCUAGCUUGUACCCAUUUAUCCGGUCAUGGCUGGGGUGGAGGAGGUGGUGGUAGUGAUAAGGAUUGGAUGUAUGUGGGUUCAUAUGAUCCUCUUCUCUGAUUAGGGUAUCACCAUUGCUAUCUUCGCGGCACUCACUUAUUCUCUUGAUCAAAGUUCCUGUAAAGGAUAUCCUUCGUCAUUUACUUCUAUUUCGCAAUUCCUGUUCCUUGAUGUGUUUCGGUAUUUGUGGAAGUUUCUGUUGAUCAUCUUCAAGAGAUGCAGAAUAACCACUUUUGUGGAGUAAAGCUUCUCUCCGCGGUCUUCUGAGAUGUAUACCCAUGAAAUUUUGUGCCUCAGGGUUGAUGAAUGGCUAAAAAUCAAGCUUUUUGAUUUUGAUUGUGCAUUCUUCAUAUGGGUUUAAUUGGUCAGUUAGCUUGGUCCAUUGACACCUCUAAUCUGAGCCAUGCUUCAUUAAUUCAUGGGAUGGAUGACAUUGCCGUUGGUGGUGCAUGUCUGAUCUUGUGCACCGGGUACAGGCCAUAAUUUCUCCUAUCUCUGCAGUCCAUAAGGUCGGCGUUUUGGGGUUCACAUAGCAAUGCUCAAUUGAAAGGUCUGCAUUCUUGCAGGCAACCUUACAAAGUCAUUUGUCUUUAAGGUGCGUAAGACUACAUGAUGCCUCAUGAUAUGAUUGAAUGGCAGAUCUGAGCCUCCCUUUUCUUCUUGUUUCUUUUCAGCUAUUAGGAUUUAUUGUUGUCAUUUUCUUCUUCUCUGUGUUUGUUUCUGCAUGGAGAAGCUAGAUCAUCAAUUCCUAUUCCCUGUACUUUUCAGUGGUUGAUGAUCAGAUUUGAGUUGGUGACUUGGUCGGCUUAUUUCAAGAUGGCCUGUAGUUGAGGGGUCUUCAUACAUUUUACCUUUUUAAUAUGGGUUGGAAUAAGAAUCAGAUAUUAUUUUUCAUCCGAGGCUGGUGAUAUCGGUGACUUUAUCUGAGGAAUAAGAGCUAUUUAUAGUCCCUGUACUAUUCCGAUAUUGUAAUUUGGUCCAAACUACAUCUCCACAACCUUCACUUCGGCACAGGUGUAGUUUCCUAUUAGACCUCUGCAGUGUAAUUCAACCACUACAGAGGUUCCAAGUGUGAUCUAGCAAUGGUGAGGCAGCUAUGGAUGGUCUGCCUUUCCGCAGGCAACCUAGCUGGACCCCUUAAAUCUAAUCAUGAUCUGCCAUGAAGAUAGCAUGCCAGUGUAGCUUCAUCUUUAAGACUCUUCCUCUGUUGAAAGUUUGGAGUGCCAUCUUCGUGGUACAUUUGUUCUCUUGAUCCUGUUAAGAAUACUAGUCCCAUAUUCGAUACUUAAGCUUUUUGGAUUGGUCCGAGACUUUUGGCAUAUCCAACUUCUAGCGAGGGAUAUUUUUAUCUUUUUUUUUUUUUUCAAUUAUUCCAUCUGUCCUUCCUGAUGCCUUUGAUUAUUUGGAGAAGGCGGUAAUGAUUUCUAGCAUGUUGCACAUGAGCUUUCUUCCAAAAUGUUAUGAUUAUUCUAUCCCAGGCUGUAGAAUAUUGAUUUUGCCAAUUGGACGUAGUGGAGGAUGCCGGUCAGCGCGUGUGCGGAGCCUAAAUGAGGUGAAAACGUUUUGGCGCGAAAUGGACGCAAAAACGAAUGAAUAGGGUCAAUCUCUUAUUAUGGAGGACCAAAUCGCAAAUAGACAAAGUUUCGGGCUAAGUUGCAAAAAGGGCAACUUAGUGGAAUUCCACUAAGAGCUCUUAACCUUAUUUUACUGUUCUUUCACUAUUCUGGCCUCCAGUAGACCUAAUGGGAAGAUCGUGGUUAUCGUCGACCGUAUCCACUGGGAACUACUGUUUAGUAGUUCUCACAUCCUUUUGUGGUUUACUUUUGAGGGGUAGGUAUACUGACGGCUGAUCGAGGUGAGGGGGAUCGCGCAGUAGAUACCAUCUCCUACCAGCAUGCCUAGACAUGAGUGGACUACUAGAUAGAGUGCUACUCUGUACUACAUGCAUGUACUGGUGAGGGCCAGGGCUUUUUUUCUUGUACUUUUCUUUUGGGGUUGAGUUUUAUUUGAUAUAGUACAUGAUGUACAGUAGUUUAGUUUGUAGAUAGCGCUCUGAUACUUGUCGUUUGCUUAUUCUGUACUUCAUGUUGAUUCCUGUGUUGUGGAAACUUCUCUAGUGUGACCUCUUGGAAUCCUUUGUCCUGUUCAGUUAUGUUGACGUUUCGUUCAGGCAGGAAAAAACUCUGUUCGUUCGGCGAGUCUGUUGACGUCCCCAUAGGCUUCCGCUGUGGACUUGGGGCGUGACACAGGCUUCCUGAGAUUCAAAGUUUGAAACCCUUGAAAUACUGCUUUAGGUUUCAAAUCUUGGAAGGCUCUGCUUUUCCAGCAGGCAACCAGUUUUGCAUUCAGGGUUCAACCCGUUUUUUCGAAAUUUUUUUUUUUUUUCCCAUAUUAUAUCAUUUCUGACAAAAAGGUUGUAUCCAGUAUUUGAUUUGUGUCCCCAGCUAAGCACUCAUGGUUUCCAACACUGCUCUCCGUUGAAUGUUUGUAUUUGAAUUUGUACUUGGAGAAGUAUGGAAAUAGUCAGUUGCUAUCUGAACAAUAUCCGACCCAUUUUCAUCCCUAGUUAUGUGACAGGUAGUGAUCCUAGUAGAGUCUAGAGACACUGAAGAAGAGAUAUAGUCGUUUCUCACCCUCUAUCAGCGUCUAGAGAGUCUAGAGAGUAAGAGGGAAUCGUUAUCCUGAAAUUUCUUUCCUAAUGUCCAUAUCAGUGUCUCUUUACGUUUUAAUCUUUCUGCUGUGGAAAUCUUAUUUUAGAUUGCUUUACUUCGCUUUCUCGUAUGUCCUGCAUCUAGGUAAUCUUCUUAAUCUAUGUUGUUAGAGCCUUCUUGACUGUCUCUUCUCUCUCUACUUGGGUUCAUCCAUUAACCAGAUAGAAUUGUCCUCUUCUUUUUCUGCAGAAUGUGUUUACCUAAACUAUGAACAAAUGAUAUACAUUUUUUUGUUUUUUCAAUUGACCUCUGAAUAUUGACUUGGUUUCUUUGAUUAAUUAGUUAGUUCACUGCAGUCGGCUUUUUUUUUUUUUUUUUUUUUUUUUUUUUUUUUUUUGGUUUUUGGUUUAUACAUUCUGUUUCCAGCAUAUUUUUUAUAUUAAUGGCUUUACUGUUUACUGUUUUCUGAAUUAGUAUUUUGCAGUUGACAUUUCUCUCGUAUUCCCGUUUCUUUUUAUUAUUUUUGUUAUUAUUGUACCGUUUUGUGUUCUUUCAACAUGCUUGUACAUCUUUCUUCUCUUAUUCUUCUAAUCCCUAGCUACCAUUUUACCAUUGAACCCUGAAUUCUAAACCCUUGGGACAUUGUUUGGUUCAUAAGUGGAGUGAGAAUGGAAAAUAGAAUGACAAACCAUCAACGAAUGUUUGAUUCAUUAUUGACCAAAAUAGUUGUAUAAUUAGGAGGUUCACUUAGAGAGCGGGGGUGUACCGAGUUAUUUAAUAAAAUAUAGUAGAGGACCUACUCGGCAAAAAUAAUAGUUUACGCAGUUAUUUGCAAAAUAACUAAAUUUUAAUUUUUAGGAUGUCUCUGAACAUUUUUUUUUCCUUUAUGAUUUUUUUUUUUUGGCAAUGUUAACUCUACAACGCACCCGUUUUAGACUGUAGAUCUUAUAACUAGAUUAUCCAAAAAGAUAAUCAACUUUGUGCCCUUAAAAAAGAGCUAAUUUCCUCUGUAGCUUUAAAAAAUUAAUAAUUUUUCAUUUACCUUUUAUUUCGAAAAUAUACUCCCGAAAAGAAAAAUUUACAUGCUCCUUUAAAUAUUUGAAAGAAGGAUCAGGUAAAUAUGAAAUUAAUUUUGUAUUGAGGCGUAUAUGAGUAGUGAUAUUAAUGAACACUAAUGUGAUAAUUUUUGUUGAAUUAAUGUUAAAAGUUAAUUAAAAUAAAUAUUACAGAAAAGAAGUUUAGGAGAAAAACCAAAAAUAGGAAAUUACUCCAAAAAUCUCAAAGAAGGAAAAGGAAGGUAAGGAUGUUGUUUCAAAAUAGCUAUUAUUGAGGAGUCUCGACGCUUUUUUGUAUUUGAAAUCAAUGAUUUAAGUGUCUUGGCACGGGAUCGUGCGGAAAUUUGCCGGCACGAUAUGUGCCGAGCCGUGCCGAUGCGUGUCGGUCAAAAAAAUUCUUGCAUGCCGACACAUGGCAACAUGAAAUAUUUAUUUUCUUUAGUAACAAAAUAUUUUAACUAUUUAUUAUAUUUUUUUAUCACAUCUUUUGAACUUUAUUGAGGAAAUUAUUUACUAAUUUAAAGAAUAUAGGGUUUUUAGCUGUGCCAUCGGCACGGGAUCUGUAUCGUGCCGGUAUCUUGUUGGUGCGAUAUGGCACGGUGGAAACGGCCCGUGCCGACGGGUACUUAAAAUCUAGUUCGAAAUGCUGAGUGCACAUGCGGUUGUUACAAAUUAUUUAUAAUUACAAUGUUUUCCACUAUAUCUAAUUAAACAAAUUAUCUAUAUCUAUAUCUCUAUACUUAUACAUUAUUUUCCAUAUAGUCUUGCCACGUAGCGGUCCCUUCUUUAUCUUACCUUCUCCUCUCUUCUCUAAUCACAAUUGUUUCAGCCGCACAAAACCUUUGAUCUUCCAAUCAAUGAACGAUCUUAAACCCACACUCUUCGUUUCCCCACUAAGGAGUUACUAACGCAUUAUUAACUUUAAUAAUUAAUAAUUACGAUGAUCCGCACAAUUAGCACCACUAAAACCCCAUCAUCAUCAUCUCCUCUUUCUCGGAAUCAAAUAUCACACUCUAACAAUGUCCUAUGUUAUAAACCAACUUUUCUAUCUAUUAUUCUUAUUAUUAUUCUCGAACGCGAGGACGAACCCGUCAACGCCAUUCGGGUCGAGCCAUGAUUGUUCAGGCACAUUGUUUGGGUUCAGCGUAUGCUUGGAGUUAGUGGAGGGCGGGGCGAACGGGUCCAAAUCGGGGUUGCUGCUCUGGGUUCGGUCACGUGCUGAGUCGGAGUGUCACGUGCCUCUGUGAGGCCAUACGAGAUAGGCGUACCCGUGAACGUCACCAAAGCUCUCGCUUUGCCCUUGCUUUGUGGGCUCUCCUACACGCCAAUUGUCCUCUGUUACAAAACUAAGAGGUGUAUUUUUUUUUUAUGGUCCAAUUUCACCUGUACAAAUUGCUUUCAUAAGAAAAAAUAAGUAAAAUAAAAUUUUUUUGUACUCUUUUUUUCCCUUUUUUUGGCGCAUAAGAAUGGUUUAUAUUUUGUAAUUUUUUUAAUUUUUUUUAUCUUUUUGUUUUUAAAUUGUAUGUGUACUGAAAUUAGGGUUUUGUGGAUUGUAGAGCAGCAAAGAUAGAUUUGGAGUCAACGAGAGAAAAGAAGUGGAAUCAACGUGGCUGUGACGAAAAGGAGCUCGACAUUGAUAAUGGCGACAAAGGUAAUGUGGAGAUGGGGAUUCGUCUUCCCGAUGUCGGUAGUGAAAUCAAGAUACGUAUGGAGUAAUAAUUCUAUUGCUGCUUCUUUCAUUACUAUUUUUUAUAACUUAUUUAAUGAAAUUAUAAAUUUUGUUACAUUUGUACGUAUAUCUGUUUCAUCUCUUUUAUUUGUAUAUAUGUUAAUAUAUAUUAUUUUUAUUUAUUAAUGUCUUAUGACAAUUCAAAAAAUUUAAAAUUUUUACUUUAUGAAUUUUUUGUCUUUCUAUAGCAUCAAUCCGCCGCAAUGCACGGAUAAUUUCACUAGUAUAUACUUAUAACUGCGGCAUGAGUUGUAAAUCUUAUAUUUCACGAUUUAAAGGCUAAUUGUUACACACUAGUUAUAUCGACAUAAUUUGAUAUAGCUAAUAUGCAGCAUGUAACUCUUAUAAUGAGAUGUAAAAUGUAUACCCAGCUUUUGAGUUUACAGAUUUGUUUGUUAAUUCGCGAAUUAUUCACGAAUUAUUAAAAAUUCAAAUUAAACGGUCCGUUUACGAAUUUUUUUCAAAAAAAAAAAUUAUUAGCGAAUUUUUUGGCCAGCCGAAUAAUUCGCAAAUUAUUUUCGAAUUAUUGAAAAUUUAAAUAAAAAACUUAUAAUUUUUAUGUUUAAAUAUAGAUUAUCUUAUAUUUUAUAUAAAUAUGAGUUCUCUGUUCAUUCUCCCCCCCAAAAAAAAUAUUUAUAUAUAUUUUAUAAUUAAUAAUGGGCUAUUUUAAUCUAUUUCUUGCUUGAUUGUUUAUAUACCAUAGUGUAUAAUAUAAUUCUCUAUAGUUUUUUUUUUUAUUUAAUCUACUUUAUUUUGUAGCUUUUUAUUCUUAGAAUUGUAAAUGUUUACAAUAGUAGUAUAAAUCUAGAAAAAAAAUUGAAGUUUAAUAGGCAAAUUUUUUAUCCCGAAUUUUUAAUUGAUGAACGUAUAAUUUUCGUAUAAAUCACGUAUCCGAAUAAUUACCAAAUCCAUUUUUUAAGUCGAAUUUUUUAACAAAUUAAAAAAAUUAAAAAACGAAUUUUAUACGUAUUAUAACCGUACCGAAUUUUUUCCGAAUCCGAAUUAACUAACUAUGGUUUAAAGGUAGCAAUGCUCUUUUCAUACAUCCUACUUUCGUUUGAUUUAGCCCAUUUUCUAGUAAUACAAUAAAUCCUUCUAGAAAAUAACUUGGAACUAUAUUACAUUUUAAGAGAGUCUGAGACUUAUGCUGGGUUUAUUCCGAAAAAGUUAAAUUGGAGGUUUGGGUUUCAAAACUAUUGAACCUUCUUUUCAAAACAACUUAGAAUAUUUUAGGUAAAGAUAAUACUCUUGUUUUUGAAUUUACAAUAUCAUGUUUUCAUUCUUUAGAAUUUUUUUUUUCAUCGGUCAACUUUGUUUAUUUAAUGUACCCAAAAAUAAUCUUUGAAAAAUAUAAAAUAUGGUAUGUCAUAUUUGACAGUUGUUGACAUGAACGCAUUCUUAAUUGAAAACGAGUUUAUUUCAGUUCAUUAAAAAUUGCUCAAUCUUACAAUCUUUGUGUUAUUCUAUCAUGAAUUCAACUUUGGAGUUAUUUUAUCAUGAGAUUGUUCUGAUUAACUUUUGCUUUUAUUGUUAUCCAUAUUAAUAUUCACAUUUAUUAAUUUCCUCUAUGAAAGUCUUAGAAAAGAGAAAUUUCGCACUUUCUUUACUCUGAGACAUUUUAUUUAGAUAUUUACAAGCAAAUAUACAUUAAGGGUGUGUUUGGUUCGCAUUAUGAAAGAUAACUAGGAAUAAAAGAUAUCCUAGAAUUUUAUUCCUAUUCAUCCUAUUACUAAGAAUGUGGAAUUCAUGUGUUUGGUUUGCACGGUAAUAUUAAUUAGCCAUAUUAUUUAAUAUUACAAAAAAUAUACAAUUUAUUUAUUUAUUUAUUUAUUUAAUUUUAGAUAAUGUUACCAAAAAUUUCAACAUCUUUUUAGAAAAAAAGAAGAGAGAGUAUAAAUUAGAGAGAGAGCGCAUAAUUAAAAAAAUAGAAAGAAAAAUAUAGUCGAAAUUAGAGGAAGUGAGAGAGUUGAAAUUUUAGAAAAAGAGAGAGAGAGCAAGCUUAGUUUAGAGAGAGAAAAAAAAGUUGAAUUUUAGAGAGAAAAAUAAGUUUAGAGAGAGAUAUAAUGUUAGAGUAUAAAAAAAAAUAAUAUCAAUUAGCCGGCGGAUAGGAAGAAAGAAAGAGAUUAGACAUAUUAUGAUUACCUCAAUCCAUUAAUAAAAGGAUAUCCAUCCUCCUCAAGGGAAUGAGAUUAGUACUUUGGGGUGAAUCUUAUUCCUAAGUGAAUCCAAUAUUACCAACUAGAUUACUUAGUGCGUUUAGCCAAACACUGUCAUAUUUUUUUAUUCCCAUUGGAUUACUAGGAAUCUUUAAAACAUAGCGCGAACCAAACGCACCCUAAGAUUAUUGCACUAACAUUGGGUACAUUAAACUUGAUAGAAUACUUUUCUACUACUUUACUCUUAGAACUAGUUGAAAUCUAAUUGACCAAAUCCUAAUUGUUUUAGAUUGAUGGGCCUGGUUGCAAUUCAAAUAAAUUUGUAGAAUACUUUUGUUUAUUUUAUGUCCUGCUCUGAUGGGAUAUUUACUAGUGAUGUGCAACAAUUUUGGAAUAUCUAACUACAACUAUGGAUUCAGACUGACUUGUGUCCAGUUAUGGGUCAGAACUGUUUUGGGUUUUGAUUUUGUGUCUAACUAUGUAUCAAAACUUAACUGGGUCUUAGCUUUAGAUCUGAUUUUUGAGUCUAAUUAUGGGUCAAAACUAAAUUUGCCUUUGAUUUCUGAUCUACUUAUGGAUCAGAAUAAAUUAUAAUUACAUCUAAUUAAGAUUUGAAUGAUUCUAAUAAACGGCCAGAACUGAAAAAGCACUAGUUAUGAGUCUAAUUAGUUAGAGAUUUUACUUAAUGAGAAUCCUAUUUUGCUAAAACUAAGUUAGUGUUUUUCACCUUCUUUAUUCGAAUAAUAAGAUUAUUCUCUAUGAUUUGAAAGCCUAUAUAUUAGCAAAUUAAACAAAGAAAUAAAAAAUUAUAUAAAACAUUACAUAUAAUAAUAAAAUUCUUUCACAUCAAUAUAUAUUGUUUAAAACAAAUUUCACAUACAAAUAAUAUACUAAAUAUGCAUAUUCCACAAAUUAAAAAAACUAAUUAUUUUCAACUACGUAUGCGCCAAUUGCUAUUGCCAUGCGACUCAAAAGUUCGCGCUUUACUUUUGCAUAGCCGUCCGUUCCCCAAUGACUACCCCAAGAGUUUUUUAUCAAAUAAUAUUUGACGUCGUUUUCUACACCGUAUCCAACUAUAGUCACGGAGUGGCUCCCUCGUUUUUUUUCUCCAACAUGAGGACCCAUAUACACAACCUACAUGGAAAAAAAAAAUAGUCAUUAUCAAAUUAAAAAAAGGUCAUUAUCAAAUAUUAUAUUAUCAAAAGUUAAUUAAAAUUUAUAAGUAUUAGCAUAUAAAAAAUUAUUCAUUAUUAAAUAUUAUAUAUCAAAACUUAAAUUUAUAAAUACUAACAUCUCUCGGUAGAUGAGUAAAGCUGUUAUAUAUGUUUAUGGCAGCAGCAAUAGGUCGUUCUCUCAAAAUUUCUUCGAUUUCUCCCUCAUUAUGUCUUCUUUCCAAUUUGCUCUGAAAAUCUUGAAUCUUCACUCUCUGCUUCUUCUGUAAAAAAUAUUUAAAAUUAUCCAAUAAUUAAUAGAUGUAUUAAUACUAAAUAAGUUUUUUUAGUGUAUAAGUUAACUUACAUCUUCAUUCAUUUGACAAUAUUGGCGUCGUGCAACAUAUGGAUUAUCAGCUUCCAUGGCAAUACCAUAUGUUUUGAUGUACUCUAAACACUUGCUAUGUGUGCACUGUAUACAUCCAACGGCGUCUAUAUGUUGUUCACGGGAAGAUGGAUACAUUUCAUGAUAACAGUUUACUAGCUCUUGUUUUGAUAAUUCAAUGAGUUGACCAUACUUUUUUGCAUAUUCUGCUUCAACUAAAGUGGUGGAAGAAAAGGCAUAGCAACAUUCUUCGUAUAAUUCAUUAAAGAAAAAAAACAUUAGUUAAUAAAACAAUAAUGAAUUGUAUUAAUCUCUACAAAAAAUCAUUCUAUUAAGUAUACUUACGACACUCUCUUUGAUUUCCUACGUCCUCCCGAAUUAUAUUAAUUGGCUUGUCGUAAAUCAAAAGAUGCCUAUCAUAUUAAAACAAAGAUAUGAAAAUGAGAAUUAAGAAAAUAAGUAAUUUCUAUAUAUCAAAUAAAAAGUAUAAUCUAUGAUAAUUUUUGUUAUUUGAUAACUUUUUUAUUGGAAAAUUAGGAUAUUCGCUUAUUUUAACGAACUUAGUUUAUUUUACAAAAUUCAUUUGCAAAUAGCUCGAGGUAAAUUAAUUAAAGAAAAUUUAGUAGAAUUAAAAUUAUUAAAAUAUUAGUUGGUAAAUCAAAACUUAAACUAGAUUAAAACUAAUCCUAUUUUAAAUAGGUUUCAUAUAUAUAUAUAUAUAGCUAACGACUCAAAAUUCUUUUGAGUUAUUACCAUGUUAGUGUGGGUUGCGAGGUGGAGUUAGAAACAGACCCAAUAAAAAUAAUCUUAUCUAUCAAAAAAAUGCACUAUAUAAUUUACAAAGUGCAUGGUUAUGUGGGAGUGAGAUUCUCUUCUCACACUUUCAUUGGAUAAAAAUGUGUGAAAGUACUAUUAUACAUGAGAUUUGCAUUGAUACUUUGGCAGCCAGACUAACUAAAUUUAAAUUAUAUUAAUUACCUAAGGUCUCGUUUGGCAUGCAUUGUUGCUGGUUAUAAGAUUAUCAAGAAAAUGCACUUUGUGAUUUACAAAGUAGUUCAAUGUGGGAGAGAGGUUCUCUUCUCACACUUUUAUUGGAUAAAAAUGUGUGAAGUACUAUUAUACAUGAGAUUUGCAUUGAUACUUUAGUGACAAACUAAUGAAACUUAAAUUAAUUAAUUAAGUAAGGUCUUGUUUGGCAUGAAUUGUUGCUUCUCGUUUGGCAUGCAUUAAUUUGUUGCUAGUUUUUACUUUCUUAAAUAUAUAAAAAUUUUAUGUCAAAAACUAUAAGAUUAAAUGAUGUACUACAUGUAUAUGACUUUUGCAUUGCAAGUUAAACAAAUCAUGAUAAGAAAAGAAAAAUCAUCCUACAGAAAUCAAAUUAAGCAUAUGAAAAUAUAUUGUGUUUGAAAAAAAAAAUUAAAAUAAUAUAAAAUAAAAUCUAAAAUAUUUUACUAUAUGCACCGUCUAAUUGAGUAGCUGAUAAAAUUUAAAGAUAACAAUUUAUCACUACUCUAUAAAAAAAUAAAUAUUUUGAAGAAAAUGUGUAUAAUACUAGCAUUCACGUACGGGAUUUGCAUGGGACCAUGGGUACUUCUCCCACCGUCUAAAUUUGAGUAACUAGAGAUAACUAAAGAAUACACAUGCACGUUAACUACUUAGCUUGAGUUAAUUGAGUGAGCUAUUUUUACGUAUUAGCUAAAUUGGUUCAUGAUUCACUUGUGAGGCCUCUUUGGAGAAAUUGUUGCCUGCAACCAACAUAUAAUGAUGCAUGCAUUAGUGGAAGAAUCUAUGCUUUUAGAUGGAUGAGAUGUAUAAGUUGUGAACCUAACAUAUAUAAGUUGCAUUGCUCAUAAAACCAAGUAAUAAUUUCACAAAAAGUUCAAAAAUUGGUAGUACAAUUAAUGUACCUAAUUUUAAAGUUCAAAUGCGCGCACCAGAAUCUUUUAAAAUUUUGCUCAAUCAUCCAAACUUUAAAAGUUUCUUAUUUGUCAUCCAGAACUUUCAAUUCUUUAACAUUUAACUACUUACUUUAUACUUUGUUAAUUUAAACUGACUGACAAUACCUAAAUGGUCAAGAAACAAUAAACAACACAUGCCAAAGCUAUAGAAAGGAAUUUUUUUUUUUUUUUUUUCCAAUGAUGGAAUUUAGUUUUACAGUAAAAAACAUAUUUUUUAUUAUUAACUAUUAAAAAUUAUAGUGAUAUUCUCAGCAAAAGAAAUAUUAAUGAAGUGUGUUUUUUUUUUUUAUUAUUUCUUGAUCAUUUGGCUAAUUAAUAUUAUAGAAACCUUAAAUAUACAAAAUAUUGGAAAUACGUUCUAGGUGAUAAAUAUAUAAUUUCUGUAGUUACAGAUGGUUAUGUGCAUCAGACUGAAAGUGGAAGUGCAAUCAACCCCUAUUUUCAGACCAAACUUUCCAUGAAUAAAUAGAUAGUUUUAAAAUUUUUACAGUAGUAGUACAUCCAUAUAUACUAGUUAAGGACCCAUGCGAAUGCCGCGAUAUAAAAUAUUCUAAUCAUAAAAUUUAGUUAAUUUUUAUUUUUUAUAAAAAUUUAUUAGCUUGUUUUUUUAAUUAAAUAAGUAAUAAUUAAAUUAAUUUAAAUAAAAAUAACUUAAGUUAGUACAUAUACGACAUAAAUUUUUAUAUUAGAUUAUUAGUGAUCAUCUCGUUAAUAACUACAAAUGUAUAAGUGAAUGUGUUAAAUUAUUAAGCUAAUUACAACACAAUUUAUUAUUUUGUAAAGGUAUGUGUAUCAACUAGGAUUCAAACUAGGAACUUCGGGUAUCAAGUAACAAGUCAUUUGCUGCUUGCGCUAGGGACGGUCGAUAAUGACCUCUCAUAGUUGAAGAGGAGAGUUAGGGUGACACAUGUUUUAUGUGCUUUCCUUAACUCUCCUUUCAGAUAUUACUGGUGAAGGCAUCCACAUGUUACAGUGGAUUGGUACGGCAGAAAUAAAUAAAUAAAUAAAGCUAAAGAAAGAAAAAAUAAUAAAAAAAAGAGUCAAAGAAUAAAAAUAAAAACAAACUAAAAAAGAAGCAGCAACUAUUGCAGUAAAAGUAUAAGAAUAAAAGUAUAAGAAAAGUAAUAAAAAAAAAAAAAGAAUAAAGGCAAAAUAAUAAGAAUAAUAAAUUCAAUUUAUAGCAUCAGUGAAAGUUGAGAAUUAAAAUGUCAUAUGCCUGAGAGUUUGAUUCAGAAAUUGUAACUAAUUAAAGCUUGAGAACUAAUAAUUUGAGCAAGAAAUAAUAAAGCAUUAAAGUUUGAAAAUUAAAGUAUUACGGAUUCUAUAAUUUGAGUAAGAAUUAAUAGCGGCCAUUUGAUAAUCGCCGUUAUCAAAUUAUCGCUAAAUUAUUAUUUUAUUGUAGUGACUGUACUCAUAUAUUUUGUCUUGAAUGAGAAUUCUUUUUAUUUUGGAAGGAUGUUGCAUUCGAUGUGCGAAAAAAUUUCGAGCCCGCUAAUCCCGUGGCGCGUCUUGCCACUCUGGCUCGUUGCCGUCACAUCCUGUCGAGGGAACAAGAAACCGGCAGAUCGCGGAGUUUGCCCACUUUCUCUUUCUCCCUUUCUCCCUAUCUGACUAUUAGGGGUGGAAACGAGCCGAGCUCGAGCGAGCUUAUGUCAGCUGCCGAGCAAGCUUAAUCCGAGCUUUUCGAGCUUAUAUAUAUAUACAUAUAUAUAUCAUCCCGAUAACACGAUAAUCCUCGUGUUGUUUGGAACACAAGGAUUCAAGAAUUGACAGGUAGUUUAAACUAACUACCAAUCCCACUUUCUCUCUUCUCUUUAACUUCUUUUCUUUAAAAGAAGUUAAAGAGAAGAGAGAAAGUGGGAUUGGUGGGUAGUUUAAACUACCCGCCAACUCUUGAAUCCUCGUGUUCCCAUCGGGAUGAGAUAUAUAUAUAUAUAUAUAUAUAUAUAUAUAUAUAUAUUACAUAAAAUUAAUAUAUAUCCAAAAUUAAAUUAAACCCGACAAUAACAACCGAGUAUUUUAUUUGGGUUGUUCAUGUUGGCACGUUAACUCGGGUUGAGUGUUAAAUAUAUUGUGUGAGAGAAAAAGUCUGAAAGUGACAACGUGUAUUGGGAUUUUGCACUAUUGUAAGUUUAAAGGUUUAGGGAUUAAAAAAAGGGGGGGAGAGAGAGAGAAGAGAGAGAGAGUCUGGGAGUGGGUCAAUCCGCCAGUGGGAUCGAGUGUAAAGAACGUUAAUAAAAUAUAAAACUUGAUAACCUGUACAACGUAGUUUAACAUCCAUUACAAGAUAUUUUUAAUUUGAUGACUAAUAUAUUACAGUUCUUAAAGUUAGCCGAGCAAAUCUCGAGCUCGAGCCGAGCUGAGCUUUAAUCCGAGCGAGCUCGAGCGGAGCUUAAUUAAAGUUCAGCUCGAACUCGGAUCUAAAUCCGAGCCUUAAUUAAAGUUCGGCUUAAACNCUCUCCCCCUCUCUCUCGCACGCCACUCUCUCUCUCUCUCUCUCUCUCUCUCUCGCACGAACACCUAUCAUCUUCUAUUGCGCCGUCCUCCCAGGUAAUCAUCACGAUCUCCUUCCCUCCAUUCGUCAUUUCUGUAAAAAAUAAUAUUCAAAUGACCACAACAAGGGUAAUUUUGAAAAAAACUAUACUUUUAUGUCAGGAUUACUAAAUUUUAUAAACUGAACCAAACGUAUUAAUGCUAUAAACACUGUAAUCUAAUAUUACAUUACUGAAUUAAACCAAACGUACUAAUACAGCAUCAGUAGUAAUCUCACGCCGAAAUUCAAGAUACUUGGAUAUGUCGAGAUACUUUGUAAUAUUACAUAACUCGAACCAAACGGGCCCUUAAUAUAAUCAUUCUUCUUCUUUUGCUAUUGUCGUUAUUUUUUUGUUUCGUCUUUUUUCUUCUAAUAACUUUGUUAUUAUUGUUGUUCUUGCUGGUUCUUCUUCUUGGUUCUUCUUCUUUAGCUUCUUUUUUUAUUUUUUUAUAUUUUUACUGCUACUAUAAAUAUAUUUAUUAUUCUUAUGUUUGUGUCUUUAUUCUUUUUUCAUUUCUUUUAUAUUUAUUAUUCUUAUGUUUGUGUCUUUAUUCUUUUUUCAUUUCUUUUUAUGCUUUUAUUCUUAUAUUUUAUUGCACCACCUGUUGCUGCUGCUGCUUCUUCUUCAACUAUUACUUUUUUUCUAAUUCUUUAGUUUCUUUAAAUUUUUUUAUGUUCUUAUUGUUUUUUUCCUUCGGUUUUUUUCUUAUUUAUUUGUCUCCACAUAACUGACUUCCCGCAACGCGCCGGUGUCUUCACUAGUUUUACAAUACCAGCUAGUCUACUACAGACCGUAACCCAAGAACAACUUUUAUAACUUGAGCUCUCUAUAUUACUCUUCAGAUUUGCUAGAAUUCAACUCUUUAAGAGCAGACAACUUAGCAUGCCAUCAAAAUAUCUAGUUUAAUGAUCCGCGUUUUGUCGAUGUCAUAGAUUUCUUUGCAUAAAUACAUGCUUAAUCUGAAAGCGAUAACUUAAUCAAACGAUUUAGUAAUCCAUCAUUCCCAAUUUAAAGAAACCAAAGUUGAUAAAUCUAGUGGAUUAGAAUGGAUUGUCAAACAUGGCCUUCAAAUAAUUAGCUGCAAUAGUUAGGAAAUGCGCGAUAAGAUUGGCAAAGCACAAAACAAACAGCGAGCGAUUUUGUAUCCACUAAACUCCUCUAAAGCUGAUCUAGCUAUUAUGUCCAGAUGAUACAAUUUGGAACUCAGAAUAUGGCAUGUAAAAACAGUUUUCCUAGGGUAAUAAGGUUAACAUGCAAUGGCUAGUAUAACUCAAUUCUUAAUUCUUCACUUAACAACUUGGGACUAACGAAUUUGUCCAGGUCUAAAUCAACAAACCAGAAUUUAGACCGUGCGCAUUUCAAUUUCCGCAACUUGGACCAUUUGUGAACGACAGAGUCGUGCGCGAACAUGUUUGCUUCACAUUAUCAGUUGUUUGGUCGAGAUCUCAGCUGGAAAGUGCAUCUAUAAAGAUAGCANUUAUUCUUUUUUCAUUUCUUUUUAUGCUUUUGUUCUUAUAUUUUAUUGCACCACCUGUUGCUGCUGCUGCUUCUUCUUCAACUAUUACUUUUUUCUAAUUCUUUAGUUUCUUUAAAUUUUUUUAUGUUCUUAUUGUUUUUUUCCUUCGGUUUUUUUCUUAUUUAUUUGUCUCCACAUAACUGACUUCCCGCAACGCGCCGGUGUCUUCACUAGUUUUACAAUACCAGCCCAAGAACAACUUUUAUAACUUGAGCUCUCUAUAUUACUCUUCAGAUUUGCUAUAAUUCAACUCUUUAAGAGCAGACAAUUUAGCAUGCCAUCAAAAUAUCUAGUUUAAUGAUCCGCGUUUUGUCGAUGUCAUAGAUUUCUUUGCAUAAAUACAUGCUUAAUCUGAAAGCCAUAACUGAAUCAAACGAUUUAGUAAUCCAUCAUUCCCAAUUUAAAGAAACCAAAGUUGAUAAAUCUAGUGGAUUAGAAUGGAUUGUCAAACACGGCCUUCAAAUAAUUAGCUGCAAUAGUUAGGAAAUGCGCGAUAAGAUUGGCAAAGCACAAAACAAACAGCAAGCGAUUUUGUAUCCACUAAACUCCUCUAAAGCUGAUCUAGCUAUUAUGUCCAGAUGAUACAAUUUGGAACUCAGAAUAUGGCGUGUAAAAACAGUUUUCCUAGGGUAAUAAGGUUAACAUGCAAUGGCUAGUAUAAUUCAAUUCUUAAUUCUUCACUUAACAACUUGGGACUAACUAAUUUCUUACAAUGUCAUCCUUAAGCAGGAAGAAUUUGUCCAGGUCUAAAUCAACAAACCAGAAUUUAGACCGUGCGCAUUUCAAUUUCCGCAACUUGGACCAUUUGUGAACGACAGAGUCGUGCGCUAACAUGUUUGCUUCACAUUAUCAGUUGUUUGGUCGAGAUCUCAGCUGGAAAGUGCAUCUAUAAAGAUAGCACAGAGAGACAUUAGGUAGGCCAACAAAAUCUGCUUAACUGAAAAUUUGGAGGGCAAAGUAAAUAUCUACCAAACAUGAAGUGAUUACCCCCUAUUCUUUCUAAUUCAUAGUACAAUUCAGACAUGAGAUCUCUUAUUUCUUGCAACAGCUAAAGCCUAUUUCUGCCAAAUAUAAAACUGCAGUACAGUUUGGCCCAAAUAUCUCUUUCAAUUGCCAAAAAAUCAACAAAGAUUAACACUGUAAGUCAUAAAAUUGUUAGAUUACCUCAAACUUGGAAUGCAUUUGGUUCUGAACGACAAUCUAUUAGCGGCAAAGCAUCAAUGGUAAAGCAGCAACCAGGAGAAGAACAGAAUUAUAAAUGACACCUUAAGAUUCUAGAAUUCGCAAACCAUGUACCUUGAAAUUAAACUGAACCAUCAUCAAAGACCAGAAGCAACUCCAUCUACGAGAAAUAAACCUUCCAAAUUGCCCUACCGUUCAAACCUUUAUAUAUGGAUUGGAUCGAAGAACAGGGAAUAAAAAUGCAGAGUUUCCAAGAUCCACAUUUAAUUAACUGUUUGUUUAGCAUGACCAUUUUCUCUAUUGCAAGAAGCAAACAACAGCAUUUGAAACAGGAAAAGCCCUCGUCUUUUUCUAUGGCAGCAAACUGAAAUAAAAUUUCAUUGACUUGUCUGUCUCCAAGAACUAAGUAGGAUUUAUUUCUCACAAAUAUAAAGGCAAACAAGCAAACUCAAUAUAUUGUUAUAUUUCAACUGCCUUUCAGACAAAUACCAGUCAAAAAUUAGUAGAAGCCAAUACCACUUAGAAUAUAAGGGCAACAUAUUUGCAUAAGGUAUGUGUUUUACACUACAAAGUUUUGUAUCUCACACCGAACCCUACAAGUAGAUAAAUUUGACUCUUCACGAGAGCACCAACAAACUCCCAUAUUCAGGAAAAGUAGCAUCUUUUAUUUGUUAAAGCAAAGAUAAGAAGAUAAAAUGCUACAAUAUAACUUGUUAAAGCCUCCAAAGUACUAACAUCAAUAACUAAGAACUUAAAAUAAAGAAAAACCAGCAAUCAAAAUAUAUAUAUAUAUAUAUAUAUAUAUAUAUAUAUUUCCCACCAUUAUGCACGACCAAACAGCACCUGAAUGGCGAAGCAGCCUGGUGUAGAGCAUGACAUUCGGCCUACAAAGCAAAUAAGGAAACAUCUAGUUGUGUUAUUGCAAAGAGACAGAAAAUUUAAACAAACAAGUAUUGCUAAUUAUAUUUCAUUAAUUAGCAUAAUCAUAUAAAGAUAACAUGGAGCAUGUUAUCCAACACUUUAUUAGGAAUACUCUCAGGAAGCAUUAGAAACUAUUCUGCAACAAUUGAUAUGCAAGAAAUAAUUAGCAUCUCUUCCUGAAUCUUAUGAGAAUCAGUAAAAGAUAUAGUCCUCCUAACAAUUCAAAAGCCUCAUCCAAAUUCCUAAUUUUACAAGUCCAAGAAGUUACCAAUUUGGACAAAUAUAUAGCUAGCUAAUGUCGUAGCUGAAAUUUUUUUUCAUUAAAAAAAUUAGCACAAUGAGGAAAAAAUAAAAACUUAACAUAAAACAAAGUUGAACAUUGAUGUAACUAAGCAUUGGAAGUAGAAAUACAAGACGAACAGAAUAAAUAAUUUUAGCAUAGGAAACCUCAUUCUCCUUUUCUACAACAUAUCGCAUGACGCAUGGUUUUCAAGUUAGACAACAGAUAUCGAAUUAAAUAACAAAUGCUCUAAUUAAUUUAAGUACUAUAUACACAAACUAUGACCUAACUAUACAAACAAAUAAAUAAAAAUAUACCUUUACUAACUCGCAGUUGGCUUGAGUCUACAAAGAGCAACUCUAAUGUUACGUUGCACCCCAUAAAACACCUUCGCCUGGAAGAUUUUCCACUCAGCUUCACUGUCAACUGCUUGGAAGGUAACAUAGUACCAAAGUCCUGCUGCGACACUACACGUUGCCUUCUCUAUUUUUACAAACACAUAACUCAUAUCCUACAUUACGAAAACAUCACGAAAUCAAUUUUAUCAAAAAAAAAAAAAAAAAAAAAAAAAACACACAAAGAAAUAAACAAUAAGAAAAGACAUACACAAGGCAACAUGAACAUACAUUUUCCUUAUUAAAAUGUUCGAUUGCCAAUUUAGUACAUCUGAGAAGAAUUUCAUCAUCAAAAUCCGUGAUCGCCGUAAGGCCAAACUCACAAGUGCCUGGAAAUGGAUCAACAUCGAAUCCCUGUAAAAGACAUGUAUUAACAAUUAGUGAAAAAAAGGUUAUGAAACUUUAACUCUCAAAAAGAAGACAAUAAUUAUUAAACACCUCGCUUUCCUUGAUUUGUUUGUAAUAUCUGUCCCAUUCUUCGCGAGUCCUACUGCGAUUACCAUUAGGCCAAACAUAAACCUCAUCUUCCUCUGAAGUAUGCUCAUAAACCCUUUGAUCCUUCUCGUUCCCUUUCUCUUCCUCCAUUUCACUUUGGGUAUCUUCCUCCUUGCCCUCUUCCCUCAUCUCUUCGCUUUCUUCCUGCAGUUUCAACUUCUUCUGCAGCGGCCCUUCAGGUAUCAGGUUCUUGGAAUUCUGCCUGUAUCACAAAAUGAAAUAUAUCUAUCAUAAAAAAUUUAAACAAAUUUCAAUCAAAACUAACGACAAUUUAAAAAAAAAAAAUCUUAAAUUGGCUCAAAUAGAAGAAGAAUUUAGCCGAUGCAUACGAAACAGAGACCAAACAGGGCAUAAUUCAGGUGAUACAUUCCUAGAUUAGGAUUUUCUAAUUACGGAAUAAUAUAUUAUUUAUUUUAAAAUAUUUCAGUUGUUUCCAAUAAAGUGUAAUUAGGGUUAGGUUAUAGAAAUGUGUAUCUUUUAGGGUUUGGAGAAUAAGAAGAAAUUGGUCGUGUUGUUCUCUUCUCCCUUAUCUAUCUUUAUCUCUCUAAUAUCUCUCUCUUUAGGAGGUUCGAUCCCCUCGAAGUGAUCGUUUAUCCCUAUUGAUACUAAUAUCUCUCUCUUUAGGAGGUUCGAUCCCCUCGAAGUGAUCGUUUAUCCCUAUUGAUACUAAUAUCUCUCUCUUUAGGAGGUUCGAUCCCCUCGAGGUGAUCGUUUAUCUCUAUUGAUACAAUACAACGGUAUCAAUUGGCAUCAGAGCCUUGUAUGUAUAGUGUAAACUCCAGCAAAAAAAGAUUUUCUGAAGAAGAUGAAUGGGGAUUUCAUAAGAAAAGAAGAGAUGAACGCUCGGUUUUCCAAUGUGAAGGCCCAACUCAACAAAGUGGAGACCGAGGUAAAGCUCACUAGCGAUUCUAUUAAUGAUCUCAAAAAUUUGAUCAUCCCUAUGAGCACGAAGAUGGAUUUGCAGCCGCAUACGCCAUUUGAAGAUACAUUCGUCUCGAAUUUCGACAAAAAUCAUCCCUUGCUCCCAACUCCUAUUAAGAAGGAAGCAUUGAUCCUAUUCAAAAUGUUCGUGACUAUCAGGCUCGACUCGAAAUGCUUGCCAAUCGCACUUAACAUUUUUCAUAAGUUUCUUGCCAAUCGCACUUAACAUUUUUCAUAAGUUUCUUCAUUAGUGGGCUGAAGGAGGAUCUAAAGUAUAACGUCCGAGCCUUCCGACCAACUUCUAUAUCAGCUGCUAUUGGUCUUGCUCGUCUACAAGAGGAGAAGUUAAUAGCUCAACAUCGUAUUAUGAAGCCUAAGCCUUCCCUUUUGUGCCCUUCCAUGACACCAAUAUCUAAUGAGGCGCUUCCACCCAUAAAGCGCCUUACACCGGCUAAAGCAAAAGUAAGAAGAGAUCAAGGCCUUUUGCUACAAUUGUAUGAAAAAUAGUCCUGGACAUCGAUGAAAAUCAAAGCAACUAUUUUUGAUCGAGGCCGAACGUGAUGAAAACAGAGAAGAUCUAAAGAGGAUAGGCAAAGGUUGAGGAUUUUCCAUCUUGAGGGCAAGGUGGCUAUCGAGGGCGGUGGAAUGACAUAUUCCUAGAUUAGGCUUUUUAAUUAUGGAAUAAUAUAAUAUUUAUUUUAGAACAUUUCAGUUAUUCUCAGUAAAGUGUAACUAGGAUUAGGUUAUAUAGAUGUGUAUCUUCUAGGGUUUGGAGAAAAAAAAAAAUUUGACCGUCUUGUUCUAUCUUCCCUCCCGUUCUCUUCCCUCUUAUCUUAAUCUCUUUAAUAUCUCUCUCUUUAGGAGGUUCGAUCCCCUCGAAGUGAUCGUUUAUCCCUAUCGAUACGGUAGAACCGUAUCAUCAAGCUAAAUUUCGUAAAUAAUUUUUUGGAAGGACUAUUUUUAUAAUUAUAAAAUAUGUUAUAAGUAUAUUAAUAAAAGAAAAGUCAACCAGCCAUCAUAAUCAAAAUAAUCAAAUGCAUAUCAAACGGCACAAACGGCAUUCUAAUCAUUUAUUACAAUCCAAAAUUGAUCAGAGUCAAACACAUAUCAAAAUCGCACAUAAAAAAAAAAGCACAUCCUGACAUAUGUGUACAGAAUAUGGUAACAAACGAGAUGUAUACCUUUGCCAGGUAAAGACAAUCUUCAGGAGAAGCAAGGCCUUCGCGAAUAAAGGCGGUGCGAAGGCACAGGAGAAGGAGACUCAGACUUGCGCUGCAAGUUUUGAUUUUAAUUUAGAGUAAACUUCAAGUCCCAUCCAUGUAGUUUCGCACUUCCUCAUUUUAGUACUCUAUAAUUUAAAGUGUAUCAAUUUAGUGCCCUCUGGUUUUAUUUUUCUCUUUUCAUCAACUUCUUCGUUAAUAUUUCGUUAAAUUAUAUACAAAAAAACUUCAGAUACCCACCUAGGUUUAUCGAAUAUUUACUUUAAUACUCUUUAGUUUUAACUUUGUCAUUGAUUUAAAGAAAAAAAUUAGUAGAAUUGAUAAUAAAAGGAUAAAAAUAAAACCACAGGACGCUAAAUUGAUACACUUUAAAGUAUAAAAUAAUAAAAUGAGAAAAUGUGAAAUCACAGGGGUGAUAUUUGAAAAUUUUCUUUUAAUUUUUAGUUUUUUGUUUUAGCAGUGGGCGGUGGCGUCGGGUGCUUCCCAUACGUGCGCUGCUGGCCCGGUACUUGGCAAAAGCCAAAACCACCUGAGGAACGAAUCACAUCCCCAGUGACGUUUCUGCCCUACUUUUGGAACAAAAGGCCAAAAAAAAAAAAACUUUAAACUAACGUAAAAAAGAUUAUGAACUUUAGUUUUCUUUUUUGUUUUUUUCCCAAUUAGAAUCUUAUUAUUCUAUUUGAAUUGGAUUCUAAUUCGGUUUCAGAUUUUGAAUUCCGAAAUUUUUCGGAUUCAAAUUCAGAUUUACUAUUUUUUUUCCCUAACUCAUAUUCAGAUUCGGAUUCAGAUUCGAAUAUGCAAUUUUGAAAUAUCCCAACAAAACUCUCACAACUUUUUUUUAUUUUAGCUUUAAAUAGAAUUAGGCUGGUAUACUUCCGUGCUACCAAAUUGUUUUCAAUAAUGCAACCUCCAAAUCGACGAUCGGCUCCGUUAGACUUGAUUUAUACUAUUGAAAGUAUUUGAAAACUAAAUUUCAUAAUUUUUCGACAUCAUUUGUCUAGUGAUCAAAAGUUACCAAAAUUGACAAUUUUAAUAGUCGACGUGAUGUAUUUGUGAAUUUAACGGUGUAAAACAAUUCAAAUCUGAUAAAAUCUUUAUAAAAAAUUCUUUUCACUAUUUAGAGUAAGAUCAGUACCUCUGAUCUUAAAUCAAGUCUUUUAUCAUCAUUUUUUAUAAGUUUUUUUAUUUUCAGUCGUUUAUUUUAGACUACUCAUUGAUAGAUAAAUAAUGUCGACAAAUUAUGAAAUUUAGUUUUCAAAUACUUUUAAUAGUGUAGAUCAAGUCUAAUGGAGCCGAUCGUCGAUUUGGAAGCGGCAUCAUUGAAAAUAACUUGGUAGCACUGAGACCUCUGUGCUACCGAUAGUAUACCAGCCGGACUCCUUUAAAUAUUAAUUAAAUAAUAUAAGUGGUAUGGUAUCCAAUGUUGAUUUAGGGGCCGUUUGGUUCAGGAACAAAGCGGGAAUAAAUACUUGUUCCUUUUUUUGUUUCCAGAUGCUAUGUUUGGUACUCGAGAACAAGCAGUUUUCAAGUCUCUGGAAUAAGCAAGUAUAAUCCGGUAUAAGUUUUGAAUUGUUAUUCCAACUUUUUUCUAGAACAAGCUUGUUCCCAAGUAGAAACAAGAUUAAUUAAAGUUUAAAUUUAAUUUUAACUAUGAUAUUAAAUUAUUAAUUAAUCUAAUUAAUAUAUUAGAAUUAUUAUCCAUUGUUUAAAUAAUAAAGUAAUUAAUUAAUUAAUUUAUUAUGUAUAAUUAAUUAGCUAAUUAAUUAUUAAUAAUUUAAUGUGUUUAUCUAUAAAUUAAUUUUUAUAUUGAUCAACCAUUAAUAUUAUUAUUAUUCUAAUUAAUUUUUUAAUUAGUUAUCAGACUAAAAUAAUUUACUAACUAAUUAAAAAUCUAAAUUAUUUUUUAUAGUUAAUUAAUUAAUUGAUAUAUUUUUAUUAUCUUCUAUAAUAUUCAUAGGUAAUAAAUUUAUUAAUUUAUUAAAUUAUUUUAAUUAAUAUUUUGAUGUUAAUUAACAGGAUAAAACAUUUUUAAUUUAAAAUUAUAACUCUUGUUUUUUCUGUUUCAAUCUAAUCAUCCAAACACUAUUUACCUUAUUUUCAAAAACAAUCUAAUUUUUGUCUAAAUGCAAAAUUAGUCUAGUUUCUGUUUAUAUCUAAACUUAUAUCUAUUUGUGAAAUAAGUAGUUUUUACUCGUAUCUGAACCAAGAUUCUUUUUUAUUAGUUCGGUUUGGACUACUAUUGAUGUGACAAACUAUUUAUUUACCUUAUAGUCUCUCUUCUUCUUUUUUUCCUUAUUUCUUUAAUUUAUGUUUUUUUUUUAUUAUUUUGAAGUGGUGGUUUCAUCACAAACAAAUAUCUUCCUUCGUUUCUUUGUCAUUGUACCAUCAACUAAAACCUUUUCUUAAAAUAGAGAUCAAAGGUUGUGACUAUUUGCUUAGGAGGCCGUUUCUAGAAGAAGGAAUGCAAGCUUACAACAAAAUUCUAUUAUGUGCGGAAUGGCAAUCUUGGUGGGUCUGCUCCUACAGGCAACCAUUAUUUGCAGCCGUAAGGUGGAGUGAGGGUUUUGAUGCGGUAUGCUUUGAGGUUGAUCUGAACUUUCAUAGUACAAUCAGAGGUUAAAUUUUGUGUGAAAGUUGCAGAUUUGGGCUUCAGCUCCCUAUGGGAGAAGAGUAAAAUUACGCUGUUGUUUUCUGAAAUAUUGCAUAGCCCCCCGACCUCCACCACCUUGAUAUUUAACAGUUUGUUUUGAUUUUGAGUGACCAAGUAAAUUUGAUUUGCCUAAUGUCUAUCUUUUUUUUAUUUUUUUUCUUUCUUUCUUUCUUUCUUUCUUUUUUUAGCUACUUGCUUUUGCUUCUCCUCUACUUACCACUAUAAUUUUAUGGCCUUUGAAUCAUUUGAAGCAUUUUGGUUGUUUUCAUUUUAGUCUUUACUGUGUCGUGAUUAUCUAACAAACUCUUUAGGUUAGCUGCAAAAGAAGUGCCUUUUAUUGUUGAACUACAAUGGGGGUGCCGUAUGCUGCUCUUGUUGUUGCUAUUAUUAUUAUUAUUAUUGUUGUUGUUGUUGUUGUUGUUGUUGUUGUAGUUCUUCUUCUUCUUCUCUUAUGUUGUUGAACUAUAGAAGGGGUGCUUCUUCUUCUUCGUCGUCGUCCUGCUCCUCCUCCUCCUCCUCCUCCUCUCCUAUUCUUGUUGCUAUUAUUAUUAUUAUUGUUAGAAGGGGUGUAAAGUCUCAUCUUUCAUUUUUUGGCUGGAAAAAGUGGUAAAGUUGGAAGACUUUGCAUUCAAGUAUCUCCUGCACUGCAGGACUAUUUUGGCAGGGGCUACUCGGCAGGCAACCAUUUUGCAUUCAGAUUGACAUUACAGAUAUGAGGGACUAGUGCACAAUAUCCAAGAUUCGAGGGAAUCACAUGCCUCCCAAAAUGAGAUAGAGAGAGGGAGAAAAACUCUUAUUAUCGAUGAAUCGGCAUCUCUGAAACAUGGUCAAAUUAGAGAAAAGCUUUCUAAGAAGAGAGGCGAUGAUGGUUCGUAAUCCUCCUCUCAUGCUCUGCCACUCCCUGAUUUAGUAAUGGCGUGGCAACCCUGGAGGUAUAUUGUCUUAAGGUGACAAUUACAUGUUGUGGUUGUGAGACUGGUUUGUGGACAACAAAUGGCAACCAGGUUGGUAUUCAUUGCUAGGUGGGAGUGGUGAAGACCGAAGAUAGGAGGGAGGCUAAUGGAAUAGUUCCCCUGAGCCUCUGCUUCUAAAUCCUGUUUUAUUGUUCUAUGAAUUAUGAAGGCUUUUUGUGGACUUCUGUCCAUGCAUCUUGUGCAGGUAAUAAUUUCUCGAGCUUAUCUUUUUCUGAUAAGGUUGAGGAUUUUCCAUCUUGAGGACAAGGUGGCUAUCGAGGGCGGUGGAAUGACAUAUUCCUAGAUUAGGCUUUUUUAAUUAUGAAAUAAUAUAUUAUUUAUUUUAAAACAUUUCAGUUAUUUUCAAUAAAAUGUAACUAGGGUUAGGUUAUAUAGAUGUGUAUCUUCUAGGGUUUGGAGAAUAAGAAGAAUUUGACCAUCUUGUUCUAUCUUCCCUCCCGUUCUCUUCCCCCUUAUCUAUUUUUAUCUCUCUAAUAACUCUCUCUUUCUUUAGGAGGUUCGAUUCUCUCGAAGUGAUCGUUAAUCCUUAUCGAUACGGUAGAACUGUCUGUAUCAUCAGGCCAAAUUUCGUAAAUAAUUUUUUUGAAGGACUAUUUUUACAAUUAUAAUAUGUUAUAAGUCUAUUAAUAAAAGAAAAGUCAACCAACCAUCGUAAUCAAAAUAAUCAAAUGCAUAUCAAACGGCACAAACGGCAAUCUAAUCAUUUAUUACAAUCCAAACUUAAUUAAUCAGAGAGUCAAACACAUAUCAAAAUCGCACAUAAAGAAAAAAAAGCACAUCCUGACACGUGUACAGAAUACGGUAACGAACGAGAUGUAUACCUUCGCCAGGUGAAGACAAUCUUCAAUACGUCCAUGUCGAGAAGGACAAUGCGGCGGCGGCGGCGGCGGCGGAUGCCGGGCGAAGACGGGGGGAAGGAUCGGACUUCAGGAGGAGCAAGGGCUUCGCGAACAGAGUCAGUGCGAAGAGACAGGAGAAGGAGACUCCGCCGCCGCCGAUGCCGGGUGAAGACGGGGGGAGGAUCGGACAAGGGCUUCGGGAACAGAGGCGCCGAUGCCGGGCGAAGACGGGGAGAGGAUCGGACAAGGGCUUCGGGAACAGAGGCGGUGCGAAGGGACGGGGGAGAAGGAGACUCAGACUUGCUGUGCACGUUUUGAUUUUAGUUUUAGAAAAACUUCAAAUGCCAUCCUUGUGGUUUUAUAUUUUCUGACUUUAAUAUUCUAUAAUUUAAAUUUAAAGUGUAUUAAUUUAGUAUUUUACGAUUUUAUUUUUAUUUUUUUAUUAUAAAUUUUAUUAAUUUUUUUCGUUAAAUCAGUGACAAAGUUAAAACUAAACGGUAUUAAAAUGAAUGUUCGAUAAACCUAGGUGGGGUAUCUAAAAUUUUUUAUAUAUAUUUUAACGAAAUAUUAACGAAAAAGCUAACGAAAAAAUAAAAAUAAAACCGCAGGACACUAACUAGAUACACUUUAAUUAUAGGGUACUAAAAUAAGAAAGUGUGAAACCACAUGAGUGAUUUUUGAAUUUCACCCUUUAGUUUUCAGUUUUUAGUUUUUUUAUUUUAGCAGUGGACGGUGGUGUCGGAUGCUUUCCAUACGUGCGCCACAGGCCGAUACAGACUUGGCAAAAGCCAAAACCACCUGAGGAACAAAUCACAAUCCCAGUGACGCUUCUGCCCUACUUUUGGAACAAAAUGCCAAAAAAACAGCAAAAAACUUUAAACUAAUGUAAAAAGGGUUAAUUACACCGAUGGUCUCAAAUCUUUGCACUAUUUUUCACUUGGGUCCCCAACUUUUUUUUUUGCAAUUGAGUCCCUAAUCUCUUGAUUUUAUUACAAUCACGUCCCGCCGUAAAAAAUACUGUUAAAAUUAAUGGAAUAGAAUAGGCAUCCUUUUGCAUGUUAAUUUUGGUCCAUAAACUUUGCACGUUUUUCACUUUAGUCCCUAAAAAAAAUUUAAAAUUUUAAUUUGAAAUUCAAAAAUAAUAUUAAAAUUAAAAUUUUAAACUAACGAGAAAUUAGAAAUUUGAAUUUGAAUUUAAAGCUAAAUUAAAAUCUUGAAUUGAAAUUUAAAUUUUAAAUUUGAAUUUUAAAUUGAAUCUAAAAUUUGAAUUCAAACUUAAAGUUUUGAUUUUGAUAUUUCAAUUUACAUUUAAAAUGAAAGUUUUGAAAUUGAAAUUUAAAUUUAAAAUCGUAUUCAAAAUUUUGAUUUUAAAUUUAAAUUUGAAUUCAAAAUUUAAAUUUAAAAUUAAGAUUUGAUUUCAAUUCUAAAUUUGAAUUUAAACAUCGAAUUCAAAUUCACAUUUUGAUUUGAAAUUUCAAAUCAAAGUUUGAAAUUAAAUUAGAAUUUAAAAUUCGAAAUGUGAAUUCGAGUUUAAAAUUAAAAUUUUAAAAUUAAAUGUAAAAUCAGAAUUUGAAUUCAAAUUUAAAUUUGAAUCCAAAAUCAAAAUUUAAAUCUUAAAUUAAAAAUCUUGCUUUAAAUUUAUAAAUGUAAUGGGUUAAUUACACCAUUGGUCCUCAACCUUUACACAAUUUUUCAAUUUAGUCCUCAACCUUUUUUUUUUUUUGCAAUCCGCUGACACCCGCCUCUGUGGCGCUGACACGGCGCCUCCGUGGCGCUGACAUGGUGCUGACGUGGUAUUUUCCGUCAAUUUUAAUACCUUUUUGACGGCUGGGACUUAAUUGUAAUGAAAUCAAUAUAUUAGAGACUUGAUUGCAAAAAAAAAAAGAUUGGGGACCAAAUUGAAAAAUAGUGCGAAGGUUUGGGACCAAUGGUGUAAAUAACCCAAUGUAAAAAAGAUUAUAAACUUUAGUUUUCUUUUUUGUUUUUUUUUUUUCUAAUUAGGAUCUUAUUAUUCUAUUUGAAUUUGGAUUCUAAUUCGGUUUCGGAUUUUGAGUUCCGAAAUUUUUUGGAUUCAAAUUCAGAUUUACUAUUUUUUGCCCCAACUCAUAUUCAGAUUCGGAUUCGGAUUCGAAUAUGCAAUUUUAAAAUAUCCCAACAAAACUCUCACAACUUUUUUUUAUUUUAGCUUUAAAUAGAAUUGGAUUCGGAUUCGAAUUCGGAUUCGAAUAUGCAAUUUUGAAAUAUCCCAACAAAACUCUGACAACUUUUUUUAUUUUAGCUUUAAAUAGAAUUAGGCUGGUAUACUAUCGGUAGUACGGAGGCCUCCGUACUACAAAAUUGUUUUCAAUGAUGCGGCUUCCAAAUCGACGAUCGGCUCCGUUAGAUUUCAUAUACGCUAUUGAAAGUAUUUGAAAACUAAAUUUCAUAAUUUUUCGACAUCAUUUGCCUAGUGAUCAAAAGGUAUCAAAAUUGACAAUUUCAUAAUUUUUCGACAUCAUUGGCCCCAAUUUCCCUUUCAAUUGCCAAAAAUCAACAAAGAUUAACACUGUAAGUCAUAAAAUUGUGAGAUUACCUCAAACUUUGCAUUCGGUUCCGAACGCCACUCUAUUAGCGGCAAAGCAUCAAUGGUAAAGCAGCAACCAGGAGAAGAACAAAAAUAUAAAUGACACCUUGAGAUUCUAGAAUUCGCAAACCAUGUACCUUGAAAUUAAACUAAACCAAAAGCAACUCCAUCUACGAGAAAUAAACCUUCACGUACGGAUCGGAAUAGCAAUUCCAACUGUUUGUUUAGCAUGACCAUUUUCUCUAUCGCAAGAAGCAAACAACAGCAUUUGAAACAGGAAAAGCCCUCGGCUCUUUCUAUGGCAGCAAACUGAAAUAAAAUUUCAUUGGCUUGUCUGUCUCCAAAGAACUAAGUAGGAUUUAUUUCUCACAAAUAUAAAGGCCAACAAGCAAACUCAACAUAUUGUUAUAUUUCAACUGCCUUUCGGACAAAUACCAAUCAGAAAUUAGCAGAAGCCAAUACCGCUUAGAAUAUAAGGGCAACAUAUUUGCCUAAGCUAUGUGUUUUACACUGCAAAGUUUUGUAUCUCACACCGAACCCUACAAGUAGAUAAAUUUGACUCUUCACGAGAGCACCGACAAACUCCCAUAUUCAGGAAAAGUAGCAUCUUUUAUUUGUUGAGGCAAAGAUAAGAAGAUAAAAUGACACAAUAUAACUUGUUAAAGCCUCCAAAUUACUAACACUAAUAACUAAGAACUUAAAAUAAAGAAAAACCAGCAAUCGAAAAAAAAAAAAAAUUUACCACCAUUAUUCACGACCAAACAGCACCUGAAUGGGGAAGGCCUGGUGUAGAGCAUGACAUUCCGCCUGCAAAGCAAAUAAGGAAACAUCUAGUUGUGUUAUUGCAAAGAGACAGAAAAUUUAAACAAACAAGUAUUGCUAAUUAUAUUUCAUUGAUUAGCAUAAUCAUAUAAAGAUAACAUGGAGAAUGUUAUCCAACACUUUAUCACGAAUACUAUCAAGAAGCAUCAGAAACUAUUAUGCAACAAUUGAUAUGUAGGAAAUAAUUAGCAUCUCUUCCUGAAUCUUGUGAGAAUCAGUAAAAGAUAUAGUCCUCCUAACAAUUCAAAAGCCUCAUCCAAAUUCCUAAUUUUACAAGUCCAAGAAAUUACCAAUUUGGACAAAUAUAUAGCUAGCUAAUUGUGGUAGCUGAAAUUUUUUUCAUGAAAAAAAAUUAACACAAUGAGGAAAAUAUAGAAACUUAACAUAAAACAAAGUUGAACAUUGAUGUAACUAAGCAUUGGAAGUAGAAAUACAAGACGAACAGAAUAAAUAAUUUUAGCAUAGGAAACCUCAUUCUCCCUUUCCACAACAUAUCGCAUGUCACAUCGUUACAAAUAUCGAAUUAAAUAACAAAUGCUCUGAUUAAUUUAAAUACUAUAUACACAAACUAUAACCUAACUAUACAAACAAAUAAAUAAAAAUGUACCUCUACUAACUCGCAGUGGGCUUGAGUCUACAAAGAGCAACUUUAAUGUUACGUUGCACCCCAUAAAGCACCUUCGCCUGGAAGAUUUUCGGCUCAGCUUCACCGUCAACUGCUUGGAAGGUAACAUAGUACCAAAGUCCUGUUGCGACACUACACGUUGCCUUCUCUAUUUUUACAAACACGUAACUCAUAUCCUACAUUAUAAAAAACAUCAUAAAAUCAAUUUUAUCAAACAAAAAUAAAGACACAAAGAAAAAAACAAUAGGAAAAGACAUACACAAGGGAACAUGAACAUACAUUUUUCUUAUUAAAAUGUUCGAUUGCCAAUUUAGUACAUCUGAUAAGAAUUUCAUCAUCAAAAUCCGUGAUCGCCGUAAGGCCAAACUCACACGUGCCUGGAAAUGGAUCAACAUCGAAUCCCUGUAAAAGACAUGUAUUAACAAUUAGUGAAAAAAAAAAAGGUUGUGAAGCUUUAACUCUCAAAAAGAAGAUAAUAAUUAUUAAACACCUCGCUUUCCUUGAUUUGUUUGUAAUAUCUAGCCCAUUCUUCGUGAGUCCUACUGCGAUUACCAUUCGGCCAAACGUAAACCUUAUCUUCCUCUGAAGUUGCUCAUAAACCCUUUGAUCCUUCUCGUUCCCUUUCUCUUCCUCUAUUUCACUUUGGAUUUCUUCCUCCUUGCCCUCGUCCCUCAUCUCUUCGCUUUCUUCGUGCAGUUUCAACUUCUCCUACAUCGACUCUUCAGGUAUCAGCUUCUUAGCAUUCUGCUAUAUCACAAAAUGAAAUACAUCUAUACAUAAAAAAUUUAAAUAAAUUUCAAUCAAAACUGACGACAAAUUAAAAAAAAAAUUCUUAAAUUGGCUCAAAUAAAAGAAGAAUUUAGCCGAUGCAUACGAAAUAGAGUCCAAACAGGGCAGAAUUCAGGUGAUACAUUCCUAGAUUAGGAUUUUCUAAUUACGAAAUAAUAUAUUAUUAUUUUAAAAUAUUUCAGUUGUUUCCAAUAAAGUGUAAUUAGGGUUAGGUUAUAUAAAUGUGUAUUUUUUAGGAUUUGGAGAAUAAGAAGAAAUUGGCCGUGUUGUUCUAUCUUCCAUCUUGUUCUCUUCCCCCUUAUCUAUCUUUAUCUCUCUAAUAUCUCUCUCUUUAGGAGGUUCGAUUCCCUCGAAGUGAUCAUUUACCCCUAUCGAUACGGUAGAAUCUUGUUCUAUCUCCCCUCCCGUUCUCUUCCCUCUUAUCAAUCUUUAUCUCUCUAAUAUCUUUCUCUAGGAGGUUCGAUUAUCUCAAAGUAAUCGUUUAUCCCUACCGAUACGGUAGAACCGUAUCAUCAGGCCAAAUUUCGUAAACAAUUUUUUUGAAGGAAUAUUUUUAUAGUUAUAAUCUAUUACUCUUUAUGAAUCCCCAAUGUUUUAAGCUGAUGUGUCAUAACCUCCUAAUUUUGAAUUUUUUUUAAUUUAGAAUGAUCAAUUUUAUUCUCUCUCUCAACAUACGUCUCUUCAUCUCCCCCAUUUAAUUUUUAUUUAGAAUGAGUCAUUUUACUCUCUCUCUCAACAUACGUCUCGUCAUCUCCCCUAUUCAAUUUUUAUUUAGAAUUAGCCAUUUUACUCUCUCUCUCUCAACAUUCGUCUCCUCAUCUCCCUCAUUUUAUUCUCUCUUUCUUAACAUACGUCUCUUCAUCUCUUCCAUUUAAUUUUUAUUUAGAAUAAGCUAUUUUACUCUCUCUCUCCAUCGUUGGUAGAUGUACCAAGUGAGAUAUACAAAAAAAUAUUUAAUAUUUUAUUAUUAUUAAUUACUACUAUAGUUUCUAUCCGCUGCAAAGCGCGGGACUCUUCACUAGUAUGAUAUAAGUCUACUAAUAAAAGAAACGUCACAAACAAACGGCAUUCUAAUCAUUUAUUACAAUCCGAACUUAAUUAAUCAGAGAACCAAACACAUAUCAAAUCGCACAUUCAAACAAAAACAAAAAAAAAGAAAGCACAUUCUAACACAUGUGUACGGAAUAUGGUAACGAACGAGAUGUAUACCUUUGCCAGGUGAAGACAAUUGUAAUGUCUUGAAGAAUAAGUAGUUUAAUAGUUAGUAGGGGAAGGAAGUAAAAAUGUCAACUUUACAAUAGUAAGACCAGAAAUAAGGACGGAAGUAGUAGGCGGAUCGGGCGGUCGAAUUACCGGAUCGGGCGUAAAACGCAGACCCAAGCCCCGCCGGGUUGCGGGUGAUGCGGAGAAGGCAGGAACCGACGCCCACUUACCGUUAUGCAUGGGUCAGGCGAACCGGAGCUCGGAUCGAGGCGAAAUGGCAAACCCAAGACCUGCAGGGUUGCGGGUAGUGAGGAGAAGUGCGGACCCGAGUCCGUUUGCCUGACAAUCAGCAGAAGAGAUCGGGAAAGCCCGGGAAAGGGCCCAACUACCAUGAGAUUUCAGCCCAUACGAGUUUUUCCUCAAUUUAUCACUUUUGCUGUUUAGCCCUCAUAGACUAGGUGCGUUUUUAGUUUAGUCCAAAUUACCAAGUACUAUAAAUACCAAAGUAUAAUGUAAACAGGGUAUCAAUAAAAUGAAAUAUUGAAUCUGCUUCUUCCCCAAACUCUCUUCUUCUCUAAACUCUCUUUUCCCAACUCUUAUCUUUUCUCUACCUCUCAUCCACACCAUGUCUAAACUCUAAACACAAUGAAUAAUUCGCCGUGUUUAAAAAAAUACAAUUAUAUGUAUUACGAAAAAAAUAUAAGUAUUAAAAAAAGGGAAUACAAAAAAUAUAAGCACGGAACAUGGUGAAUGGACCAUUCACCGUAAUUGAACACGAUGAAUGAUUUACCGUGUCUAAGAAAAAUAUAUCAUUUACCGUGUUUGAAUGCGGUGAAUGAUUCACGGUGUUCAACUUAUCACCCCUCCAGCUUUUACAAAAAUAAUUUAUAAAAUUUAAAUUUUAUAAAAAUAUAUUUGUUUGUUAUAAUCGGAACGACGAAAAGUAGAUCCAGAAAAUAAUUUAAUGCAGGAAAAGAAAAGAUAAGGAAAGAGUACACCGAUAUUUACGUGGUUCGGCCAACAGCCUACGUCCACGGGCGAAGACGGAGCAAAUACUUUGUUAAUGUCGAAAAGGCGGAAUACAAAGAAGAUUUCUCGAAAAAUAACCAAAGCUUAAUUAGAUCGAAACGCCGCAACAAGCAACUCCAAAAUUGGCUUCUCUCUCACCCGUACGACGUAUGGCUAAAUUAAAGUAGCCGCGGAUUCUUGACCGUACGAAACGUGCAUAGCUUGGCUUAAUUAGAGUGUGGCUUCUAAUCAGCCGCAGCUCCUGACCGUACGGACCGCAAGACCAACAUGGAUUGCUUAAUUAGAGCCCCGGCAGCUCAGAAUAAUUAGCACAUGGCAUCUAAUUUUGGUCGCGGCAUUAUUAACUUAGCCGUAGCGUAUCUAUUACUCUAUGUGAAUUCCCAAUAAUUUUGCCACGUGGCAAGUUUUUCUCCACUCUCACUAAUCUUUUUUUUGAAUUGAUUUUUACUCUUGGCUUUUCCACUCCCAUCUUCUUUAUUCAAUGACAUGUAAUUAAUGUGCUUUUUAAUUUAUACGUUUCCUAUUCAAAAUUACUUUUUUUGAAUUGAUUCUUACUCUUGGCUUUUCUCCUCCCCUCCUCUCUAUUCAAUGACAUAUAAUCAAUGUGCUUUUUAAUUUAUACGUUUUCUCUUCACAAUUAGUCCUUUCUUCUCCCACAAAUAAUUCCUAACAUGCAAAAUUAGAAAAGGAGAAGAUGAAUAGUUACUACUUUCAGAUCUAGAGAUUGGGGAAUAGUAAGGGAGUUUUCCAAGCUCUAAUCCGUGCCAAUCCGACUCGACCCGAACCCCCCCCCUCCGAAUCAAAAGAGUGUUUAUAGGGUUUCUAUUAAUGCCGAUCUCUUCGGAUUUAUGGAAAAAUAAGGUAAUCGAACGGUUUUUCAAUAGAGAAAGCUAAUUGGAGAGCAAUAAUGGACGGUUCGAGGGGUAGGUUUGGAAAACGAAAAUCCUAAACCUAAUUUUUCUUUUCUUUAUUUUAAUCUCGAAUUCUUACUAUGUAUUCAUUUAGAAUUUAAUUUAUUUGCAUUAUUUUUUAUAUGGUGAUUGUAUCAAUUAAGGACUUGAUUUAUAUGCAUUAUUUUGAUUAAUUUAGAGGUUAUUUUUUAUUUCAUAAUUGAUGUGGCAGGUUUGGCCCACAACUUUUGAUCAUUCCAUGCUCAAAAGGGUGCAAAAUUUUGCAAAUUUUUAUCAGAUUUUCAUCGCCAUCGUCGUCAUCAUCGCAACAUUAUUAUCUCCAUCUUCAUACGACCUUUGUAGGUUUUUUUUUUUUGAAUGUUGAUUCUGGGCAGUUAUCAAUUUUCAAUGGCUAUAUUGGUUAGUUCAAUUCAUACGUUUCCCUACCCAAAAAAUAAAACACUCUUAAAUUUUUAUUUUCCAAACUUCUUUCUUCUUACUCUUCAAUAUUUUUUAAUUUUUUUUCUAUUAUUUAUCCGCGGCAUCGCGCGGGUUAGUACACUAGUAUAUAUAUAUAAUACAUGUUUUCUAAUUAAAGUCUAAUUCUAAUUAGAUUAGAAUUACACUCCUAAUUAUAAUCUAUAAAAUAUAUAUGCUAAAUUAAAUCUAAAUUAUAUCCAAUCCCAAAUAAAUUAGGAUUUAACUCUAAUUUAGAUAACUACAAAUCUAAACCAAAUAUAAAAAUAAUUUACUAUAUUUUGGCAACCUGUAUGUAAUUAACCUAAAAAUUUUCGUCUUAUGAGUGGAGGAGGACAUCAGUAAUUAAAGGGCUUUCUUUGCAAAUAGCCCCCUGAAAAAUUUUAUUUGCGCAAAUAGCCCCGUCUAAAAAUUAUUUGCAAAAAUGGCCCUGGCCCUGCCACGCCAGCGCCACGUCAGCGCCACGCGAGCAGGGCCUGGGCCAGGUGGCUAAGUUGAACACGGCAAUUGGUUCACCGUGUUUAGACACGGUGAACCAAUCACCGUGCUCAUUGUAUUACUCCCGCCCACGACGGGGUGUUAGUAUUACAUUAGACACGGUGAUUCGUUCACCGUGUCUAAACACGGUGAACCAUUCACCGCGUCUAAACACGGUGAACUAUUCACCGCGUUUAGACACGGUGAACCAAUCACCGUGUCUAAUGUACUACACACCAUUUCGCGGGUGCCAAAUAAGGCAUAGAACACGGUGAUUGGCUCACCGUUGUAUUAGACACGGUGAACCAAUCACCGUGUCCAAUGUAUCACUCCAGCCCAAGGCGGAGGGUUGGUACCACACUUAAACACGGUCGAUACGUUCACCGGGUCUAAACAUGGUGAACUGUUCACCGCAUUUAGACACGGUAAACGGUUCACCGCGUAUAGGACACGGUGAACGGAUCGCCGUGUCCAAUGCAUGGGCCGGGUGCGGCUGCGAGAAAAUCUAACACGGCCUGGCCCAGUUCGUUAACCAAGCGCCUAUGGCCCAAUAAAGAAAGUCGGGCCAGAUCUAAAAGUGCGGCUGCGAGAAAAUCUAACACGGCCUGGCCCAGGAACCGAAUCAAUGCACGGGCCGGGUGCNCCUGGGCCAGGCCGUGUUAGAUUUUCUCGCAGCCGCACUUUUAGAUCUGGCCCGACUUUCUUUAUUGGGCCAUAGGCGCUUGGUUAACGAACUGGGCCAGGCCGUGUUAGAUUUUCUCGCAGCCGCACCCGGCCCAUGCAUUGGACACGGCGAUCCAUUCACCGUGUCCUAUACAACCCUAUACCCCGAAAAUGGCUAAGUCUGGUAAACCCUAAACCUUCGAAAAUGGUUAAGUCUGGUAAACCCUAAACCUUGAACUAACUGAAUUGGACACGGUGAACCAUUCACCGUGUCCAAUACAACUAGCCACACCUAAGCCGUAUUUGGCCAAAUAUGGAAGUAAAGGACACGGUGAUUAGUUCACCGCGGUGAAUAGUUCACCGUGUUUAGACACGGUGAAUGAAUCACCGUGUUUAGACACGGUGAACGAAUCACCGUGUCUAAUGUAAUACUAACACCCCGUCGUGGGCGGGAGUAAUACAAUGAGCACGGUGAUUGGUUCACCGUGUCUAAACACGGUGAACCAAUUGCCGUGUUCAACUUAGCCACCUGGCCCAGGCCCUGCUCGCGUGGUGCUGAUUUGGCGCUGGCGUGGCAGGGCCAGGACUAUUUUUGCAAAUAAUUUUUAGAUAGGGCUAUUUGCGCAAAUAAAAUUUUUCGGGUGGCUAUUUAAUUGAAAUUUUCGUCUAAUAAGUGAGGGAGGAGGCCAUCAGUAAUUGGUGUAUUCUAGACUCUUUCGUGUCUUCGGGAGGUACAAGGCGUGCUCCUUUUCUUGCUAUGACGAACUCCCACAUCACCAAAGAGAGGGGAAAAAAAAAAAAAAAAGGAGGGAGAAAACACAUUUCUCUCUCCUUUGAUCCUUUCCCGGAAACCAAACAUCGCAUUACAGAAUCUGGCAAUGGCGGGGCAGCGCGCUGGAUGNGGCCAUCAUUUAUAAUGAUGAUGAUUAUCAUCAUAAUCUUUAAAGGCGCUUCGACUUCAUGUGAGGAUGCCUCCGUUGUCGACGGCAUUGGAUCAGCAUCUUCUUGCUCCCUUUCAUAUUUUUUGAUCCUGGCUGAAGUAACUAUCAUCAUUUUUUCUUUUUCUUUUUAUUCUACUUCUCCAUUUCUCUUCUUGAUGCCUCCUCUUCCUCCUCCUUGUUGUUGUUACUGUUACUGUGUUCGUGUUGGUGUUGGUGUUGGUGGUGGUGGUGGUGGGGGUGGGUGGAGCCUACCGUCUCCCCGCCCUAUCCUGAAAGGUUUCAGGAAAACCCACAAAACUUCGCCUUUCGGGGUAAAGAUGUAUAAAACUUUCCGCAACUAUCAUCCUUUUCGAUCUGACUACCUAACAGUUAAAAGUUUGGAUUUUACUACCCGUUCUUUCAAUUUAUUUGAUUUAAGCCGAUUAGUAAGCAACUAUGAAUUCAUUAAAGUAAGCAAUUAGUUUAAAUUUUGAAGUCCGAUUAUCGUUGACCGACUCAAAUCGAACAAAUUGGAAAGUUCGGUGGUAAAAUCAAAAUUCUGGGAGGUCGGGUGGUCGACUCAAAAUGAGGCAUUUAGGUUCUCGCAGUUGGUGCUUGGCAUGGUCAUGGUAAUCUUGGAAGGCUCUGCUCUUCUACAGGCAACCACUUUUCCAUGCGAUGUCUUGUGGUGUACUGCAGUACUGUGUUUCGUACCAAUUUUUCCGUGCAGGUGUUUUGGAGCGGAAAUUGGAAUCAUGGUAGAUCCGACUGGAACCGUUGGGUUUGCUUAGACUUGCUGAAAUCACUUCAAACCGGUGGAAAUCAAUUCAAACCACACCUGCUAAUGUUUCCAAGGAUUUACAUGUUCUUGGUUGCAAUUUCAUCCAAAUCAGUGAUUUGGAGGAUCCGAAACUGGGUGCAAAGGAGGCUGUGAUGGUUGCCAACCUGGGUGCUAAUGCUUUGUCCAAGCCAUUUCUUCUUUACCCAGUGUAUACAGCGAAAACAGCUCUUUUAAUAUCAUUUCUUCUUCGGCAAAUUGGAUGGUCUGCUAAUUUAGCAGGCAACCUUAUGCUAGCAUCCAUUGUUAUGGUGCAUGGAUUUUAUGAUGCUUUCUGAGUAAGGCCGGGGAAAUGGUUGUGAACAAACAAAUUGAGGCUUUCGGUGGGUCUCUUGCUGUGUCAUCAACCAUAAUAUUGAUUAGCGACAUAUUGCCGUUCACUCAACUUAAUUGGCUUGUGAGACUUGAUAGCAACAAUCAAGAAAGUUCGAGUCGAAAUUGCAACAAUUAUAUUUUGAGGACUAAAGUGUUACCUGCCUCAUUGUUUGAGGACCAAAAGUGUAAUUUAGCCUUAUUUUAUCUAACAAACCACUGAGCAGGUAAGAAUUUUCUUGCUAAAUUGCAUGUUUGGUCCUCAAACAAUGUGUAACACUUUGGUUCUCAAACUUUAAUCUGUUACAAUCUAGCCUGAACUUUUUGAAUUGUCGCAAUCAAGUCCUGCAAUCCAAUUUAGAUGACUAAAUAUUGAUGCAUCAUUGAUGUAAUAGUGAUGUGACAUUUUAUUUUUUGUCUCAUCAUCAAUUACCAUAUUGCUACCGUCACUUUCACAUUACCGACAUAUCAAUAUUUAGUCAACUAAAUUAGAUUGUAGGACUUGAUUGCAACAAUUUGAAUCAGAAAUUACAAUAAAUUAAUGUUUGGUCCUUGUCAUGUGUCUCAAAGUUUGAGGACAAAAUGUGCAAUUUACCCUAAUUUUCCUCAUCUCAGUGGCAGCUCUCAAUUGGAAGGUCUGCUGUUUUGCAGGCAACCUUGUUCUGUCAUUUGUCUUCAAGGUGCAUAAGACUCUCAUGAUGCCUCUUGAUAUGAUCAAAUGGCAUGUUGAACCCUCUCUUUCCUUCUACUUGAAACAUUCGUUCUACUUUCUUUUCAGCUUUUAAUAUUUCUCAUGUCGACCGUCCGUGUGUCCUCAUGUUGACUGUAUGCUUCAAUCAGACAGGCACUUAAUGUUUUAUCCCAUGUUAAGUAUUUUUUUCCCUUCAUUUUACUUGUCAAAGGAGGCUGUGAUGAUUGUCGGUUGGGAAUGCACCUCAGCUUAUUUUAUCCCGGCUUUUGCUUCUCGGCGGAGUACAGAAGCUGAUAAGGAUACUGGAUAUAAGAGGCAAUAUAGUCAACUCAAACCUAAGAUUUUGGUUGGGUUUUGACAAGUCGGGUGGGAUUUGAAUCUGGUUUGUUAGUUUGCUUUGUCCUUUUACAACCCUUGGGAGCCUUUCACUUUGUUCAUUUGUGGGAUAGACAACAUCUCAGUGGGUGGUUUUUGGCUGACAUGAUGCACCAGGUGCAGGCAAUAAUUUUUCCUUUCUGGGCAGCUCGUGAGGCCAACAUUAAGUACCCGUAGCAGUAUUUAAUUGGAAGGCCUUGCAGGCAAGCCUAUGCUGUCACGUCUUUAAGGUGCAUGAGAUUACAAGAUCCCUCAUGUGGUGAUUAAGCGGCAUGUCUGAGUCUCCAUUUUAUUUUCCUACUUCCUUUUUAGCUAUUGAGAUUUGGUUGUUCACGUUUGUUUUCCCCCUCGCUUUCUUACUGCAUAUAGAAGCUAGGAUGGGUUGUUUUAAAUAUUCCUUAUCAAACCGUUGAAACAUGACUUCAUGCUGGUUGAUGGUAAAUUUUCUAUCCUAUAUGUAUUCAGAUCAGAGGGAAUUUGUUAAUCUUUCGGAUUUUGAUAAGAACUAAAUAUAAGAAAGAUUUGGAUGCUAGGUAUAUAAAUAUUUGGGUUAAUUUCUUCAAUCCCUUCCUUAAAGAUUGUAAUUUCAUAAAGACUCCUUCAAAUUGUAAAGGGUUUAGGGUUGCAUGCAUACAUCUCUCUCUUUUGCAUCUGAUCGACAUCAAGUUUCUAUAUUUAUAUUGGGUUUCUUUGCAUUUUAAAGUUAUACAAAAUUGUUGCAGGGCAUGCAAUCAAAACGGUUGCUCAAUCAAUAGCUUCACUUGAGCCCUAUUAUGUUAUUUGAUAAAGUUUUGGGAUUUAUUUGUUAAAAAGUAGAAGUUUUAGCACCUGUUUGCAAAAGUGUUAGAGUUUAGGGAGGCUUUGUACAUUGUUUCAAUUAUUAAUGUUUACUAAAAAAUGUAUGUUGGGCGCAAACAUUGCAUCCUUUUGGGCUAUUUAGAGAGGCAAAAUACUGUGAGCCCUCAAUUACGGAUGUAUGGGUAUGCCUUCGAGGCGAUACGAGCUAGAGAGCCUAUGUUGGGGGAAAAACAAAGUACUGGGCGUGCUCCCUUCUUGCUGCAAGCUCCUCUGUCUCUUCACUCCCACACUGAGAAACCAAACACCCCCUUAGAGAAUCUGGUAUUGGCGGGGCAGCAUUGGAUGGUUUGCUGUUUGUAGGCUACUGAGCUGCAGCCAUUAUUCCAGAAUUGGUGCGGCAACGGCAGCGGUGGCGAUCAUUUUGUGGCCAUCAUUUAUAAUGAUGAUGAUUAUCAUCAUAAUCUUUAAAGGCGCUUCGACUUCAUGUGAGGAUGCCUCCGUUGUCGACGGCAUUGGAUCAUCAUCUUUUUGACACCUCUCAUAUAUUUUGAUCCUGGCUGAAGUAACUAUCAUCAUUUUUCUUGUACUUAGCCAUUCUUUGCUUGAUGCCAUUUUGUUGUUAUUGUUAUUAUUAUUAUUAUUGUUAUUGUUAUUGUCGUAGUGGUGGUGGUCGUGCAGGUGGGUGGAGUCUGCUCUCUCUCUGCCCCCUGUGAAAAGGGAAACCCACAGAACUUCGUUCUGUGGGGUUGACCAAGCCUUCUCUCUCUCUCUCUCUCUCUCUCUCUCUCUCUCUCUCUCUCUAUAUAUAUAUAUAUAUAUAUAUAUAUAUAUAUAUAUAUUGAGUUCGGCUAUGGUGCUUUUAAAAGCACCAAGCACUUGGUCCUUGUAAGUUUUUGUAAGUUUCCCAUUGUUAGAUUUAUCUCUUUGACCAAUUCCACCCCUAAGAUUAUACUAUUCGACCAACUACCCGCUCAAAUCUUGGGGACAACUAUUAUCCUAACCCUACAAAUCUUCAUCCUAGGCCGAAAACCUACAAGCACCAAUGACUUGGCACUUUUAAAAGCAUAGGAGCUCAAUUCUAUCUAUCUAUCUAUCUAUCUAUCUAUCUAUCUAUAGACAUAUAUGUAUAUAUAUACAGUUUGUGUGUGGGGAAUAUAAGGGGAAAAAAAACAACAAUCAUGCCACAUGAGGCAUUAAGUUUUCAGCGGUUGGUGCAUGGCAUGGUAAUAUUGGAAGGCUUUGCUUCUCUGCAGGCAACUAUUUUUUCAUGUGAUGUCUUGCUUAGACUUGCUGAAAUUAUUGAGAACAAGCUUAUUAAAGCUUUCGAUGAGUCUCUUUCCACGUCAACAACCACAACACUGUCACAUUACUGUUGCAUUAGUGGGACAUUACCGAAAGUAAGUUGGCCUAUGAAACUUGAUUGCAACAAUCAAAAAAGUUUGAGCUAGAAAUUGCAGCUAUUAUGGUUUGAGGACCAAAAGUGUAAUUUAGCCUUAUUUUAUAUAACAAACGACUGGGCAAGCAAUAAUUUUCCAAUCUCGGCACCUAUAACUGCACUCAAUUGGAAGGCCUGCUAUUUUGCAGGCAACCUUGUUAUGUCGGUUGUCUUCAAGGUGCAUAAGACUAUAUGAUGCCUCUUGAUAUGAUCGAAUGGCCAGUCGGAGCCUCUCUAUCCUUCUACUUCCUUUUCAUCUAGUAAUAUUUCUCAUGCUGACUGUCGAUGUUCUCAUGCUGACUGUAUGCUUCAAUUAGACAGGCCCUUAAUGCUUCAUGCAAAUGUUAAGGAAGCGUCUCUCCUUUAUGUUACGUUUCGAAGGAUGUUGUGAUGAUUGGCGGUUGCGAAGGCACCUCAACUUGUUUUUUUCUUGGCUUUUGAUUCUUAGAGCGUGUUUGGUUCACUUCUUUUUCACUCUGGAAUCGAAAUCGGAAUGGGUGAAUCUGUUUGUGGGUGUUUGGUAUGCGGGAGUUCCAUUCCCAUUCCUAUUCCCGAGUGGGAUGGGAAUCCCCUAAUCAUCUCUUUUUCCAAUCCGGUCUAGUAGGCCGGAUUGACAGUUGAAUCCAGACGGAAUGGAUAUUUAUUCGGAUUAAAUUAAUUUUUUCAACUUUUUUAAAUUAAAAUAUGAGUUUAAAUUUAGAAAUUAAAUUUAUAAUUUUAAAUUUUAAUUUGAAUUUGAAUUAAAAAUUAAAAUUUAAUCAAUUAUUUUGAAUCUAACUUAUAAAUUUGAAUUUAAAUUAAAUUUUAAUUUAUAUAAAGUUUUAUUCAAAUUUUAUUUAAAACUUAAAUUAAAUUUAUGGAUUCAAAUUAAAAUUAAAAUUGUAAUUUUAAGUUUGAAUUUGAAUAAAUCGAAAUUUAGUUUUAUAUUUUGAAUUAUCCACUCAACUUCAAAGUUUAAUUUUUUAAAAAAAAAUAGAUUUAAAAUUUUGACAUUAUUUCAAAAUUUUGAUGUAAAUUUUUAAUAUUUAAUUUUCAGUUUGAAUUUAAAUUAAUAUAUUAUAAAGAUAAAGUUAGUAUAUUAAUUUGAUUACGUUUUUUAUAUCUAUCUGAACAAAACACCGACAAUGGGAAUGAUUUAUUCCGAUUCCGAUUCAGGUAAUGAAUCAAACAGAAUUAGGUAAUGAGUCAUUCCAAUUCUGAUUUCAGCUUAUUUCGAUUCCGAUUCUGAUUCCGAUUCCAACUUCGAACCAAACGCGCCCUUAAUGGAGUGCAGAAGCUGAUCGAAAUACUGGAUAUAAGAGGUAGUAUGGUCAACCCUAAAAACUGCACUUUUGCAUUAAAAAAAAUCCCUUUCAUGAAUAACUGUAGAAACGGAUGGUCUGCACUUUUGCAGGCAACCUAGCAGUUACAUGCUGUUUUUUGUGGUUUGUACUUUUAAGCUGUUUCUUUGCGACAUCAUUUGCCUAGUGAUCAAGCAAUGCCAAAUACAUCGUAUAUUAGACAUUAAAAUUGUUGAUUUCUGGACAACUUGACUACUUAGCAAAUGAUAUCAAAGAAUGAUGAAGUUUGAAACCUAGAAAGUUGAAAUAUCCUAGAUCAUGUUUGACGGUGCUGAUGGUCUAUCCAGAUGCCCCAUUAUCGGAAAUGACACGGAAGUGAGCUGUACUUGUAGAAGUAUUCUAGCCUCUCCUUUUCUCUCUCUCUCGAUCUCGAUUUUCUAGGUUGAAAUAUAGAGCAAAAAGUUGGUGGUGGCACUAUUAUGGAUCAAUAAGGUCUAAGGUUCACUUCUUGAAGAUCCCCCUGCUCCCCCCCCCCCCCUUCAAAAAUAAACAAAAAAAAAACACACACACACACACACACACACACACACACACACAAAAAGGAAAAAAAAAAAACUCAAAAUGCAGUUCCUCGUGGAAACUGGCUCCUGCUCGGCAUGCUAUCUUGAACGGCUAGCUCCGAUGCAGACAACCAAUAUUUGCAUCUAUACAGGGGAUUUUAAUCCUCAGUUUGCUAUUUUGAAGCAACAAGUGUCGGAUUGUACGUUAUCUGAAUGUACAUGUUCUUUGAGGAAUGGCUAUGAUGACUGCCUGGAUGCACCAGAACUGAAGCAUUUGACUGAAACGUAGCUUGGCAAUCUUUGGAAGGCUUGCAAUUCUGUGAGCAACCAUUAUGCAGCUGUUUGUGUAGUUCUGUGAAGAUUCUGAUGAAAAGGCCAGAUCUGAGCCACCUCCCUUCUCAGCAUCAUCUUCGUUAAAUUAUGAAAAGCUUUCUUGUACUUUAUCCUCUGUCACAAUUAUCUAACUGCUCGAGAAAGAUGGACUGUAGACAACCGUCCGCUUGUAGACAUCUUUGACUCUAUGGUAAACAGUUGCGACAUGUUUGUUGGGUAAAUGAAAGAAAUAUGUUGAACAAGAUGGUUGUGUGUCGAAAGAAAUGAUCUGUGCUGCUGUUUAAAGCUGCAUUCUUAUGUCUUUCCAUGUGGCAGCUGUGAUGAUUGCCAAGUAUGGAAGCAUCAAAACCCUUGAACAUUAGACUACACUUUGAUCUGCACAGCGUGGCAACUUUUGGACGGCUUGUUUAGCAAGCAUCCAUUUUGCGUUUGUAUGUGUAGUUCGCAAAUGCUCAUAAAAAUGGGGUGAAAAUGUGCAGAACUUAUCUGAACUAUGGACCAUUUCGAGAAAGGCAGAUUGUAGACAACCGUCCGCAUGUUUGUUGUGUAGACAUCUUAGACUCUAUGGUUAACAAUUGCGGCAUAUUUGUUGGGUAAAUAAAAGAAAUAUGUUGAUGGUCAUGUGUCAAUAGAGGCUCUAAAUUUGCACUUUUGUUCUGCGCCACAAAUGAGCUGUGCUGCUGUUGAAAGAUGCAUUGUUACCUCUUUCUAUGUGGUGGCUGUGAUGAUUGCCAUGUAUGGAUGCACCAAAUCCCUACAACAUUUGACUAAACUUUGAUCCGCACAGCUCGGCAACCUUAGGAAGGCUUAUUUUGCAAGCAUCCAUUUUGCUUUGUAUGUGUAGGUUUGCGAAUGCACACAAAAAUGGCAGAUCUGAGCCACAGCGUCUAAAUAUCUCCUUUUCCUUGUUUAGAACUAACAAUUUUUUACCCCUUGCUUGCUCUUGUUUAAAGAACUUCUGUUUGCUAAAUCGCCUCUUGCAACAAGGUGGUUAGUUGAUAAGAGGAAAAAUGUUCCUUUAUGACAAUAUAUGUUUUUGAAGUUUAGUGGUGAUAAUUACACCGCAGUUGGAGGGGGUUUGGCAUAUUUUUGUCUUUAAAUAUGGCCCGCAGGUAGUGUAGUUUUAACAGAGCAUUAGACCUGCCUGGCAGGAACAUUGGAUGGCCUGCUUAUAUGCUGGCAACCAAUUUUUGAUGCUGUAAGCUGGAGUUUGUACCGAGGUUCGUAUUAUUAGCGUUGAGCAUCGCGAUGUAACUUUUUGUAGUUGUACAGAGCCGAAGAAUUGCUCUUUUGCAUCCUUCUUCCUUAGUGGGUAAUCAAAAUUUCCACAAAAUUGGAACUUCAAAUCUCACUUCUUUCAAGUUUAUCCCCAAACCGGUUUUCUAUAAAAAUAAACUGAACAUGCGACUUCGGCAAUGCUGAGGACUCAUAGGGGUGACACGGUCGAAUACGGUCGGAUUUUUGAUGAAACCAUAUCCGUAUCCAUUUCGUAGGCUAAUUCGGGUAUGAUGAUGUUGGAUUCGAUCGGAUUUUAUCCUAACCAUUUUCACCCCUACUUGUGGUACAUUUAUUCAGAGGAAAAAUACUCUUGAGCCCUCCAAUGAGGGAUGGACGGAUGGAUGGACGGACGGGUACAUCGCUAAGGCGAUACGAAAGAGAGAACCCUGCGUUGGGGACAAGCAGAAAUGCAGGGAUGCUCCCUUCUUCCUGUAAGUCCCUCUGUCUCCUACUCUCUUCCACCCCAAAAAAAGGAAAAAAAAAAAAGAAAGAAAGAAGAAAGUCAUUUGUCUCGUUUCCCAUCUCUUCCUUUCCUCAAGUGUUUUUAGGUUAGACAGGGAAUGUGGUAAUGGCGGGGCAGUUCUGGACGGUCUGCUCUUCUGCAGGCUACUGAGCUGCAGCCAUUACUCCGGAAAUACAUUGGCGGGAGUGACGGUGGUCAUUCAUAAUGAUGAUGAUGAUGAUGAUGAUGAUGAUGAUGAUGAGGAUUAUAACCUUUGAAGGUGCUUCAGCUUUGUCUGAGGAUGCUUCCGGUGUCAAUGGCACUGGAUCAUGUUCCUCUUGAUACCUCACCUAUCUUCUUGAUACCUCACCUUUUUCUUGAUCCUCAUUAAAGCAGCUAUCAUUUCCUCCUACUUCCUUUCUUGAUGCCCUAUUGUUGUUGUUGUUGUUGUUGUUGUUGUUGUUGUUGUUAUCAUUAUUAUUAUUAUUAUUAUUAUUGUGGUGGUGGUGGUGGUGGGGGUGGAUGGAGUCUACCAUCUCCCUGCCCCUUCGUAAAAAGGGAAGCUUUCGUUUCUCGGGGUUGACCGAGCCCACACAUAUAUAUGUGUGUGUGCGCGCGUGCGCUUUUAGAAGCAUAUACUUUGAACUUUUGGACCCUUGGAUCCCUAUGGUUUACUAGCUAGUGAUGGUUAAAGUACGGAUCCAAGGGCUCAAAAGUUUAAGUUGUAACUUCUCAAAGCAGCAUAAGCUCUAUUCUAUAUAUAUACACACACACACACUGUUGGUGUUUGAGGGUUGGAAAAAAAAAAAACAACAGGAACAAUUCUAGAUGAGGGCUAAAGUUUCAGCAGAAGGUGGAUAGCAUGGUUAUCUUGGAAGGCUCUGCUGUUCUGCAGGCAAGCAUUAUUCUAUGUGAUGUCUUGCGAUGUACGAGAAGAGAUAUCUAUUCCUUUUUCUCAUGCAAUACUCUGUUUGGUGCCAAAUCAUUAUAGAAUUGAAUAUAUUUGCAAUUCCAUGAGGGCAUUUGUAUUGCAGAAAAUGCAAACUAUGGCAAAUCUGACCACAAACCAGUGGAUUUGCUUUAUCGGAAAUAAAUUUAAAGUACACCUGCUAAUGUCUACAAGGAUGAACCAGUUCUUCUUGGCAAUUUCAUCCAAAUCAGUGAUUUGGAGGAUUCCAAACAGGGAAUGAACAAGGCUUCGAUGAUUGCCAAUCUGGUUGCCCACAGUUUGCCCUUGCCGUUUCUUCUUUACCAUUGUACAGUGUAAACAUCUCUUAUAAUAUCAGUUGUUCCGUAAAUUGGAUGGUCUGCUAAUUUAGCAGGCAACCUUUGAAGCUUUUGAUGAGUCUCUUGCCAUGUUAUCAAUCACAGUACUUCUACAUCACUCCCUUAUCAGUGAUACAUCAUUUAUUCUACUAAAUUGGACUAUGGAACAUGUUGCAACAAUCAAGAAAUGUUGAUUCAGAAGUUGCAACAAAUUAAAGUUUAAGGACUAAAGUGUCAUCCGCCUUAUUGUUUGAGGACCAAACGUGUAAUUUAGCCUUAUAUUAACUUACAAAGCACCCAGGAUAAAAAGAAAGUACUGGAUUUUUUUUUUCCCCCUAGAGAAGCUUUCAAUGGCUUGCGAUGCAUCUGCUGUAUGCAAUAAUUUUCCUAUCUCAGCUGCUCACUAGGGCAGCCUUGCGGGGUAGCUGUAGCAGCACUCAAUUGGAGGGUCUGCUGUUUUGCAGGAAACCUUGUUCUAUCAUAUGUCUUUAAGGUACACAAGGUUACAUAAUGCCUGAUCGAAUGGCAAGUCGGAGCCUCUCUUUCCUUCUACUAUCUUUUCAACUAUCAAUAUUCUCAUGCUGACUGUAUGAAUGUCCUCAUGUUGACUGUAUGUUUCAAUCAGACAGGCCCUUAAUGUUUCAUGCUAUGCUAAAGAAGUGUUUCUCCUUCAUUUUAGUUGUCAAUGGAGGCUGUGAUGAUUGCCGGCUGGGGAUGCACCUCAGCUUCUUUUAUCCUUGCUUUUGACUCUUGGCGGAGUAAAGAAGCUGAUCGAAAUACUGGAUAUGAGAGGCAAUAUAGUCAGCUCAAACCAAACAUGUUUGUUGGAUUUUGACAAUUCUGGUGGGAUUUGAGUCUGGUUUGUUGGUUUUCUUGGUCCUUUUACGCUCCUUGACAGCCCUUUGCUUCGUUCCUUUGGGUGGUCUUGGGUGACAUGAUUCACCGGGUGCAGACAAUAAUUUUUCCUUUCUAAGCAGCUAUAAGGCCAACAUCAGCUACCUGUAGCAGUACUUAAAUUGGAAGGUCUGCGGUCUUGUAGGUAACAUUAUGCUGUUACGUCUUCAAGGUGCAUAAGAUUGCAGGACCCCUCAUAAGAUAUGAUUAAAUGGCAUAUCUGAGCCUCCAUUUUCUUCUCCUAAUUCAUUUUUUGCUAUUCAGUGGUACACUCUUCCCUCACCACCCCCCCCCCCCCCCCCNNNNNNNNNNNNNNNNNNNNCCCCCCCCCCCCCCCCCCCCCCCCCCCCCCCCCCCCCCCCCCCCCCCCCCCCCCCCCCCCCCCCCCCCCCCCCCCCCCCCCCCCCCCCCCCCCCCCCCCGCUCCUCUGGCUUUCUUGCUGCAUGUAGAAUCUAGGAUGGGUUGUUUCAUAUUUUCCUUAUCAACUUCCUGGAACCCUGCGUAAUGCUGGUUGAUGACAACUGGAUAGUUGUUCGGGGGUCUAUUUCAAAAUGGCCUAUAGUUGUGGGGAUCAUCAUACUAUUUAUCCUUCUCAAUAUAUUUGAGGGUUAUCCCAAUAUUGUGACUUAGUCCUCGAACCUAUUCCGUAAACACUUGUCCCUUAUCUUUCACAUAUUCUUGCAGUUCAUCCCUGGCCAUCACUUUGGUCCAUAUGUUCCAGGCAAGAUCUCUCAUUAGCACGCUUCAGUGUAAUUUAAUCACUAGAGGAUUGGCGCGUGAGUCGUAAUUGGGGGCAAGAAGAAGUACAGGGCAUGCUCCCUCCUUUGUAUAAGCCCCGCUGUCUACUUUCUCUUGCACCACAAAAAGCAGAAGAAAAAAAGAAAACAUUUUAAUGUUGAUAUGGGAUGGUGAUAAUAGUUUAAGAAGCUUCGGCUUCAUUUGAGGAUGCCUCCUAUGUUGAUGGCGUCAGAUUGCCAUCUUCUUGAUUCCUCUCAUAUUUCUAGAUUCUAGCUAAAGCAACUAUUAUCUUUUUUUUUAAUUACAUCUCCAUUUCUCUUCUUGAUGUCUUAUUUUUUUCUUCUUCUUCUUCUUGUUAAUUGCUGCUGUUAUUGUUAAUUUUACUAUAGUGGUGGUGGUGGUGGGUGGAGUCUAUCGUCUCCCCAUCCCCUCCCGAAAGGGAAAACCCAAAAAACUUCGCUUUUCGGUUUUGACCAAGCCUUCAUUCUUGGUUUUGGCUGUAUAUAUAUAGAGAGAGAGAGAGUUUGCGAUUAACUAUUUAACCCUUGGAUUUCAGCAGUAGGUGCAUGGCAUGGAAAUCUUGGAAGGCACUACUCUUCUACAGGCAACCAUUUUUCCAUGUGAGGCCUUGAAUGUACCAGAAGAUAUAUCUACUCCUUUUCUAAUGUAAUACUCUGUUUGGCACCAAAUCGUUGUAGAAGUGAGUAUAUUUGCAAUCCUGUGAGGGCAUUUUUGGAGCAAAAAUGCAAAUUAUGGUAGAUCCGACCACAAACCAGUGGAUCUGCCUAGAAUUGCUGAAAUCAUUUGAAACCAUUGAAAAUCAAUUCAAUCCACACCUGCUAAUGUUUCCAAGGAUUAACGAGUUCUUGUUUGCAAUUUCGUUCAAAUCAGUGAUUCAAAGGAUUCUAAACAGGGUGCAAAGGAGGCUGUGAUGGUUGCCAACCUGGGUGCCAACGGUUUGUCCAAGCCAUUUCUUCUUUGCUGAGUGUACAAAAUAAACAGCUCUUUUAGUAUCAGUUCUCCUUUGGUAAAUUGGAAGGUCUGCUAAUUUAGCAGGCAACCUUUACCACCAUAUAUUAUAAUGGUGCAAGAAUUAUAUGAUGCCUUUUGAAUAAAGUGGGGGAAAUGGUUGAGAACAGACUAAUUGAAGCUUUAGGUGGGUCUCUUGUGAUGUCAUCGACAACAAUACUGCCACAUUACUGCUACAUAUGUGAGACAUCACCAUCCACUCAACUAAAUUGGCUUGUGAGAUUUGAUUGCAACAGUCAAGGAAGUUCGAGACAGAAAAUUGUAGCAAUUAUAGUUUGAGGGCCAAAGUGUCACCCGCCUCAUAGUUUGAGAACCAAAAGUGUAAUUUAGCCUUUAUUUUAGCUAACAAACCACUGAGGGUGAAAAGACAGCGUUUUCUAGGAACUGGCUCCUGUGAUGCACCAGGUGCAGGCAAUAAUUUUCCUCUCUAUGCUAUGUGUGGCAGCACUCAAUUGGAAGGUCUGCUGUUUUGCAGGCAACCUUGUUCUGUCCUUUGUCUUUAAGGUGCAUAAGACUACAUGAUGCCUCUUGAAAUGUUCGAAUAGCAGGUCAGAGCCUCCCUUUCUUGCUUUCUUUUCAGCUAAAAUGUAUAUCGUGCUGACCGUCCAUAUGUCCUCGUGCUGGCUGAAUGCUUCAAUUGGACAGACCCUUAAUGUCUUGUGCAAUGGUAAGGAAAUAUUUCUCCUUCAUUUUACUUGCCAAAGAAUGCUGUGAUGAUUGCCAAUUGGGAAGGCACGUCAACUUAUUUUAUCAUGCCUUUUGACUCUCGGCAGAGCACAAAAGCUGAUUGAAAUACUAGAUUUAAGAGGCAAUAUAGUCAGGUCAAACCAAAGAUCUUGAUUGGGUUUUGAUAAUUCGAGUGGCAUCUGAAUCUUGUUUGUUGGUUAGCUUGGUGCUUCUACACCCCUUGAGUGCCCGUCACACACUUGUAUGCUGAUUCAGAUGUGGAUAUCCAAGCAUACAUCUCUCUUUCUCUCUCUCUCUUUGUCACGCCCCAGUUUCUUGGAGCGCCACCCAUUCUAGAACUACUCUAGCCGUAGGUUUGCUCAACCCUCUUAACCUUUUGGGCUUAGCCGCUGCUCAAAAUGGUAUUGCUAGGUUAAGAGGUUUAUCUCUAUAAUACCUUAUAUAUAGGACUUCCAAAUCCUAGGGGUGUCACAUUCUCCUCUCGGUUACCUGCUUCCCUCUUUUAGGCUCUGACGUCCUCUCAGGUUCAAACACACUCACAAGCACCGCCGAUGUGAGACUCGUCUUCCUAGCCUUAGAUAACCUUGUGGGGAGCCGCGCUCCACCCACAAUGGCCGUCAGUCGGAGAGCCGUGCUUUUGCCCGUUUUAUGACCCUGGCUCAGCCAAGGAUCAUCUCACACUUAUGGUUGGUGAUUGGCUUUGAUACCAACUGACGCCUCGCUUCCCAGAGGGGUCAUCCAUCCAAGAACUACUCUAGCCUUAGGCUUGCUCAAUCCUCUUAAUCUCUUAGGCCUAGUCACUGCUCAAAAUGCUAUAGCCGGGUUAAGAGGUUUAGCCCUACUAUAUCUUAUAUAUAAAACUAUUCCAAAUCCCGGGAGUCUCCCUCCCCCUCUCCCCCUCCCACCCCCCCCUCCUGAUUGUCUCAUGCCCUAAUGACCAUUUAUAGUCAUAAUCUAUUUCAAGUAAUUUUGGAUUCGAUCAAAUAUCAUAUUUCUAUUUGUUAUAUAAAAUUAUGUGCAAGGCAUGUGAUCAAAACAGUAGCUCAAUUAGUAACUUCACCUGAACAGAGGGGUUCACUAAACUAUUUGAUAAAGUUUUUGCGGUUUUGUUGCCAAAAAGUAAAAGUUUAGGCUCCUGUUUGCAAAAGUGUUAAAGUGCAGAGUACUAAUUUUUGAUGUUUAUAUAUCUAAAAUCAUUUUCUUAAAAUGUAACUGGAAAUUGCCAAGCAGCUCUGGACUGUCUGCUCUUCUGCAGGCUACAGAGCUGCAGCCAUUAUUCCAGAAAUGUUGUGGCGGCGGCGGCUGCAGCUGCAGUUGGUGAUCAUUCAUAAUGAAGAUGAGGAUGAUGAUUAUAACCUUUAAAGAGGCUUCUACCGCAUCUAAAGAGGCCUCCUAUGUCGAUGGCAUCUGAUUGUCAUAUUCUGAUACGGUGAUACCUCUCGUAUUUCUCAAUCCUCGCUUAACUAUCAUCAAUUUUUUUUUCUACUUCUCCAUUUCUCUUCAUGAUGACUUGUUGUUGUUGCUGCAGCUGAUGGUGUUCUUGUUAUUGUUGCUGUUGUUAUUAUUAUUGUUAUUGAGGUCGUGGGGUUGGAGGUGGGUGGAGUCUGAAUGUCUCCCCGCCCCUUCCUGAAAGCCGAAACUUAGAAAACUUCGCUUUGCUGGGUUGACUAAGCCUUCAUUCUUGGUUCUGGUUAUAUAUAUCUAUAUAUAUAUAGAUAUAGAUAUAGAUAUAUAGAAACAGCUUGUAUUUGGGGGACAAAAAGGACAAAACAAACAGCAAUGAAACCAAAUGAGGCGUUAAGUUUACAGUAGUAGUUGCAUGGCAUGGUAAUUUGGAAGGCUCUGCUUUUCCGCAAGCAAUCAUUUUUCCAUGUCUUUUCUUUUUUAUACUUGGUGAAAUGGUUGAGAACAAACUGAUUGAAGCUUUUGGUUGUCUCUUGCGAUGUCAUCAACCACAAUGCUGCCACAUUACUGCUAUAUUAAUGAGACAUCACCAUUCACUUAACCAAAUUGGCCUGUGAGACUUGAUCGCAACAAUCAAGAAAGUACGAGCUACAAAUUGCGGCUAUUAUUGUUUGGGGACCAAAGUGUCACCUGCCUCAUAGUUUGAGGACCAAAAGUGUAAUUUAGCUUUAUUUUAUCUAUCAACCCUUGGAACAGGCAUUAAUUUUCCUAUCUCAGCACUCUGUUGGAAGGUCUGCUGUUUUGCAGGCAACCUUGUUCUGUCAUUUGUGAUGCCUCUUGAUGUGAACGAAUGGCAGGUCGGAGCCUCUCUGUCCUUCUACUUUCUUUUCACUGUUGAUAUUUCUCAUGCUGACCGUCCAUAUGUCCUCAAUCCUCUUGCUGACUGUAUGCUUCAACCGGAAGGCCCUUACUGUUUCAUGCAAUAUUAAGGAAGUGUUUUUCCUUCGUUGUACUUGUCAAAGGAGGCUGUGAUGAUUGCCACUUGGGAAUGCACCUCAACUUCUUUAAUCCUUGCUUUGGAUUCUCGGCGUAGUGUAGAAGCUGACCAAAAUACUGGGUAUAAGAGGCAAUAUAGUCAACUCAAACCUGAGACCUUGGUUGGGUUUUGACAGUUCGGGUGGGAUUUGAAUCUUUUUUUCUUUUUUUUUUUAAUUUUAUAUUUUAGUCCUUUUACACCCCUUGAGAGGCCUUUACGUGGUUCAUUUGUGGGAUAGACAGCAUCUCAGUGGAUGGCUUUUGGCUGACAUGAUCACCUGGUGUAGGCUAUAAUUUUUCCUUUCUCAGCAGCUCAUAUAACCAACAUUAAGUACCUGUAGCAGGACUUAAAUUGGAAGGUCUACUGUCUUGGAUGCAACAUUUUGCUGUCGUGUCUUUAAGGUGCAGAAGAUUGCAAGAUCCCUUGCGAGAUGAUUAAGUGGCAAAUCUGAGCCUCCAUUUUCUUCUCCUACUUUCUUUUAGCUAUUAGGAUUUGGUGGUACAUUAUUUAUUUUUCCCAUUUUUUCUUUUCCUCCUCUGGCCUUCUUACUGCAUGUAGAACCUAGGUGGGUUGUUUUCAAAUAUUCCUUAUCUACUACCUGAAAUGUGACACUCUACUUCAUGCUGGUUGAUGCUAAAUCAUUUAUCCUGUAUGUCUUCAGAUUUAGGCAACUUGUUAGUCUUUUAGAUUUUGAAAAGAACUAAAAACAGAUAAAGAUUCGGAUGUUUGGCAUGUAUAUCUGUAUAUUUGCAUGCUGAUUCAAAUGUGGGUAUCCAGCAUACUUGUAUAUCUACUUUUCCAUUUCUCUUCUUGAUGCCUUGUUGUUGUUGCUGCUGCUGCUGUUGUUAUUCUUGUUAUUAUUAUUAUUAUUACUAUUGUUAUUGUUAUUGUGGUCGCAAUGGUGGUGGUAGAGGUGGGGUGGAGUAUCGUCUCUCCGCCCCUUCCUGAUGGGGGAAACCCACAAAAAUUUGCUUUUCGGGUUGACCAAGCCUUCAUUCUUGGUUCUGGUUCUAUAUAUAUAUAUAUACAUACAAACUGUUUGUAUAUAGAGGAAAAAAGAAAAAGAAAAAAGCAACGAAACCAAAUGAAGCCUUAUUAAGGUUUCAGUGGAAGGUGCAUGGCAUGGCAAUUUUGGAAGGCUCUGCUUUUCUGCGAGCAACCAGUUGUCCAUGUGUUGCCUUGCUUAGAUUUGCCGAAAUGGCUGAGAGCAAACAAAUUGAAGCUUUCGAUGGGUCUCUUGGUUGUCAUCAACCACAAUACUGCUGCAUUACUGCUACUUUAGUGAGACCACCAUUUACUCAACAAAAUUGGCCUAUGAGACGAUUGCUACAAUCAAGAAAUUUUCGAGCCAGAAACUGCAAGUAUUAUAGUUUUGAGGACCAAAGUGUCAUCUGCCUCAUAGUUUGAGCACCAAAGUGCAAUUUAACCUUAUUUUAUCAAACGAACCAAGGAACAGGCAAUAAUUGUCCCAUCUCACCUGCCUGUGGCAGUACUCAAUUGGAACUCAAUUGGAAGGUCUGUUGUUUUGCAGGCAACCUUGUUCCAUCAUUUAUCUUAAAGGUGCAUAAGAAUACACGAUGCCUCUUGAUAUGAUUGAAUGGCAGGUCAGAGCCAACUUCUUUCAUCCUCUCUUUUGUUAUACUUGUCAAAGGAGGCUGUGAUGAUUGCCACUGGGGAAUGCACCUCAGCUUCUUUAGUCCUUGCUUUUGAUUCUUGUUGGAGUGCAGAAGCUGACCAAAAUACUAGGUAUAAGAGAGUCAACUCAAACCUGAGACCUUGGUUGGGUUUUGACAGUUCAGGUGGGAUUUGAAUCUGGUUUUUUUUGGUUAUUUUGGUUCUUUUACACCCCUUGAGACGCCUUUGCAUGGUUCAUUUGUUGGAUAGACAGCAUCUCAGUGGAUGGCUUUUGGCUGACAUGAUCACCUGGUGCAGGCUAUAAUUUUUCCUUUCUCAGCAGCUCAUAUAUGACCAACAUUAGGUACCUGUAGCAGGACUUAAAUUGGAAGGUCCACUGUCUUGGAUGCAACCUUUUGCUGUCGUGUCUUUAAGGUGCAGAAAAUUACAAGAUCCCUUGCGAGAUGAUUAAGCGGCAUAUCUGAGCCUCCGUUUUCUUCUCCUACUUUCUUUUUAGCUAUUAGGAUUUGGUGCUACAUUCUUUAUUUUUCCUUUUUUUUCUUUUCCUCCUCUGACCUUCUUACUGCAUGUAGAACCUAGGUGGGUUGUUUUCAAAUAUUCCUUAUCUACUUCCUGAAACGUGACACCAUACUUCAUGCUGGUUGAUGCUAAAUCAUUUAUCCUGUAUGUCUUCAGAUCUAAGGCAACGUGUUAGUCUUUCAGAUUUUGAAAAGAACUAAAAACGGAUUAAGAUUCGGAUGUUGGGCAUAUAUAUCUGUAUACUUCUAUGCUAAUUCAAAUGUGGGUAUCCAACAUACAUGUAUAUCUACUUUUCCAUUUCUCUUCUUGAUGCCUUGUUGUUGAUGCUGCUGCUGCUGUUGUUAUUAUUAUUAUUAUUUUUGUUAUUAUUAUGGUCGCAGUGGUGGUGGUGGAGGUGGGUGGAGUCUAUCGUCUCUCCACCCCUUCCUAGGGAAACCCACAAAACUUUGCUUUUUGGGGUUGACCAAGCCUUCAUUCUUGGUUCUGGUUAUAUACAUACAUACAAACAUUUUGUAUAUAGAGGAAAAAAGAAAAAGAAAGGAAAAAGAAAGCAACAAUAACAACGAUACCAAAUGAAGCCUUAAGGUUUCAGUAGUAGGUGCAUGGCAUGGUUAUUUUGGAAGGUUCUGAUUUUCUGAGAGCAACCAAUUUUCCAUGUGUUGUUUUGCUUAGACUUGCCGAAAUGGCUGAGAACAAACAAAUUGAAGCUUUCGCUGGGUAUCUUGGGAUGUCAUCAACCAUAAUACUGCUAUGGUAGUGAGACAUCACCAUUUACUCGACCAAAUUGGCCUGCGAGAUGAUUGCAAGUUUUGCAACAAUCAAGAAAGUUUGAGCCAGAAAUUGCCAGUAUUAUAUUUUUGAGGACCAAAUUGUCAUCUGCCUCAUAGUUUGAGCACCAAAAGUGAAAUUUAGCCUCAUUUUGUCUAACAAACCACAGAACAGGCAAUAAUUUUCCUAUUUCACCUACCUGUGGCAGCACUCAAUUGGAACUCAAUUGAAUGGUCUGCUGUUUUGCAGGCAACCUUGUUCCAUCAUUUAUCUUAAAGGUGCAUAAGAAUACAUGAUGCCUCUUGAUAUGAUCGGAUGGCAGGUCAGAGCCUCUCUUUCCUUGUGCUUUCCUUUCAGCUAUUAAUAUUUCUCAUGCUGACUGUUCAUAUGUCCUCAUUCUGACCGUAUGCUUCAAUCAGACUGGCGCUUAAUGUUUCAUUCAAUCUUAAGGAACUGUUUCUCAUUCAUUUUACUUGUCAAAGGAGGCUGUGAUGAUUGCCAGUUGGGAAUGCACCUCAACUUCUUUUAUCCUCUCUAUUGAUUCUCGGCGGUGUAAAAACUGAUCGAAAUACGGGAUAUAAGAGCCAAUAUAGUCAGCUCAAUCCUUAGAUCCUGAUUGUGUUUUUAUAAUUCGGGUGGGAUUUGAAUCCAGUUUGUUGGUUAGUUUUGUCAUUUUGCUUCCCUUGAGAGCCUCUCGCUUCGUUAAUUCGUGGGAUAGACAGCAUCUCAGUGGGUGGCUUUUGGCUGACAUGAUUCACCGGGUGCAGGCAAUAAUUAUUCCUUUCUCAGCAGCUCAUCAGGCCAACAGUAGCUCCUGUAGCAGUAGUUAAAUUGGAAGGUCUGCUGUCUUGCAGGCAACCUUAUGCUGUUCAUAUCUUUAAGGUGCAUAAGAUUACAAGAUCCCGAUCCCUCAUGAGGUGAUUGAAUGGCAUAUCUGAGCCUCCAUUUUAUUCUCCUAAUUCCUUCUUAGUUAUUAAGAUUUAGUGGUACAUUCAUUUUUUUCGUAGCUAUUAAGAUUUAAUAGUACAUUCAGUUUUUUCUGUUUUAUUUUUAAUUUUUCAUCCUCUGGCUUUCUUACUGCAUGUAGAAUCUAGGAUGGGUUGUUUCAAAUAUUCCUUAUCAACCCCGUGAAACCCUACUUUAUGCUGGUAGAUGAUGACUGGAUAGAAGUUUGGGUGUCUAUUUCAAAAUGGUCUACAGUUGAGGGAAUGUUCAUCCUAUUUAUCCUUCUCAAUAUACCUGAUGGUUAAAAUGUAUUGAUAGUCCGUCUUAUCCCAAUACUAUCCCCAUAUUGUGACUUAGUCCUUGAACCUUUUCCAUAAACGCUCCUCUCUCACCUUUCCUUUAUUCUUGGAAUUUCAUCCCUGCCGUCUUUUUGCUCCAUAUGUUGCAAGCAAAAUCUCUCGUUAGAACUCUGCAUUGUAAUUUAAUCACUAGAGAGGAUUGGCAGGCGCGUGAUCAGUAAUUGGAGGUAGCUCUGGAUGGUCUGCGCUUCUGCAGGCAACCUAGCUUGCAACCAUUUAUCCGGUCAUGGUUGGGGCAGAGGAGGAGGUGGUGGUAGUGGUAAGGAUUGGAUAUAUGUGGGUUCAUAUGAUCCUCUUCUCUGAUUAUGGUAUCAUCAUUGUUAUCUUCUUGGCACUUGCUUAUUCUCUUGAUCGAAGUUCCUGUAAAGGAUAUCUUUUAUCAUUUAUUUCUAUUUCGCAAUUCCUGUUCCUUGAUGUGUUUCAGUAUUUGUGGAAGUUUUUGCUGAUCCUCUUCAAGAUAGGUGGAAUAACCACUUUUGUGGAGUAAAGCUUCUCCCUGCGGCCUUCUGAGAUGGGUACCCAUGAAAUUUUGUGCCUCAGUGUUGAUGAAUGGCUAAAAAUCAAGCUUUCUGAUUUUGAUUGUGCAUUCUUCAUAUGGGUUUACAUCAAGUUGGUCGGUUAGCUCGGUCCAUUGACACCUCUAAUCUGAGCCGUGCUUCAUUCAUUCGUGGGAUGGAUGACAUCGCAGUUGGUGGUGCAUGUCUGAUGUGGUGCACCGGGUGCAGGCCAUAAUUUCUCCUAUCUCUGCAGCCCAUAAGGGCGUCGUUUUGGGGUUCACGUAGCAAUACUCAAUUGGAAGGUCUGCAUUCUUGCAGGCAACCUUACAAAGUCAUUUGUCUUUAAGGUGCGUAAGACUACAUGAUGCCUCAUGAUAUGAUUGAAUGGCAGAUCUGAGCCUCCCUUUUCUUCUUGUUUCUUUUCAGCUAUUAAGAUCUAUUCUAGUUAUUUUCUUCUUCUCUGUGUUUGCUUCUGCAUGGAGAAGCUAGAUCAUCAAUUCCUAUUCCCUCUACUUUUCAGUGGUUGAUGAAGAUCAGAUUGAGUUGGUGACUUGGUCGGCCUAUUUCAAAAUGGCCUAUGGUUGAUGGGUAUUCAUACAUUUUACCUUCUUAAUAUGGGUGGGAAUAAAAAUCAGAUAUUAUUUUUCAUAUGAGGCUGGUGUUAUUGUUAACUUUUUAUGAGGGGUGAGAAGUAUUUAUAGUCCCUGUACUAUUCCGAUAUUGCAACUUUGUCCAAACUCCAUCCAUGACCUUCACUUUGGCACAAGUGUAGUCAAUAGUUUCCUGUUAGACCUCUGCAGUGUAAUUCAACCACUAGAGACGUUCCAAGUGUGAUCUAGCAAUGCUGAGGCAGCUAUGGACGGUCUGCCUUUCUGCAGGCAACCUAGCUGGACCCCUUAAAUGUAACCAUGAUCAGCCAUGAAGAUAUAGCAUGCCUGUGCAGCUUCAUCUUUAAGACUCUUCCUCUGUUGAAAGUUUGGAGUGCCGUCUUCGUGAUACAUUUGUUCUCUUGAUCCUGUUAAGAAUGUUAGUCCCUUAUUUGUUACUUGAGCGUUUUGGGUUGGUUCAAGACCUUUGGCAUAUCCAAGUUCUAGUGAGGGAUAUUUUUAUCUUUACUUUUUUCUGUUAUUCCAUCUCUCCUUUGUGAUGCAUUUGAUUAUUUGGAGAAGGCGGUAAUGAUUUCUAGCGUGUUGCACAUGAGUAUUCUUCCAAAAUGAACGAUGCAUCUCCCCCAAGCUUCCUGAGACUCGAAGUUUGAAACCCGUGAAACACUGCUUUUAGGUUUCAAAUCUUGGAAGGCUCUGCUCUUCAGCAGGCAACCAGUUUUGCGUUCAGGUUUCAACCAGUUUUUUUUUUGAAGUUUUUCUUUUCUUUUUUUUUUUUUUUUUUUU